rnacentral:lncRNA from 1 species
GUCUUUGUUUGUGUCUCUCUUUAUAUUCCACUAAGGUCGGUGAUCUUGAUGCCACACACACUCAGAUGUGUGUUCAUCUCCAGAUACUACUCCAUGCUACCUGCCCUUUUUGUUUUGUUCAAUAACUGGGUAUCAUAUCCCGGCCAGUGUGCCAUCUAUUUUGUGUUUGUUUCCUUCUAGUUCCAAAGGGGUCAUCAUGAUGUUACCUUCUUUCGAUAUGGUGCUUUGCAUGACAACUGUUGUAUGGUACCAUCUUGUUGGCCAAUAAAUACAUCUUAUCCUAUGACCCUUUGCUAUGACCCUUUGCAAAUAAGUACAAGAUUGUUAUAAGCGUCAAUACUCAGUAUAAUUGAUCGCUGCUGUGAGUUCCCUUUCAGCUUAUCGUAGGCACACAUUAUUGCUAGCACGGUAAAGACAACCAACACGAAUGAUGAAGUAAACGUAGCGGUACUUUUGUAUACCAACACCCUUACUUAAAUGUACUGGUGUCAUUCCCUACUGGCACAUAUAUUCUUAUAUGCUAGCCAGAUUGGAAAAUUAACCAAUUAAAAUAAUUAUUUCAAGAUAGAAAUAACUUAUCGGCUUCUCGAAGCAUGUGUAAUUUUAAUUCAAGGACUCAAUGGAAGUUGAAUCACUUCAUCUAGAUUGCCUUCUGGAUUUUGGUUAACUAAAUUUAACAUUUGUGUCGGGGGGAAAUAUUAACGAUUUUCUUACGCUCUCUAAUUAACGGAUACAAGGGCUAGGGCCCACCCCUAAUACCCAUAAUCUCCGCUAACAACACAUCCCAGAGGCACUCCGCUCCGCCUCGCCCGACUUCAGGGUCGCAGGGUCGGACGUGCCCGACCCCCCAAGGCCUCGCCUCGUCUCAGCCGAUGGAGUUCCGCCUCGCCCGACCCUGAGCCCAACGGAUCGGACGCGCCCGACCCCUCGAAGCAGGACUCCGCCUCGCCCGACCCUGAGCGCAAGCGGUCGGACGUGUCCGGUCCCACCUGACAGAGCUCCGCCUACCCGAAGGUACGAGCAGGUCAUCAGACGGAAGCGCGGGCUCUGUGAGUCCCCCUGGGCUCACCCAACCGAUGGGACCGCGCAAGCUUCCAGAUACAGUUCUGACACAUGGAGAGGCGCCCGCGUUCCUCGACAUGACCUGUCAAAAUGUUGGUCUGCGCACUGCUGCCACGACUGCACAGGGCUACACCUGCACCGUCCUACCCCACUGUGACAUCUGUCAUAGGGCACUCAUCGCUCAUACCAUCUAAUGGAGGAGGGAAAACCGCCUAGUUUUCCACGUGGGCUAGCAAGAAGAGCACGUCAGCCACGCCGCCCCGUCAGGGUGCAUGGCUACAGUGGUUGACCAUCACCCGCGACGUGCACAGUCACAGUGGCCAGUCGUCACCACCAACUUGCACAGCUACAGUGGUCGGCCGCCAUGCACGACUCGCGUGUCCGGCUACAGUGACCGACCGCCGAGUCACCGAUGGGACCCAACGGCAACCCCUAUCCCUUAGUAGCAGUACCGACAAGACGCAGAGACAAGAAGGGAAGACGACGUCUCUAGUAGCCCCACUUGCUUCCCUUUUUACCUUUCUACCUGUUUACCUUCCUUACUCCCGGCUCAUUUGUAACCUCUGUAUCCUCCUUGCACUAUAAAAGGAGACCAGGGGGUCUGAGGGCAAGGGACCCUCGGAGACCGAACCCCGAAUUCACCCAAGUACAAACCAACCGAACCACCAGACGAGAAAGACUCACAGAGAUCUGGGAACCAGCUUCCCUCUCUCACCUAUUUGUAGCCUCUACUCCAGACUUGGUACGAGUAACACGAGCAGCCACCCGCACUGGACUCCUCCGCCAGAAACUGGUCCAACCAGUCGGGUCCCUCCCCCUGCUCUUCGUCCUCAUCAUCCUCAUCAUCGUCGUCCUCAUCCGUUGCCGUGUCUGGCCCCUCCGCAGCCUUCAGAACUCCGCUGCAGCUUUCUUUUUCUUCCUCACCGUCUCCUUGUCCUUCCUCUUCUUCUGUGCUUCGUCGAGGAGGCGGUUCCGCUGCCUCUGCACCACGUCCUCUGGCACCGGUGGACGGGAGGCUGUGACAUGGUUUAAGUUACCCUGCAGAUUCGAAGACUCCGCGUCAGAAUAGCAAACCAGGAAAUGCAGGAAAGAAGAACGAGAGUGCAAAUUUCUAACCAGCAGGACAUAGGCCUCGUCCGGGCGCAUCGGAGGGUGCCCCGGCACCGGGAACACGACAUCCCUGUCACCCAAUGCAUCCCGGACACGCUGCUCGAUCUCGGCGUCGGCAAUUGCACCCGUCGCAAGGACGGUGCUGUGGUACGCCCCAACAACUCCGGCCCCGGUCAGGCCCUCCUCCUUCAGAAGGUUGAUGGCUUCGAGGAGACCCCGGAUAUUCUUCUUCUCCUUCUCAACAGGGCCAUAUGUCCACGUUCCCGGUGCCUCCACGAUGACGCGGCCAGUGAACUCCGUCAAGAGGACAUCGGGGCGGUUCUUCACAUAGAGCCACUGCUGAUGCCACCCUUUGUGGGAUGACGGGGUCUUCAUCGAUGUAUACUCCUUGGGCCGAUGGCCACAGAGGUGGAUGCCGGCACACCCCAUCAGCAUCGGAAUCGUCCGCGUCUGGUUUCCUCUCUUCUCGGUCCUCUGAUGAAGAGUGACAGCGAAGAAGUACUUCCACAGGGCGAAGUUGGGCUCGAUCCCCAGGUAUCCCUCCCAAAGCACGACGAACGCCGCGAUGUGCUGGAUUCCGUUGGGGUUGAGGUGCUCCAGCUCAAUGCUAUAGUAGUGCAGCAGCCCCCGGAAGAAGCGACUUGGGGGAACCGCGAACCCCCUCUCGUGGAAGUGCGCGAAGGAGACGAUGUACCCGUCCUCCGGCUGUAGCACGGCCUUGUUCCCGGGAUACCGCCACUCGUUCUCGGCGAUCCUAUCGCGAAGAAGGCCCUUCUUCACGAGACCGAUCACGCGCGCGGUGUUGAAGAUUGACCAAGACCUUGAAUCCAUCGCCGAGGAAGGGGAAGGCUCGACGGCGGUGGUGGAAAGGUGAAUGCUCUGGCUCGAAAGAGGAUGAAAAGUGAACAAGGAGGCGAGAAAGGCUGAAGACGAGUGCGGAGCGGAGCAAGCAAGGUAAGCUCUCUCGUUUUACAGGGGGCGUGCGAGAAACGAAAGGCGAACCGAACGCAUUUAUUGCGACGUCAGGUAUGCCCCAUCGCCUCCGCCUUUCUUCGGAAACCGUACGCAUGAUUUCUUUUUAACCGCAGGGAACGCUACGCCCCCUCGCCCCACGAGCCCGGUGUUUUUUGCCGCUUCGUCUCCUGGAGGUCAUGCGCACAACUUCCUCCACAAGCGGCCCAGGGCCCGCUUCAGGUAAAAAAGGGAUACAGAGCUGAAAACACUCUAACGGCCCAUUACGGUCCAGGGGUUCGAAGGCUGGCCCUCUAGAGGGUUCGACAUCCACCCCAGGACAUUUCUUGAGCAAGGGGUGAGAAGGGACGGGUCCGCUAGCGACCACUACCCUGGUGAACAAAAGCCAAGGGCGUCCCGACCUCACAUUUGAGUCUCGAUUGGCGUUUAAGUUCAUGGUUUUUCCCCGAAGAAAGGCAAAGUGCCCCCGGAUCCGGUUGAACAGACCUGGGAACUAUAUGAACUGGCCGUCCGAAAUCUGGAGUACGCCACCAGCUUGGCCCAAGCCGGACCCGCCCGAACAGGGACCGGGACUCCACUCGAACUGACCCGUUAGCAGCUCACCGAGCACCAUGGUUCGUCCGAUGAGGAUAACAUGGCACGGCUCACCCCCUCCGUCCCAACGAACGGACGCUGAGGGGUAACGACUAAAAGACGAUCCGACCUCUCGAUCGGUCCCCUGCAAUGCGCGGGGGCUCGAGGGCUGGAAUCACAACGAAACGACCAUGCGCAUGGUUACGACUCGGAAUUUUGAGGCAGGAAUGGUCAUUGAAACAAUAGGGAAUCUUCCCAAACCGUACCAUCCUCAGAACACUCUGGCUACCCAAAACUCCCCGGCCAGGCCAAACAAGCAAAACUUUUCUCCUGAUCAAAUCAAGGUACAUGUUAAACAAGACCCCUGACAAACACUCUGCCGAGAGCCAAUCACAGCCUCUGGAGGAGCACCUUGCUCCACCAAAGGCUCGGGGCCUACUGUCAGGGGGAAAUAUUAACAAUUUUCUUACGCUCCCUAAUUAAUGGACACAAGGGCCAAGGCCCACCCCUGACACCCGUAAUCUCCACCAACAACACAUCCCAGAGGCACUCCGCUCCGCCUCGCCCGACUACAGGGUCACAGGGUCGGACACGCCCGACCCCCCGAGGUCUCGCCUCAUCUCAGCUGAUGGAGUUCCGCCUCACCCGACCCCAGGCGUAAGGGGUUGGACGCGCCCAACCCCUCAAAGCAGGACUCCGCCUCGCCCGACCCCGAGCGCAAGGGGUUGGACACAUCGGAUCCCACUAGACAGAGCUCCGCCUCGCCCGAAGGUAUGAGUAGGUCAUCAGACGGAAGCGCGGGCUUUAUGAGUCCCCCCAGGCUCACCUAACCGAUGGGACGCGCACAAUUCUAGAUACAGUUCUGACACGUGGAGAGGUGCCCGCGUUCCUCGACAUGACCUGUCGGAAUGUUGGUCUGCACACUACUGCCACGACUGCACAGGGCUACAACUGCACCGUCCUACCCCACUGUGACAUCUAUCAUAGGGCACUUAUCGCCCAUGCCGUCUAACGGAGGAGGGCAAACCGCUUGGUUUUCCGCGCAGCCUAGCAACUACAGCACGUCAGCCACGCUGCCCCGUCAGGAUGCAUGGCUACAGUGGUUGACCGUCGUCCGCGACGUGCACAGCUACAAUGGCCAGUCGUCACCACCAACUUGCACAGCUACAGUGGUCGGCCGCCAUGCACGACCCGCGUGUCCGGCUACAGUGGCCGACUGCCGAGUCACCAAUGGGAUCCAACGGCAACCCCCAUCCCUCAGUAGCAGUACCGACAAGACGCAAAGACAAUAAGGGAAGACGGUGUCUCCAGUAGCCCUACUUGCUUCGCUUUUUACCUUUCUACCUUUUUACCUUCCUUACUCCUGGCUCAUUUGUAACCCCUGUGUCCUCCUUGCACUAUAAAAGGAGACCAGGGGGCCCGAGGGCAGGGGACCCCCGGAGACCGAACCCCGAAUUCACCCAAGUACGAACCAACCGGACCACCAGACGAGAAACACUCACAAAGAUCUGGGAACCAGCUUCCCUCUCUUGCCUGUUUGUAGCCCCUACUAUAGACUUGGUACGAGUAACACGAGCAGCCACCCGCACUGGACGUAGGGCUAUUCCUGCCCGAACCAGUAUAAACCUCGCGCCCUCUCGUACAACCAUCCAAGCCUUACGCGUAGAGAAACAAAUUUACUAAGCCGGUAGUCUUGACCCGUGAUUCGUGAGACCGACAAUUUGCACAUACAAAUGUUAAAGUACAAAUGUUAAAUCUAGUUACCAAGCAGAAUACGAAAUAGCGGGCUAUAGUGAGGCUAUAGCGGCGCUAACUGCUGCAACAACAGUGUUGUACUAAUUAGCAGGCUAUAGCGGAGCUAUAGCGGUUGAGCACAGCUCUACGCUAAAUAUCAUAGCCCUCAAUUUUGUACAUUGUAUAUACUAUAUAAAUCUAGUUAACAUUUAGUCUAAAUGUUAAAUCGAGUUACCUAAAAUCCUGAAAGCAAAAUGUAUAAAUAUAUAUCUUUUAGGGUAGUAUAAGCUUCGAUUCCUUUUGCUGCUCUGUUAAAUCUCAUCUUUCGUUGUAGCCCAACACUCUAGUAUUGAUUUUGCACCAAGCUUCUUUGAGCCGCUCUGCCCUCUGAUUUUGCUGCGUAGGGGAAUCUUUAUCAGGUUGGGCUACUUCCAGUCGUGCGAUGUAUACCUUUGUAUCUUCUAGAAGGUAGACAGAAAACCCGCGUUCUCUUAAGGCAACAACCAGAAGAUUCUGCAGCGCACGGGGCAUAUCAUUGUUGUAGAAACGACCUUUAGUAUCGAUCUCCAACCCCUUAUAGUACUGGUUUUGCAACCAGUACCGUUAUGUCGGACCUUUAGUACCAGAUCAAAUAACCGGUUCUAAAGGGACUCCUUUAGUACCGGUUGGUAACCAGUAUCAACUUGUUUUGCGGCCAAAAAAAUAAAGAAAAAAAUAGCCAGAAGGCUAGCACACACACACAUCCCACGAAAUAUGCGCGUGCGCGGUCCAUGGGAUUCGAACCCAUGAAAUCAAGCUGCGCGCAACCCUUCGUUACCAUCUCACCUUCAGUACCGGGUCAUAACACCACCCGGUACUAGUAUCGGAUGCUGUAAUGACUCGAUACUAAAAGGCCUCUAGGGACCCUCAAAUUUGGACCCGAUACUAAUGCUAACAUUAGUACCGGGUCAAAGUGCAGCCAGUACUAAAGCAUGGGACGAAAGGUCAUAUUUCUAGUAGUGUAUAGUUGUUGUGUAGGACUGACUUGGCUGUCCUCUCUCUUCUCCAUCCCAUUGGUCUUACGCCGCCGCUCGCACGCGAGCCGGCACCCAACCAGAGGAGUGAGAGCUAGGGGCGGGUUGGGAGGUGGGGGUAGCGACUGGUGGCUAGGGUGAUGGUUGAUGUUGGCGGGGUUAGGGUUUCAUGGUUUUCAAGCUACCUACGGCCGGCGAACCUAGAGGAGGAGGUCGACAUCAGCUGCAACCCGCGGUGGUGGUGGUUUGGCCGGCGCCCCAGGCGAGGCAGCGUGGGAGUGCUGCUGGCGGGUUGGUGUUGGCGCUCAUUAUUGACACAUUUUUAGUACUAUUUUGUUCAUGGAAUAACACUCAAACGUGCUGGUGCUGCUGCCGCCAUCGCCGCCCUAGCCAUAAUAUAAAGGCAAAAUUUGCUAGAGGACAUGCAAAAUGAUGCUAGUUUGCUGGAGGGCACCGUUGACCAUGUAAUAUGCUACAAGACACUCUAGUUGUUCUAGAGUGUAUCAAUUUGCUGAAAGACAUUGCUACGACUAAAAUAAUGUUUCUGGACUGAGUUGGAGAGAGAGAUGGAGUGAAAUGUCUGUUUUGCCCAUGACCCCACUGAUCAGAUCCUUCUUCUUCCACCCUCCUUUCUUCUUUCUUCAACCAUUACCCAGCUCUAGUGUGUUGCAGAUCUACGAGGGUGGCGGCCCGGGGCGAGGGGCAUCGCUUGCCCUCAGACGAGCGCCGCGAGCGACGGCGCGGGGGCAGCAACGGCGCGUCGGAACCUGACCGUUCGUUAGCUCCUCUCGCUGCUGGGGAAGGAGGGGGAGGGGCCAUGGACGGGGUUCCCUCGAAAACCUUAGCCUCGAGCUCAGGCGGCUACGCGCAGGCAGCACUAGGCUCUUCGCGGGGAGGGGGCGCGGCCAAUCAUUGGCACCCCACUGGUCCAAUGCUGAUGAAGAUGGUGCCAGCGUCGUGAAGAUGGUGCCAGCGUCGUGUGAGGACCUCUCAUCUCCUCGAGUUCCAUGGCCAGCACAGGUGAGCGUCCGCUACCACAAAACAGAGGUGUCGUGAGAGUCAAAAAAACUCAUGAAAAUAGCUAAAACCAUCAUGAAAAUAAUCCAUGACACGACACUCUAACGAAAAUCCUCUCACAAAUAUGGUGCCAUCAAAAUACCAUUUUCAUGAGAGUGAACUGUCAUGAUUUUAUUUCGUGAGAGUAUUUCCUAUCAAUGACCUCCACGAAAUACUUUGUGCCACCAGGUCUUCAAGAUCAUUUUCAUGAGAGCCGAACGUCACGAAAGGUCCGCCACAAAUGUUUUUCCUGGGAGCCUCUAACUCUCAUCAAAAGCAUGUGGGCCGCCGCGAAAAACAGCCUGACCAAAUGACAAUUUUCAUUUUCAUGUGCUCUUACCGCCAUGAAAAUGGUCAUUUUCAUGAGAGUUGAUGAAACAAAAAAAUAGUGCCAUUUUCAUGAGAGUUCAAGCAACCAGGAAAAGGCACUAAUAAACAUCCAGAUCCCAUCCAGCACACAUCCAUGCACAUAUAUAACCCACAUAUUGCUCCAGCAACAUCCAUGCAUAUACAAGAUCCAAAUGUCUUGGUAUGAACCUACAUGCAUGUGAUGAACCAGUAACCUGCAAAAAGAGCUCAUAGGAUCUUGUCCUCAUAUUGUAGCUGUGAAAUUCUUGCAAGUAGUGUUGCAAUCAGUUCACUUUGAACCAAAAGAGCUCAAAGGAUCAUGUCCUCAAAGUUCCUCUUAAAGCUUAUGGGUUUGCUGGUGGAACUGGAAGGGCUUGAUGCAGCAUGCCAUUCUGCAAUAGAGAAAAAUUUAGAAAGCUGUACUAGUUAAAAUUGGAUGCAGCAGAGACACAUGAAACUAGUAUUUAUACAAUUCUAUAUAUAUAAUAAUUUGUCCCCUAAAUUUUUAGGAUCCUCUCGACGGUGGUGAGUCUUCCAGUAAGGCAAUUGAAUGUCCAUCGUGAUAAAAUUCUCCUUUGGAUUUAUCAUCUUCUCAACCAGAAAUCCUAGGAGUUCAUCCUUAAGCCUUACCAGUUGUAAUUUGGAAAUAUGUGAAAGUUAAACGAACAAUUAAAAUCUAAGGAUCCUUAUCAUCAUUUCCAUACGUUUGCGAAUUAAAAUAAUGAAGGAUACAAUGUUAGGUGAAAAUUCAAGAAACAAAAUUUUGUAUAGAGAUAAUGGUCCGACAUUAUUACAAGUUAAAGUUGUUUUAAAUAUCCUUGUAAUCUUCCUUUGGUUUCCUCGACGAUUCCAAGACAGUAACCUUGCUUCUAUCAAUGAUAAUUAUAAGGAGAACCCAAUGAAAACUGUGUAUUCAUAUUAGAACUAACUAAGGUUAAUUCGGAUAGGAAAGGAAAUCAAAAAUAGAUGGUACCCACACUUACUUAAAGUUGUAGGGUAGUAGUAUGUAAUGCUUGUAAUUCUGUUGCUCCAAGAAUUUGUAUAUGUGGUUCAAUGUAGACUUUGGUUGAUCCUGUAUCUGCUGUUGGUUGAAUAAGUGUUUCUAACCAUUUCUAGCCGUUAGAACUGGGACUAAAGGGAGCUCUUAGUGCUGGUUGAUAUUACUAGUCGGGACUAAAGAGCCCCCGUUAGAGUUGGUUUUCGGACGUGGAACUAACCACUCCUUUAGUCUCAAGUCCAAAAAUGAUUGAGACAUUUGUUGCUGGAUGGAACACUAGUAGAGAAUUGGCUUUCGAUGCGCCCCCUUUUGUCCCGGUUUAAAGUUGGACUGGGACAAAAGAGGGUGCGCCACGGUAGGUAAAAAUGGAGGGGGGAGUUAGUCCCGGUUGGUAAUUGCAACCGGGACUAGAGGCCCCCCUUUAGUCCCGGUUGCAAUGGCUAGCUGGGGGGCGUCGGUGGCGGCACCUUUUUGUCCCGGUUGGAGUCUCCAACCGGGAUAAAAGGUCCACCCUUUUAUCCCGGUUGGAGGCUCCAACCGGGACAAAAAGUUUAGUCCCGGUUGGAGCUUCCAACCGGGAUAAAAGGGUGUCCCUUUUGUCCUAGUUGGAGCCUCCAACCGGGACUAAACUUUCAACCGGGACAAAAGGUGUGGUUGGAGUUUUUAACUGGGAUAAAAACUCAUCCCCCAUUAUAUACCAAGACAGAGGACUUUCUUCCUCCUCCAGCCCGAGCCAGUCCAGCACAUUCACAGAGAGUUGACCUUCACCUACUCUCCGGUGGUGCCGAAGCAAGGAGGUGCUGCCCGAAGUUUUUUCCCUCAUUUUCGUGGGAAUUUCACUCAGCUAACACAAGUGUUGUGAAGGUUUGCUACUUCAUCCUCGUUUAUGCUUUGAUUUAUGCUUUGGAGAUGGAAAGAUUAUUUGUUAGAAUGUGAUGAAGUAGAAAAUGGAGAGAAUAUUUUGAGCUAGAAUGUGAGGGAGAUUGAUGUGUCAUAUAUAGUAUGCAUUCUUGCAGUGGUUUAAGAAUGAUGCUACCUUGUCCAGACAAUUUAUCUUAUCAAAUUCAAUAUAGUUUUUCAAAUCCAUACUUGUUGAACUUGCAUACCGUGUUCAUCUCUACGAGGAUAUUCUCUGCCGAGCAGCAACGUAUGUCAAGAAGGAGGUUCGAUUCUACGAGGAAGAGUGGAUACGGACAUCGUGACCGUGUCCCCUUUUCCGUAGCAUCUAACCUCUUUCAUGAUGAAGUGCGGUGCCGCCCAGUUGAGAACAUGCUCGCGAGAUGAACACAGUAUGCAAGUUCAACAACUUCUGCAGUAGUAAGGAAAGAAUUUUUGUACAUAGAUGACUUCUGCUACUUGUUGAACUUAUCAAAUUCAAGAAGGUUUUUCAAAUCCAUACUUGUUGAACUUGCAUACCGUGGUCAUCUCGCAGAGGAUGUUCUCCGCCGAGCAGCAACGUAUGUCAAGAAGGAGGUUCGAUUCUACGAGGAAGAGUGGAUACAGACAUCGUGACCGUGUCCCCUUUUCCGUAGAAUCGAACCUCUUUCAUGACGAAGUGCGGUGCCGCCCAGUUGAGGACAUGCUCGCGAGAUGAUCACGGUCUUUAAGUUUAACAACUUAUGCAGUGUUAAGGUAAUAAUUUUUGUACAUAGAUGGCUUCUGCUACUGGAGAAAGUGGCGAUGGUGGGGGUGAUCGUGGUUCCUCUUUCGGCAAGGGGAAAAUCAUAGUUGGCCCUCAGCAUAAGCCAAAGAAAAAGAGCGCACUGGAAAAAGCAAUGCUUCGUUAUUUGCAGCAACGUCAUGAAGAAGUUGUUGCCGCGGGUCAGGAACCUCCUUUUGGUCGUCGUUAUGCUCCACCCUUAGUCCCGGGUGUUUCACAUCCACUUAGUACUACCGUUUCAGGCGGCACAAAUAAACCUAAGGAUGAGGCUAGGUCAGCGGAACUUUCGUCUUCACUGUCCAAGGAUGCUUAAAGUCCUCCUAGAUAAUAACCAGUGGAUGGCUUGUUGUAUUGUAUCAUGUUGUUUGGAUCUUUAAUUUAAAUAUGUGUAUUUGGAUCUUCAUGUUGUUGUAUUGUACCAUGUUGUUUGGAUCUUUAAUCAAUUUUCACACGUAAUCCAUUGUCAAGUGUAAUCCAUUUUCAUGCAUAAUAAGAUGCAGAUGGACCGGCAAUGGAUGUAUAAUGCAGACAGGCAGAGCAAGGUGUUUAUUGAUGGCUUGCAUUAUUGUCUCGAAGUGGCCAAAGCGAACAAGCCAGAGAAUGGGUUCGUAUGUUGUCCAUGCUUCCAAUGCAAUAACAAGAAGGAGUAUUCAUAGGAUUCCUGGGGGACUAUUCACAGCCACUUGUUUAAAUACGGUUUCAUACUUAACUAUUUGGUUUGGACCAAGCACGGUGAACGAGGGGUCGUAAUGGAAGAUGGCGAGAAGGAGGAGGAAGAUGACACCAUUCCAGACUGGGUUGUAGGCCAAGCUUUUGCAGGUACUACAAUGGGCGAGGCUCAUGAAGAUGAGUUUGCAGAAAAUGGCCCUAUUGAUGACUUUGGUCAGGUGAUACGAGAUGCAUACAGAGAUUGCGAAAUUGAGAAGGAAGCAGCAAAGUUGCAGCGCAUGAUAGAUGAUCACCAAAAAUUAUUGUACCCAGGUUGCCAGCUGGGCCAUAAAAAACUAGGUACGACACUAGAAUUUGUGCAAUGGAAGGCAAAAAAUGGUGUGUCCGAUAAGGCAUUUCAGGGGAUGUUGACCAUUGUCAAGAAGAUUCUUCCCGAGAAUAAUGAAUUACCGUCCACAACAUAUGAAGCUAAACAGAUUAUUUGCCCUCUCGGAUUGGAUGUUCAGAAGAUACACGCAUGCCCUAAUGACUGUAUCCUCUAUCGUGGUGAUGACUACGAGAAAUUGGAUGCUUGUCCCGUGUGCGAAGCCCUGCGGUAUAAGAUUAGGUGAGAUGAUCCUUGUGAUGUCGAGGGGCAGUCUCCCAAUAAGAGAGUUCCCGUGAAGGUGAUGUGGUAUUUCCCUAUAAUACCACGCUUGAAGCGCUUGUUCAGGAAAAAGGCGAAUGCUAAGUUGAUGUGAUGGCACAAAGAAGACCGUAAGGAAGAUGAGAUGCUGAGACACCCCGCAGAUGGGGCACAGUGGAGAUCAAUUGAUAGAGCAUUCUCGGACUUUGAAAGUGAAGCAAGGACAUAAGGUUUGGUUUAAGUACUGAUGGAUUCAAUCCAUUCGGUGAGUUGAGUAGUGGCCAUAGUACUUGGCCUAUGACCCUAUUUAUGUUGAACCUUCCUCCUUGGCUAUGCAUGAAGUGGAAGUUCAUUAUGAUGCCGGCGCUUAUCCAAAGUUCAAAACAACCCGACAACGACAUUGACGUGUACCUAAGACUGUUGGUUGAUGACCUUUUACAGCUCUGGAAGGAAGAAGGUGUACGUGUGUGGGAUGAGGAUAGACAAGAGAUCUUUAAUCUACGAGUAUUGUUGUUUGUAACCAUCAAUGAUUGGCCUGCACUGAGUAACCUUUCGGGACAGACAAAUAAGGGAUAUCGGGCAUGCACCCACUGUUUAGACGACACAGACAGCAUGUAUUUGAAGCAUUGUAAGAAGGUCGUCUACAUGGGUCAUCGUCGAUUUCUCCCUGCUCACCACCAGCUGAGAAAGAGCAGGAUGCAUUUCAAAGGGGCGCCAGACCAUCGUAAAAAACCUGCACACCAUAAUGGAAAGUGUGUCUUCAAGAUGAUGAAGGAUGUAAAUGUAGUCUUUGGAAAGGGUCUUGGUAGCCAACCUAUUCCAAACGACAAUAACGGACAUGCACCCAUGUGGAAGAAAAAGUCAAUAUUUUGGGAGCUACCUUAUUGGGAAAUCCUAGAGGUUCGCAAUGCAAUAGACGUGAUGCACCUGACGAAGAAUAUUUGCAUGAACGUGCUAGGCUUCAUGGGUUUUUAUGGGACCUCAAAAGACACAUUGGAAGCACGACAGGACCUGAAAGCCAUGGGGCAACGAGAUGACCUACAUCCGAAAAAGAGAGAUAAUGGAUAGCACUACUUACGUCCUGCCAGUUACACUCUGAGCAAGGAAGAGAAGGAUAGCAUGUUUGAAUGCUUGAAUAGUAUGAAGGUCCCGUCUAGGUACUCCUCGAAUAUAAAGGGAAUAAUAAAUAUGAAAAAAAAGAAGUUUAUAAAUCUCAAGGCCCAUGACUGUCACAUGUUGAUGACCCAGUUGCUUCCGGUUGCACUGAGGGGUGUUCUACUAGAAAAUAUCCAGUUGCCGCUCGUAAAGCUAUGUGCGUUUCUAAAUGCGAUUUCACAGAAGGCAAUCGAUCCAUCCAAGCUAUCAAAGCUACAGAACGAUGUGGUGCAAUGUCUUGUCAGUUUUGAGUUGUUAUUUCCACCAUCCUUCUUCAAUAUUAUGACGCACUUACUGGUUGACCUAGUAAAAGAGAUUGGUAUUCUCGGACUUGUAUACCUGCACAAUAUGUGGCCUUUCAAGUGUUCAUGGCAGUCCUAAAAAACUAUGCUCUUAAUCGUGCCCAUCCAGAAGGAAGCAUCGCCAAGGGAUAUGGAACAGAGGAGGUGAUCGAGUUUUGUGUUGAUUUUAUUGAUUCAAUUGACUCGAUUGGGGUUCCAACUUCACGCCAUGAGGGGAGGCUCCGAGGAAUGGGCACCCUUGGAAGGAAAUCAAGUUUGAGCAAUGAUACUGAUUUGUUCGACAAGGCACACUACACGGUUCUACAACAGUCAUCCUUUGUGUCUCCAUAUAUUGAGCAGCACAGGCAGAUGGUAGUUUCCAAAAACCCGACCAAAUCCGAUGCUUGGCUUACCCGUCUUCACAUGGAAACUUUUCCCUCCUGGUUGCGCCAACAACUUAUGGGUAACUCUGAGAUUCACCCACAGCUUGCCUGGUUAGCCAGGGGACCUGCUAGCACAAUUGUGAAAUUUCAAGGCUAUGAGAUAAAUGGUUAUACAUUUUACACGAGAGCCCAGGACCAGAAAAGCACGAAACCAGAAUAGUGGUGUCCGCAUACAUGCCAUGGACAGAAAUAAUAGCAAGGAGUCGUAUUAUGGUUUCAUAUAGGAGAUAUGGGAACUUGAAUACGGACCGUUGUACAUCCCUCUAUUUCUUUGUAAUUGGGUGAAGCAAACUGCCGUAACCAAAGAUCAGUACGGAAUGACAAUAGUAGAUCUGAGCAAGACUGGAUACAGUGAUGACCCAUUCGUACUUGCCAACAAUGUGCAACAGGUGUUCUAUGUGAAGGACAUGUGUAGCAAACCCAAGAGAAAUCCAGAAGAGACAUGGGAGCCAAAGUGCCACAUAGUUUUUCCAGGUAGAAGAAAAAUCGUGGGAGUCGAGGAUAAAACAAACCAAUCAGAUGAUUAUGAUUAGUUUGAUGGCAUGCCUCCAUUCGCCGUUGAAGUUGAUCCAAGCAUCCUGCUAUCCAAAGAAGAGGCUCCGUACUUACGCCGCGAUCAUGAUCAAGGAACUUUCGUGAAGAAGAAAUUCUACAACGUUGUAUUGUAAUGCGCUAAAUUUACAUGACCUUUGUGUAGUAAUUGAUACAAUUUUUAAUUUACCCUAUGUAUGAUUUGAUGUGUUCUUAAAUUUGUUAGGUGAAGAUUUAUUAGAUAAACAUGAACAAUGUUAACCACAUACAUACAUGGAUUUUUCUGCGCAUUGAAAUUAUUUAAUGGAAUAAUUUCUUGAUCACAGCGAUGUAGUAAAAUAAAUAUUUUAGAGCCUAAAUGAACUGGUAUAGAAUUAAUGACUAACUCACACUUAUUGUCAAUUUACUCGCUAAUUAAAUAUAUUUUUGCAUGUACAAAAUAUGUGAAGGUUUUUGUUUUUCAUCCUGAAUUGCAGUGAAAAGAUAAAUAAAAUCCAUUUCCAAAAAACAGGCGGGAGAAGAAAACUGGGAAAAGGACCUUUUGUCCCGGGUGCCAACAGAAACCGGGACAAAAAGCCCCCCCCCUUUUAUCCCGGUUGGUGGUGGCACCCGAGAUAAAAGGGUAGGCUCCAAGCCCCACUUGGCGGACGCACCCUUUUGUCCCGGGUCCCGUCACCAACCGGGAUAAAAGGGGGGGCCUUUUAUCCCGGUUGGUGAGGGGACCCAGGACAAAAGGCCCUUUAGUCCCGGGUGUCAUUACGAACCGGGAUAAAAGGGGGGUUAAAAGGCACUAUAGCCCCUUCUACCCCCCACGCCAGUUACAGUUAGCAAAAUUUUCACCAAGAUCCCGCGCGCACUCUGCUCCGUCGCUGCCCGUCCGCCUUCCUCGCCAGCCGUCAUCGUCGUCGUCCCCCAUUGCCCCGGCCGUCGUCGUCCCGCCGGCUGACCGUGCCCAGAUAGCCUCCUCCUCCAUCGCCCCGGCCCGCCUCGAUCCUCCUGCGUCGUGCCCGGCCCCUACCUCAUCGACGCCGGCCACCUCCAUCGCGGGGCCUCAUCGCCGCCUCCAUCCUCGUCGCCACCUCGACGCCCUGGGUCGCCGCCUCGUCGCCCCUCGUCGCUGCCUCGUCGCCGUCCUGCCUCCGCCGUCUCGCCGUCCCGCGCGCCUUCGCUCCGUCGUCGCCUCCGCCGUCCCACCGCCCCAGCCACCGCCAUCCCGCCACCCCGGCCACCUCGUCGCCCCGACCACCGUCGACCGCGCGUGAGGUCCGCCGCACCGGCACUGGCGCCGGGAGUACCGCCUUGCUGACGCAAGCCCACCGGCUUGCGUCAACAAGGGCCUUUUUUAAGUUAGAAAAUAAAUAGAAAGGAGUAGUAAUUAGGUAGAAAUUCAAUAGAUUUUUGUAUAUGUGUUACAAAAUCAAAUUAGUGUAAAUUAGUUGUAAUUAGGUUCGUCGCUCUGCCUAGGUUAGAAAUGAAUCGUGUUUCGUCGUGGUUCCGUCCCCGCCUCCGCCGUCCCGCCACCCUGACCGUCGCCGUCCCAACCUAGGCACCGUCUGUGGUUCCGUCCCCGCCUCCGCCGUUCCGCCUCCAUCGCAAAUUCAUGUUAUUGCUAGAAAUUCCAAUAAAUAUGAACAAAUUAGUAGAAAUUUGGUAGAAAUUAAUCAUUGCUGCGGCCACCUCGCUCCACAAAUUCAUGUUAUUGCUAGAAAUUCAUAAAAAUUCAUGUUAUCACUAGAAAUUCGUACAAAAUUCAUGUUAUUGCUAGAAAUUCGUAAAAAUUCAUGUUAUUGCUAGAAAUUCGUACAAAAUUCAUGUUAUUGCUAGAAAUUCGUACAAAUUCAUGUUAUUGCUAGAAAUUCGUCACAAAGUACUACUAAUUUGCAAAAAUUUGUAUAAAUAUUCCGGACUUUGUGGGAUUCAUGUUAUUUUCUGAUUUCAUGUAUAUACCCUUAUGUACAUAUAACUAAGGAGAUUUCUAUGACUUUCAUGUAUGUUUCAAUCAAUAGUUGAAAUGGCAGACGAUGAGACCGCAAGGUAUCUCAUGGAGCAGAUAAUCGCUGGUGAUGGUAGUGGCGACAACCUUCCACUAUCGUACACCGAUGAAGAGGGCACCCAGGCGGACAUGUUCCUCAACAUGUCCGCCGAUGGGAAUGAAGAGCAAAAGCCCCAGCAACACCUUGCCGGGGCGGAAGGUUCCGGCGAGGUAUAUAUAACGAUUCUUGUAUUGUUUCACACCACCGUUACUACUACGUACUAAUUAACGAAUCAUGAACCGUUAGCCCUCUGGAUCGACGCAAGGGCAGAAGACACGAGGUCGUACAAAGGUGAUGGAAGGGAGGCUUGUCAUCACGGAAGUGAUAGAAGAGGGCAGGCCGGUUGCUCCCGAGAAAGUAGCAAAGAAGUACGUGAGUCAGAUCGGGGCAAUCGUCCGGGACAACGUGCCUAUCAGCAUCAGAGAAUGGAAGGGCAGAAGCACUAAUCCGUACGCCCUCCUGGAGACAGAAAGAAUAUGCUGUGGGAAGAUGUCAAGAGACAUUUCACAUUCACCGAAGGAUAUAUUGAGAAGGAUGUGAAAGCGUGGACGCUUAAGAAGAUGGCUACACAAUUUCCAGACAUUUAAGAAGAUGCUAGAUACCCACUACAUUAAGAAGGGCCGAACUCCAGACUUCAACGCGUGGUCAAAGUUGAGGGACCACUAGGAUGCAUUUGUUGAAUAUAAGAGGAGUGAAUACGAUGUGAAAAAGAUCACGACCAACACAACAAAUGCUAGUCAGAAGGGCUACCAUCAUCAUCUGGGGCGAGAUGGUUAUGGCUCAGCAAUUCCCAAGUCGAGGAAGAUGGAACAAGAUCUGAUUGAACGGGGAAUCGUACCGGCAACUAUUGAAUGGCCCGAACGAUCAAAAAAUUGGUACUACGCUCAUGGAGGCUCCCUGUGCCAAGAGGAUGGGACGUUGAUUUUCAAUAACACAAUACGUUAGAAGGCCAAACAUCUUGUGAAGAACAUUGAAGAUUCUAAGGCUGGGAGGUUGAAGGUGGACCGAGAAAAUGAUGAGCUCACAUUGGCCCUUGGUAAUCCAGAGCACCCAGGAUGUUGCCGAGGGUUCGGGGUCGUUCCGUGGAAGUUUGUUUUCCGAGGCGACAGCGCCUCGUACAGAAGCCGGAAGCGAAGAAAGGAACAGAUCGAGGAGAGCUGGUGGCAGAUGCUAGAAUCCAAAGUGCAGGCACAAGAACAAAGAAUGAUGGAGGAAAUCAAUCGUCGAGUGGCCCACGCAGUUGUGGAGUUGGCCCAAUCUGGAGCAUUGCCGAAUCCUAACAACGCCAGCCCUUCUCAAUGCCUCUUGAGCAGUUAUGCUUCUACAGGGGUCCCCGAUGCGCACACGCCCAGGUUACCCGUGGAGGAGCAACGGUUCCCCGUGGAUGCCAUCACGCAACACACCACAUGUGAGCUGCAUGCACCGGUCGGCAACCUCACUAUUAAGGUAUACUUAUACAUAAUAUUUAUGCAAUCUUGUCAAUUGAUCCACGCCUCGAUAUCGGAGUUUAACUUGUUUACUUCUACUAUAUGUACAGGUAGCGUACGGGAGUGCGUUAGCAACCCUGGCGGGGCAGAGCAGUCAUGGCAUGAAGAUUCCACCUGGCUACGCUAGCGUCCGCGUAGAGCAAAUAGUUGAUAGCCAAUAUGAAGGUCUAGAGCUCGACCUCCCGGGAGGUGACAGGGAAAGAACACUGGCAGAUGCGCUUCAUGGGAUCAUUCUAUGGCGAAAACGCUACAUCAUUAUUCCCGGCACGGAGCCAUCUCCUCAGAGCUCAAGACCACUCCCCGUAGAUCCCCAGCAGCGACCUUCUCCUCAUAGCUCGAGACCGUCAUCUCCUGCACAACCUGCUCCAGGACCGUCCCUUCCAUCUAUAUCAAGGUCUCCAUCUCCACCACAUCCUGGUGGUGGGAGCGACGACGACAAUAACAACACCCCUUCCUGAUCACCAUCGCCGGCACCAAGAGCGGCCCCCAUGAAGGAACCUGCACCACCACUAAAAAAGUCACGAGCACCGCCUCCCAAGCAAAGACAGAGAAAGAAGAAAACAAAGGAGCCUGAAGUGACUCGUAAGGAACGCUGGGAGACAAUGUCUCAUGCGGAACAGUGGGCAGAAAUCCAACAAGAGGCCAGUGAGUGGUUCAAGAAACAAGCCGAAGAAAAAAAAGCAACGGAGAUGCAGCCACCGCCAGUAAAUCGAAGAGAUUUAAACUUUUUUAUCAGGAUGGAAGAAGGAGCCAAGAAAAGGAUACCACUCUUAUCAAACUAUGAACGGGCUUUAGUAAAGGCUGAUGAAAAGGAUAAAAGGAAAGGAAAGUCAUCUUCCAGCGGUGCUGUCCCCGACCUCAGCCAUUUAUCAAAAAAAGAUGCUCAACGGGUAAAAGCAAUGCCCUUGGAUCAACAAGCAGAAGUAUUGAAGUUCAUGCAAGAAACAGGUCUGGGACUUGAUGAAUGCCUAGGGCAAGUUGAGACGCCAACUGCACCGCCCCCUGAGCCGAGAUGGCCUUAUGAGCUAGGCAAACCUCUAGUAAAGCCUUCAUUGGUACGAAAGCUAUCAACAAAGAUGUACGCAUUCCAUCAAUGGUACAUGAUGGCAUCCGCUGACUCAAGGGAGAUGCUCGGCCUGAAGGUAAAACCGAUGGAUUUUCACGACAGAGGCGAGAAAGUGCUGUGGCUAGACUUCAAGGAUAUAUACGAAGUGUACCAUCAUGAUGCCAUAGACGUCUCUCUGAUCCGCGCUUGGGUUCUGUAAGUGUCCGUUUAUCUCUACAUGUAAAUUUUGGCGUGCGUCACCGUACUAACUUCGUCUUCCAUUUCAUGUAGGAUGCUAAUUCAGACAUGCCGCCGAGAGGCGUACCUACAUAUAGGCUUCAUGGAUCCAUCUGUAGUUAACCAACAGCAGAUACAAUUAGCAUCGGAGAAAACCUUGGUGGAAGUAUACAAUUUCCUAGACAAACAAACAUUCAAGGAUUUCAUACUAUUUCCAUACAACUUCAAGUAAGUGUGUGUAUACCGUCUACUUUCGAUGUCUUUUUCCUUAUCUCUACAUGUUAGUUAGCUCUAAUAUGCAUGAACAUUUUACGCACGCAGCUUCCACUGGAUCCUUAUUAUAAUUGAGCCUCAAAGAAGCCACGUCACUGUCUUCAAUUCGUUGAGGAAAGAUCCAGUGGAGCACCAAGAAAUGCAACACAUGCUAGGCUUGUAAUAAUUCUGGACCUUUAUCUCUAUGCAAAAGUUUGUUUCCUAAAUUCUAUCCCUGUUACACUAUAUCAUUCAUUAUUCUAAUCCACAGCGUAUGGAAACAAUUCAUAAGGACACAAAAAGGUCCAUUCAAAGAAAAACUUACAUGGAACACAGACUUCCCGGUACAUAUGAAGUCUGCACAUUUAUUACAUUGUAUAACACGAAUAUUUCAUAACUUAUUUUUUUCCGUAUUGAAGUGCUUAAGACAGGAACUCGGAAAUAAUCUAUGUGGCUACUACAUCUGUGAGCACAUGCACAGUUUUAUGGGACCCAAGGGACUAAAGAUGACGCCGCACAACUUUAAAGUACGUAAAAUAAAACUAUUACUAGUUAAUUAUUUUCUAGCUCCUUAUAUGUAUUUGUUCACGUAACAUUCACAAAUUUCCAAAUUAUAGAUGUUAAAUAUUCAACAAGGACUCUUGAAGGAAGAAAGAGUAGCGGCAAUAUGUGAAGGUCUCAUUGGAUUCCUAAUGGACAAGGUGGUAGAUCCAAAAGGAGAAUUUUAUUUUGAUGGACGACAAUUAGACACUCUGAUCAGCAACACCUCGAUGGGAAGAUUGUAGAUAGAUACUUUGAUUUAUUUGUAUAUAUAAUACGCGCUAAUUAUGAUCGAUUUGUACUAGUUGAAUUCUGUAUAUGAAUUGUGUAUAAGAAUUGUGUAUAUAUAUAGUAACUGUAUAAUUACAAAUCCCAUUCGUUUAAAUACUAGUUAAUUUCAUUCUAAAAAAAUCUCAACUACUUAAGGUUAACAAAAGGGCUGCGGUACUACGUACGUGAUGCAUGCAUGAAAAAUUCAGGCGCCAGGCAGGUGCCAUGCAGGGCAUCAUUUAGUCCCGUUUGGAAUCCAGCCGGGACUAAAGGGUAACCCUUUACUCCCGGUUGGGAAACCCAACCGGGACUAAAGGGGGACCGUUACUCCCGGUUAAAAGACCCGGGACUAAAACCCCCCCUUUUGUCCCGGUUGGCUUAUCCCGGAUAAAUUUUCGGGAGAUAUGCACCCUACCAACCGGGACUAAAGGCCAAUUCUCCACUAGUGGAAGGUCCUUUCUCUACCAUGAAUAUUGCCAGAAAGAAUUGAAAGAGACCGCUUGCUAAAAACAUGUCAUAGAUGCGGACCAAGCUACCAAGGAGGUAGACCAAACAUGAUACACACCAUGCGUACCUUGCUGUGCAGACUAUGCAUGGACAAGAUACCCGACCACAUGUUGGCUUUGGUCACAUCAAAAGAAUCAUGUAGGCCAUUAAUAAACUACUUGAAGCGUCAUUCCGUAUCUUAUAUCCAUCAUCUGCAUUACAUUACAUUAAAUAUUAUUAACUAUUUGAAUAAAAUGAACCAAUUUAAAAAUAAUGAAUUGUACAUUACUACAAAAAGCCCUAGCACUGCCAGUUCCAAAAACAUCAUUGUUGACGGCCGUUAAGUACCAAAUAUGACGGUCAAUAUCCUAAAGAAUAAAGGACAAUUGGCAUUUCUUACACACAUAUUUGGUUUCGAAUAAUGUAGUUCUACAUGUCCUUGGAGAUUAUUUGGGUGUGGGUGAAAUAAUACAAAAAGAAGGAGAAAACACACUCCCAUGGCAAAGAAACAUAACUCCGACCAAUGAGAGAUAGCCACAGGGGCAGCACAUGGAUCCAUGGGCCCACAAACUGCAUCAAACCAUCUUACAAGGCGGGUAGCACCCACAACUGUCAUUAGGACCCACCUGGAAGUCUAGCAAAGAAGAAGGUUGUGAGUGGGGCCACGAGGGGUUCGGUUGAAUCAUCUCUAGCUCCCUUCAUCCCCAGCUGGCGCGUGGCGGUGGUUCAUGGUGUCCCGACAUCGGUUAGAGGACAUUCCCCCAAAUAUUCCUCCUGUAAACCAGCUCUAUGAACCUAUAAAUAGAGGGGUGUGCUCUCCAUUCCAACACACACCACAAGUUGAAGCACUCUCUCCCUCUUUAGUUUCCAAGUUUACGGAGAUAGGCUGGAGUAGCUCUGCUAAAGGUUCCAAGUCCACUUGGAGUUAAGCGUAUGUCUCUUGUAUCAUUAUUUCCUAGAGAGACUUUAUGCUAUUCAAGUUAUUUAUCUUCUUCAUAUAGUGUUAUGCUUAGUUCUUAUAUGCAUGAGUUAGUCUAAUACCCUUGCUCUAUUGAUAUGCUCAGCUUAUGUGCUCGUAUGCUAGUCAUGUACCCUUGCUGUCAUAGUAUAGGGUUAUAUGCUGUCAUGUGUGCCUAUAGACCUUGCUACAGUAUAUACUUGUUGUGUAUACAUACCAUUUGUAUAUACAUUAUUACAAGUUAAGGUAGUUUUAAAUAUCCUUGUGUUGACAACCAAAGCUUGAUCUUUUGUUUCCAUUGCCAGCGGAUUCAUCGGCUCAGAGUAGGAUCAAGACAUCAAGUUGAUGGAGUUCUUUAUAUUUCAAGAGGAGUCAUGGAGUUCUUUAUAUUUCAAGAGGAGUUGAUGGUGCUUUCAAUAUUGCAACCAGACAUCAUUGGCUCUGAAGACACCGAAUCAUCGGAGUUCUAUGAUCAGUUUCGGAACAUGAAGCCUUCAUACUCCGAAACUGGGGGGCCUGUGUUGACACCGAAUUAUCGGACUUCUAUAAUUAGUUUCGGAACAUGAAGCCUUCAUACUUCGAAACUGGGGGGUAUGUGUUUACACCAAAAUUUAGAAAUGUGCUCUGAAAGGAAGGACCUGGGAGAUCUAUUGGCUGAAAUACAAAUCCAUCGAAACUAGCCUUAUGCUAAGAGAUCAGAAUAUUGUACAAAGUCUAGAAAGUUCUAUUUACAUCUAAGUAACUCGAUAACUAGCCUUACGCUAAGAGAUCAGAAUAUUGGACAAAGCCUACAAAGUUCUAAUAUAGGUAACGUAAUGACCAGGUGAGGAUAGUUACAAGCUCGCUUGAGAUCGAAGCCGAUGUAGCCCUGCGCGCAAGAAGAAACUCACCUAUUUCUACUCUACUCUUACUCCUAGGGUUUGAUGGCGUGGCGUCAAAAGAUUGUAUUGAUUGAUUGAUUAUUUGAUACAAAGCUCAUGGGCCUAUAUUUAUACCCUUGAGAAAGCUAAAAUCCUAAUCAGUUAUGACAUGAAUCGUGACAGAAAAUCUAACUAAAGAUAGAUCUCCAUGCUUUCCCUUAUUUGGUGGAGUCGAUUUCACUUCAUAUCGGAUCCCUCCCGAUCUUCUAUCGGCUUCUAGCAUCCGGUCAUCUGCGACUGGCCUUGGUCAACAUCAGGUGUCAACAGACUUAUUUCUUCUACAAGUUCAUCGGCUGUCAGAGCCUUGUCUUAGUCAGUUGACUCUAGUAAAAAAUCGAUGUCAAUACAUGCCCCCCAAUUUUUGAAUAAAAUAUUAUAUUUCAAAAUUCUCUUCUCUUGUCAACAGCUUUUGAAAGAAAAAGAGUCACUGCUGCAAUCAUAAUCUUUUUCCCCGGGUUUUGUGAUAGCACCCUCCUCAUUUUAAGGGAUUCACCAUGUGGAAAUUAUAAUAUAACUGCUUCACCCAUUUCGUUUUCUUCACCAAACCAACUAUUGUCAGCCGCUACAACCAAAAAUCAAUUAUUCCCUUCACAUGCCUAGCGACUGCAUCCAUCACUCAUCGUCACCAUUAGUCUCCAUGUGUCAAGGCUUCUUCAACCAGCAAUGGCGACAUUAUCUUCCAUUCCACAGGUACCAUGUAUCCUAGCCAUUCCUUUCCCCUUUCAACCUGAAAUCCAAUCUAGUCACUAUAUAUCAAACCUGUGUUCUUAAUCAAUACUUGCCCCCUUGUACUUAGAAACACCCUUUUGAUCCCCAUAUCCGAUACGCAAGCAGAAUACUUUCUAGGCCCCAUGGGUAGUGAAGACCCAAUAGAAUCUAUUAAUGCUGAAAUACUUGGACAAAGUCUAGAAAGUUCUAUUUACAUCUAAGUAACUCGAUAACUAGCCUUACGCUAAGAGAUUUAAAUAUUGGAUAAAGCCUAGAAAGUUCUUAUAUAGGUAACUGAAAAGUGUGUUGACGCAAAAAUUGGAUGGUUGACUCCUGCGUACUAACACACGGAACCAGGGAGAAUCUGCUUAGCUACUGUUCGGGUUAUAGCCCUCUCGAUCCGUAGCGUGCCAGUUAAUCUGACCUGCUGAUUGACAAGUAAAAAUGUCAAAUUAAGAGCAAAUCAGCUGGUGUUCCGAAUCGCUCCACGGGACGUAUCAGUAGACAGCCGAUACGGGCAAACGACAAUCAGCUAGAUCAGCCGAUUUGCUCUUGUAUUUGACGUUUUACUUGUCCUUCUCAAUCAGCAGGUCAGAUUGACUCGCACGACGCAGAUCGAGAGGGCUAUAACCUAAACAAGAGCUAAGCAGAUUCUCCCGGGUUUCAUGUCUUAGUACACAGAAGUCAACCGUCUGAUUUUAUCAUCAACACGCUUUUUGGCACGCUCAGUGGGACCCGAUUCAUAUCUUAAUGGUAAUUGGUGAUCAAGUUUCAAACAACGUAUCCACUGGUAGAAAACUGAGCAUUAGUCCCGGUUGGUAAGGGUCAUAUCUCUCGGAUAUCCAUCCGGGAUAAACCAACCGGGACAAAAGGGGGGGGUCUUUAGUCCCGGGUAUUUUAACCGGGAGUAAAGGACCCCCUUUAGUCCCGGUUGGUGUCACCAACCGGGACUAAAGGGCCUGCCACGCCAGGCGCGGGACAGGCCCUUUAGUCCCGGUUGGUGACACCAACCGGGACUAAAGGGGGUCCCUUUAGUCCCGGUUGGAUUUCCCAACCGGGACUAAAGGGGUCCCCUUUAGUCCCGGCUCAAUUCCAACCGGGACUAAAUUGCGCUUGCAUGGCACUGGUGACGCCUGAAUUUUUCAUGCAUGCAUCACGUAUACGUAUAGUAGUACCGCGGCCCUUUUAAUUUGUUAACCUUGUAGUUGAGAUUUUUUUAGAAUGAAUUAAAUCAACUAGUAUUUAAACGAAUGGGAUUUGUAAUUACACAACUACUAUAUAUAUACACAAUCCUUAUACACAAUUCAUAUACACAAUUCAACUAGCUUAAUUAGUACAAAUCGAUCAUAUAUACAAAUAAAUCAAAGUAUCUUCCUACGAUCUUCCCGUCGUGGUGUUGCUGAGAGGAGUGUCUAAUUGUCGUCCAUCGUAAUAAAAUUCUCCUCUUGGAUUUACCACCUCGUCCAUUAUGAAUCCAAUGAGACCUUCACAUAUUGCCGCUACUCUUUCUUCCUUCAAGAGUCCUUGUUGAAUAUUUAACAUCUAUAAUUUGGAAAUUUGUGAAUGUUACAUGAACAAAUACAUAUAAGGAGCUAGAAAAUAAUUAACUAGUAAUAUAUUUAUUUUACGUACUUUAAAGUUGUGCGGCGUCAUCUUCGGUCCCUUGGGUCCCAAAAAACUGUGCAUGUGCUCACAGAUGUAGUAGCCACAUAGGUUAUUCCCGGGUUCCUGUCUUAAGCACUUCAGUGCGGAAAAAAAAUAAGUUAUGAAAUAUUCGUGUUAUACAAUGUAAUAAAUGUGCAGACUUCAUACGUACCGGGAAGUCUGUGUUCCAUGUAAGAUCUUCUUUGAAUGGACCUUUGUGUGUCCUUAUGAAUUGUUUCCAUACGCUGCGGAUUAGAAUAAUGAAUGACAUAGUGUAACAGGGAUAAAAUUUAGGAAAUAAAUUUUUGCAUAGAGAUAAAGGUCCAGAAUUAUUACAAGCCUAGCAUGUCUUGCAAUUCUUGGUAGUCCACCGGAUCUUUCCGUAACGAAUCAAAGACAGUGACGUGGCUUCUUUCAGGCUCAAUUAUAAUAAGGAUCCAGUGGAAGCUGCGUGCGUAAAAUGUUCAUGCAUAUUAGAGCUAACUAACAUGUAGAGAUAAGGAAAAAGACAUCGAAAGUAGACGGUAUACACACACUUACUUGAAGUUGUAUGGAAGUAGUAUGAAAUCCUUGAAUGUUUGUUUGUGUAGGAAAUUGUAUAUUUCGGCAAAGGUUUUUUCCGGCGCUAAUUGUAUCUGUUGUUGGUUAACUACAGAUGGAUCCAUGAAGCCUACAUGUAGGUACGCCUCUCGGCGGCAUGUCUGAAUUAGCAUCCUACAUGAAAUGGAAGAUGAAGUUAGUACGGUGACGCACGCCAAAAUUUACAUGUAGAGAUAAUAAACGGACACUUACAGAAUCCAAGCGCUGAUCAGAGAGACGUCCAGGGCAUCAUGAUGGUACACUUCGUAUAUAUCCUUGAAGUCUAGCCACAGCACUUUCUCCCCUUCACCGUGAAAAUCUAUCGGUUUUACCUUCAUGCCGAUCAUCUCCCUCGAUUUGGCGGAUGCCGUCAUGUACCAUUGAUGGAAUUCGUACAUCUUUGUUGACAGCUUCCGUACCAUUGCCGGCUUCACUAGAGGCUUGCCUAGCUCAUAAGGCCAUCUCGGCUCAGGGGGCGGUGCAGUUGGCGUCUCGACUUGCCCUAUGCAUUCUUCAAGUCCCAGACCUGUUUCUUCCAUGAACUUCAAUAUAUUUUCUUGUUGAUCCAAGGGCAUUGCUUUUACCCGUUGAGCAUCUUUCUUUGAUAAAUGGCUGAGGUCGGGGACUGAACCGCUGGAGGAUGAUUUUCCUUUUCUUUUAUCCUUUUCAUCAGCCUUUACUAGAGCCCGUUCAUAGUUUGACAAGAGUGGUAUCCUUUUCUUGGCUCCUUCCUCCAUCCUGAUAAAAAAGUUUAAAUCCCGCCGACUUACUGGCGGUGGCUCCAUCUCCCUUGCCCUUUUUAAUUCGGCUUGUUUCUUGAACCACUCACUGGCCUCUCGUUGGAUUUCUGCCCACUGUUCCGCAUGAGACAUUGCCUCAAAGCGUUCCUUGCGAGCCACUUCAGGGUCGACCUUUGUUUUCUUCUUUCGAGGCUGUCUUUGCUUGGGAGGCGGUGCUCGUGACUUCUUGAGUGGUGCUGCAGGUUCCUUCGAGGGGGCCGCUCUUGGUGCCAGCGACGGUGAUCGGGGAGGGGUGUUGUUAUUGUCGUCGUCGCUCCCAGCACCAGGAUGUGGUGGAGAUGGAGACCUUGAUAUAGAUGGAAGCGACGGUCCUGGAGCAGGAGAUGCCGGUCUCGAGGUAUGAGGAGAAGGUCGCUGCUCGGGAUCUACGGGGAGCGGUCUUGAGGUCUGAGGAGAUGGCUCCGUGCGGGAAAUAAUGAUGUAGCGUUUCUUCCAUAGAAUGAUCCCAUGAAGCGCAUCUGCCAAUGUCUUUUCCCCGUCGCCUCCCGGGAAGUCGAGCUCUAGACCUUCAUACUGGGCAUCUACUAUUUGCUCGACGCAGACGCUGGCGUAGCCUGUUGGAAUGUCCAUGCCAUGACUGCUCUGCCCUGCCAGCGUUGGUAACGCACUCCCAUACGCUACCUGUACAUAUAGCAGAAGUAAACAAGUUGAACUCCGAUCUCGAGGCCUGGAUCAAUUGACAAGAUUGCAUAAAUAUUAUGUAUAAGUAUACCUUAAUAGUGAGGUUGCCGACCGGUGCAUGCAGCUCACAUGAGGUCCGUUGCGUGAUGGCAUCCACGGGGAACCGUUGCUCCUCCACGGGUAACCUGGGCGUCUGCGCAUCGGGGACCCCUGUAGAAGCACAACUGCUCCCGAGGCGUUGAGAAGGGCUGGCGGUGUGAGGAUUCGGCAGUGCUCCAGAUUGCGCCAACUCCGCAACUGCGUCGGCCACCCGCCGAUUGAUUUCAUCCAUCAUUCGUUGUUCUAGCAUCUGCCGCCAGCUCUCCUCCAUCUGUUCCUUUCUUCGCUUCCGGCUUCUGUAAGAGGCGCUGUCGCCUCGGAAAGCGAACUUCCACGGAACCACCCCGAACCCCCGGCAACGUCCUGGGUGCUCUGGAUUACCGAGGGCCAAUGUGAGCUCAUCAUUUUCUCGGUCCACCCUCAACCUCCCAGCCUUGGAAUCUUCAAUGUUCUUCAUGAGAUGUUCGGCCUUCUCACGUAUUCUGUCAUUGAAAAUCAGCGUCCCAUCCUCUUGGCUUAGGGAGCCUCCAUGAGCGUAGUACCAGUUCUUUGAUCGUUCGGGCCAUUCAAUAGUUGCAGGUAUGAUUCCCCGUUCGAUCAGAUCUUGUUCCAUCUUUCUCCACUUGGGAAUUGCUGAGCCAUACCCACCUCGCCCCAAAUGAUGGUGGUAGCCCUUCUGACUAGCAUUUGCAACGUUGGUCGUGAUCUUUUUCACACCUUCUUCACUCCUCUUGUAUUCAACAAAUGCAUCCCAGUGGUCCCUCAACUUGGGCCACGCGUUGAAGUCUGGAGUUUUGCCCUUCUUGAUGUAGUGGGUGUCCAGCAUCUUCUUGAAUGUCUGGAAUUGAGUAGCCAUCUUCUUAAGUGUCCACGCUUUGACAUCCUUCUCGCUAUAAUCUUCGGGGAAUGUGAAAUGCCUCUUCACGUCUUCCCACAGCAUAUUCUUUUCUGUCUCUGGAAGGGCGUACGGAUUAUCGCUUCUGCCCUUCCAUUCUCUGAUGCUGAUAGGCACGUUGUCCCGGACAAUUGCCCCGAUUUGACUAACGUACUUCUUUGCGACUUUCUCGGGAGCAACCGGCCUGCCCUCAUCUGUAACUUCGGUGAUGACAAGCCUCCCUUCCAUCACCUUUGUACGACCUCGGGUCUUCUGCCCUUGUGUCGAUCCGGAGGGCUAACAGUUUAAGAUUCGUUAAUUAGUACGUACUAGUAGCGGUGGCGUGAAACAAUACAAGAAUGGUUGUAUAUACCUCGCCGGAACCUUCCGCCACGGCAAGUUGUUGCUGCGGCUGUUGCUCUUCAUUCACAUCGGCAGACAUGUUGAGGAACAUGUCCGCCUGGGUGCCCUCUUCAUCCGUGUAUGAUAGUGGAACGUUGUCGCCACUAUCAUCACCAGCGAUUAUCUGCUCCAUGAUAUACCUUGCGGUCUCAUCGUCUGCCAUUUCAACUAUUGCUGCAAACAUACAUGGAAUCAUACAUGACAGUCAUAGAAAUCGUCUUAAUACAAAUUUGUAUAUAAUCACAGUUCGGAAUCAUACAUGUAUAUAAUGAAAUCAUAAAAUAACAUGAAUCGUACAAAGUCCGGAAUCUUUAUACAAAUUUCUAUGAAUUUAUACAAAUUUCUAUGAAUUUAUACAAAUUUCUAUGAAUUUCUAUGAAUUUCUAUGAAUUUCUAUGAAUUUCUAUGAAUUUCUAUGAAUUUAUACAAAUUUCUACGAAUUUCUAUGAAUUUCUAUGAAUUUCUAUGAAUUUAUACAAAUUUCUACGAAUUUCUAUGAAUUUCUACAAAUUUCUACGAUUUUCUAUGAAUUUCUACAAAUUUCUACGAAUUCCUACGAAUUUUGACGAAUUUCUACGAAUUUUGACGAAUUUCUACGAAUUUCUACGACGGCGAUAAGGGCGGCGAAGGCGGGACGGCGGCGGUCAGGGCGGCGGAGGCGGGACGGCGGCGGUCAGGGCGGCGGAGGCGGUUCACCGGAACCACGGGCGGUGCCUAAGCUACUACGUUGUGAUGGGCGGCAGGACGGCGGCGAUCACGGCGGCUACUCGGCGGCGAUCACGACGGCUACAAGGCGACUGUCACGGUAGCUACUCGGCGGGACGGCGGCGAUCACGACGGCGGGACGGUAGUUAACAACCUAACUACAAAUCUAACUUAACAAACUAACUAGAAAUCUAAAAAUCUAACUUAACAAAAUUAGAAAUCUAAAAAUCUAACUUAACAAAAUUACAAUUCCAUCUAAAAAAACAAAAUUAAAAAUUAAAAGAAAACGGCCAGCUCUCCCGGCGCACCGGCCGGCGCGGCAGACCUCUCGCGCGCGGGGCGGCGGCCGGGGCGGCGGGACGGCGGCGGCCGGGGCGGCCUGACGGCGGCGGCUGGGGCGGCGACGAGGACGAAGACGACGACGGCGGGAUGACGGCGGCCGAGGCGAAGACGACGACGGCGGCCGGCGAGGGGCGACGAGGAUGGAGCUGGCGACGAGGGGCGAUGCAGCCGGCGAGGGAGGCGGACGGGCGGCGACGGGCGGAGAGGGAGGCGGACGGGCGGCGACGGGCGAGGGAGGCGGACGGGCGACGACGACGGCGCAAUGCGGGACUUCGACGGCGCAAUGGGGGACGACGACGGCGGCGGCCGGCGAGGGAGGCGGACGGGCGGCGACGGGCGGAGAGCGCGGGACUUGCGAAAAUUUCGCUAAGUGUGGAACUGGCGGGGGGUAGAAGGGAGUACAGUGCUUUUAACCCCCCCCCCCUUUUAUCCCGGUUCGUAAUGGCACCCGGGACAAAAAGGGCCUUUUGUCCCGGGUCCUGUCACCAACCGGGACAAAAGGCCCCCCCUUUUAUCCCGGUUGGUGACGGGACCCGGGAUAAAAGGGUGCGCUCCCAGCCCCACCUGGCGGGGGCACCCUUUUAUCUCGGGUCCCGUUACCAACCGGGACAAAAGGCCCCCCCUUUUAUCCCGGUUGGUAACGGGACCCGGGACAAAAGGGUGCCCCCGCCAGGUGGGGCUGGGAGCGCACCCUUUUAUCCCGGGUCCCGUCACCAACCGGGAUAAAAGGGGGGGGCCUUUUAUCCCUGUUGCAAAUGGCAACCGGGAUAAAAGGGUACGUUCGGGCGGGAGACGAAACGUACCCUUUUAUCCCGGUUGCCGUUUGCAACCAGGAUAAAAGGGGGGCCUUUUAUCCCGGUUGCUGUUAGCACCCGGGACAAAAGGUCCUUUUUCCUAUUUUUCUUCUCCCGCCUGUUUUUUGGAAAUGGAUUUUAUUUAACCUUUUCACUGCAUUCCAGGAUGAAAAACAAAACCUUCUCAGAUUUUGUACAUGCAAAAAUAUAUUUAAUUAACGAGUAAAUUGACAAUAAGUAUGAAGUAAUCAUUAUUUCUAUACCAACUCAUAUAGCCUGUAAAAUAUUUAUUUUACUGCAUUGCUGUGAUCAAUAAAUUAUUCAAUUAAAUUUUUUGAAUGCGCAGAAAAAUCCAUGUUAGUAUGUGGUUAACAAUGUUCAUGUAUAUCUAAAAAAUCUUCACCUAACAAAUUUAAUUACAAAUUUUAUCAAUUAAUACACAAAGGUCAUGCACAUUUAACGCAUUACAAUACAACGUUGUAAAAUUUCUUCUUCACGAAAGUUCCUUGAUCAUGAUCGCGGCGUAAGUACGGAGCCUCUUCUUUGGACAGCAGGAUGCUUGGAUCAACUUCAACGUCGAAUGGAGGCAUGCCAUCAAACUGAUCAUAAUCAUCUGAUUGGUCUGUUUUAUCCUCGACUCCCACGAUUUUUCUUUUACCUAGAAGAACUAUGUGGCACUUUGGCUCCCAUGUCUCUUCUGGAUUCCUCUUGGGUUUGCUGCACAUGUCCUUCACAUAGAACACCUGAUGCACAUCAUUGGCAAGUACGAAUGGGUCAUCACUGUAUCCAGUCUUGCUCAGAUCUACUAUUGUCAUUCCGUACUGAUCUUUGGUGACGGCAGUUAGCUUCACCCAAUUGCAAAGAAAUAGAGGGAUGUACAGCGGUCCGUAUUCGAGUUCCCAUAUCUCCUGUAUGAAACCAUAAUACGACUCCUUGCUAUUAUUUCUGUCCAUGGCAUCUAUGCGGACACCACUAUUCUGGUUCGUGCUUUUCUGGUCCUGGGCUCUCGUGUAAAAUGUGUAACCAUUUAUCUCAUAGCCUUGGAAUUUGACGAUUGUGGUAGCAGGUCCCCUGGCUAACCAAGCAAGCUGUGGGUGAAUCUCAGAGUUACCCAUAAGUUGUUGGCGCAACCAGGAGGGAAAAGUUUCCAUGUGAUGACGGGUAAGCCAAGCAUCGGAUUUGGUCGGGUUUUUGGAAGCUACCAUCUGCCUGUGCUGCUCGAUAUACGGAGACACAAAGGAUGACUGUUGUAGAACAGUGUAGUGUGCCUUGUCGAACAAAUUAGUAUCAUUGCUCAAACUUGAUUUCCUUCCAAGGGUGCCCAUUCCUCGGAGCCUCCCCUCGUGGCGUGAAGUUGGAACCCCAAUCGAGUCAAUUGAAUCAAUAAAAUCAACACAAAACUCGAUCACCUCCUCUGUUCCAUAUCCCCUGGCGAUGCUUCCUUCUGGACGAGCACGAUUACGAACAUAGUUUUUUAGGACUGCCAUGAACCUCUCGAAAGGCCACAUAUUGUGCAGGUAUACAGGUCCGAGAAUACCAAUCUCUUUUACUAGGUGAACCAGUAAGUGCGUCAUAUUAUUGAAGAAGGAUGGUGGAAAUAACAACUCAAAACUGACAAGACAUUGCACCACAUCGUUCUGUAGCUUUGAUAGCUUGGAUGGAUCGAUUGCCUUCUGCGAAAUCGCAUUGAGAAACGCGCAUAGCUUUACGAGCGGCAACCGGACAUUUUCGGGUAGAACACCCCUCAGUGCAACCGGAAGCAACUGGGUCAUCAACAUGUGGCAGUCAUGAGCCUUGAGAUUUGUAAACUUCUUUUGUUUCAUAUUUAUUAUUCCCUUUAUAUUCGAGGAGUACCCAGACGGGACCUUCAUACUAUUCAAGCAUUCAAACAUACUAUCCUUCUCCUCCUUGCUGAGAGUGUAACUGGCAGGACGUAAGUAGUGCUGUCCAUUAUCUCUCUUUUCCGGAUGUAGGUCAUCUCGUUGCCCCAUGGCUUUCAGGUCCUGUCUUGCUUCCAAUGUAUCUUUUGAGGUUCCAUAAACACCCAUGAAGCCUAGCACGUUCACGCAAAGAUUCUUCGUCAGGUGCAUCACGUCUAUUGCGUUGCGAACCUCUAGGAUUUCCCAAUAAGGUAGCUCCCAAAAUAUUGACUUUUUCUUCCACAUGGGUGCAUGUCCGUUAUCAUCGUUCGGAAUAGGUUGGCUACCAAGUCCCUUUCCAAAGACUACAUGUACAUCCUUCAUCAUCUCGAACACACGCUUUCCAUUACGGUGUGCAGGUUUUUUACGAUGGUCUGGCGUCCCUUUGAAAUGCAUCCCGCUCUUUCUCAGCUGGUGGUGAGCAGGGAGAAAUCGACGAUGACCCAUAUAGACGACCUUCUUACAGUGCUUCAAGUACAUGCUAUCUGUGUCAUCUAAACAGUGGGUGCAUGCCCGAUAUCCCUUAUUUGUCUAUCCUGAAAGGUUACUCAAUGCAGGCCAAUCGUUGAUGGUUACGAACAACAGUGCUCGUAGAUUAAAGAUCUCUUGUCUAUCCUCAUCCCACACACGUACACCUUCUUCCUUCCAGAGCUGUAAAAGGUCAUCAACCAACGGCCUUAGGUACACGUCAAUGUCGUUGCCGGGUUGUUUUAGGCCUUGGAUAAGCGCCGGCAUCAUAAUGAACUUCCGCUUCAUGCACAGCCAAGGAGGAAGGUUGAACAUACAAAGGGUCACAGGCCAAGUACUAUGACCACUACUCAACUCACCGAAUGGAUUGAAUCCAUCAGUGCUUAAACCAAACCUUAUGUUCCUUGCUUCACUUUCAAAGUCUGGGAAUGUUCUAUCAAUUGAUCUCCACUGUGCCCCAUCUGCGGGGUGUCUCAGCAUCUCAUCUUCCUUACGGUCUUCUUUGUGCCAUCGCAUCAACUUAGCAUUCGCCUUGUUCCUGAACAAGCGCUUCAAGCGUGGUAUUAUAGGGAAAUACCACAUCACCUUCACGGGAACUCUCUUCUUGGGAGACUGCCCCUCGACAUCACCAGGAUCAUCUCGCCUGAUCUUAUACCGCAGGGCUUCGCAGACGGGACAAGCAUCCAAUUCCUCGUAUUCAUCACCACGAUAGAGGAUACAGUCAUUAGGGCAUGCGUGUAUCUUCUGAACAUCCAAUCCGAGAGGGCAAAUAAUCUGUUUAGCUUCAUAUGUUGUGGACGGUAAUUCAUUAUUCUCGGGGAGAAUCUUCUUGACAAUUCUCAACAUCCCCUGAAAUGCCUUAUCGGACACACCAUUUUUUGCCUUCCAUUGCACAAAUUCUAGUGUCGUACCUAGUUUUUUAUGGCCCUGCUGGCAACCUGGGUACAACAAUUUUUGGUGAUCAUCUAUCAUGCGCUGCAACUUUGCUGCUUCCUUCUCAGUUUCGCAAUCUCUGUAUGCAUCUCGUAUCACCUGACCAAGGUCAUCAGUAGGGUCAUUUUCUGCAAACUCAUCUUCAUCAGCCUCGCCCAUUGUAGUACCUGCAAAAGCUUGGCCUGCAACCCAGUCCGGAAUGGUGUCAUCUUCCUCCUCCUCCUCGCCAUCUUCCAUUACAACCCCUAGUUCACCGUGCUUGGUCCAAACCAAAUAGUUAGGCAUGAAACCGUAUUUAAACAAGUGGCUGUGAAUAGUCCCCCAGGAAUUCUUUGAAUACUCCUUCCUGUUAUUGCAUUGGAAGCAUGGACAACAUACGAACCCAUUCUCUGGCUUGUUCGCUUUUGCCACUUCGAGAAAAUAAUGCAAGCCAUCAAUAAACACCUUGCUCCGCCUGUCUGCAUUAUACAUCCAAUGCCGGUCCAUCUGCAUCGUAUUACGCACGAAAAUGGAUUACACUUGACAAUGGAUUACGCGUGAAAAUCGAUUAAAGAUCCAAACAACAUGGUACAAUACAACAACAUGAAGAUCCAAAUACACAUAUUUAAAUUAAAGUCCCAAACACUGCAUAAGUUGUUCAACUUGAAGACCGUGAUCAUCUCGUGAGGAUGUCCUCAACUGGGCGGCACCGCACUUCGUCAUUAAAGAGGUUAGAUGCUACGGAAAAGGGGACACGGUCACAAUGUCCGUAUCCACUCUUUCUCGUAGAAUCGAACCUCCUUCUUGACAUACGUUGCUGCUCGGCGGAGAACAUCCUCGGCGAGAUGAACACGGUAUGCAAGUUCAACAAGUAGCAGAAGUCAUCUAUGUACAAAAAUUCUUUCCUUACCACUACAGAAGUUGUUGAACUUGAAGACCGUGUUCAUUUCGCGAGGAUGUCCUCAGCUAGGCGGCACCGCACUUCGUCAUGAAAGAGGUUAGAUGCUACGGAAAAGGGGACACGGUCACGAUGUCCGUAUCCACUCUUUCUCGUAGAAUCGAACCUCCUUCUUGACAUACGUUGCUGCUCGGCGGAGAACAUUCUCGCCGAAAUGAACACGGUAUGCAAGUUCAACAAGUAUAUGGAUUUAAAAAACCAUAUUGAAUUUGAUAAGAUAAACCGUCUAGACAAGGUAGCAUCAUUUUUAAACCACUGAAAUAAUGCAUACUAUAUAUGACACAUCAAUCUCCCUCACAUUCUAGCUCAAAAUACCUCUCCAUUUUUCUACUUCAUCAUCACAUUGUAGCAAAUAAUCUUUCCAUCUCCAAAGCAUAAAUCAAAGCAUAACACGAGGAUGAAGUAGCAAACCUUCGCAGCACUUGUUGGCUGAGUCAAAUUCCCACGAAAAUGAGGGAAAAAAGUUCGGGCAGCACCUCCCUUGCUUGGGCACCACCGGAGAGUAGGUGAAGCUCAGCUCUCUAUCAAUGUGCUGGACUGCUCGGGCUGGAGGAAGAAGAAAGUCUCUGUCUCGGGGUAUAGUGGGGGAUGAGUUUUAAUCCCGGUUAAAAACUCCAACCGAGACAAAAGGAAACACCUUUUGUCCCGGUUGGAAAGUUAGUCCCGGUUGGAGGAUCCAACCGGGAUAAAAGGGACACCCUUUUAUCCCGGUUGGAGGCACCAACCGGGACUAACCCUUUUAUCCCGGUUGGUGCCUCCAACCGGGAUAAAAGGGUGUCCCUUUUAUCCCGGUUGGAUCCUCCAACCGGGAUAAAAGGGUCCCGCCACCGACGGCCCCCGCUAGCCGUUGCAACCGGGACUAAAGGGGGGCCUUUAGUCCCGGUUGCAAUUACCAACCGGGACUAAUGCUCCCCUCCAAAUUCCCGCACCCCGGCGCACCCCCUUUUGUCCCGGGCCACUUUUAAACCGGGAUAAAAGGGGGUUGAUCGAAAGUCAGUUCUCUACUAGUGAUCGGUGACUCCGCUCGAGGAGAAUUGUUUAUAUCAAGCAUAGAAAUGACAACGUUGGAAGUGGAGGAUAUAUUUUGCUCUGUUGAUUUAAUUGCCGCGAGAGUGGCGGACAAGUUCUAAUGAUUGAAGAUCAGAAGCGUCUCGUGGAGAAUUUUUCAGAAGCUAUAUUUGGAAUUAUUAUAUUAUCUCAGGAGCAGAUUAAAUAUAACGCCACCACUGAAAGCCGAUGAGAUGUAUCUAUCGGCUACAUGCUAUUCAGAUGAAUUUGAUGACAGAUUAAUUACGGAGGAGACCGACCGAUACAACAUUAUGGUUUCUUACUGCUGAUCUGUUAUGAAAGAGGAUGUGAGAAGCUGAUAAUCAAGCAACAAUAAAAUGAUAUACACGCAGGGCAUUAAAUAUUGAGUUAAUGAUUGGGAGUACUACCAUUAUCUUAUGAAAAGUCCAUCGGCUAACCAAACAGCGUCAGCCGAUGGAAGCAAAUAGUGUCAGCCGAUAGAAUGAUGUUAUAUAAGUAUAUAUAUCGGCCUCCGAGCCAAUGGGAAGUAGGAACUAUCAGCCGAUGCACACAUCCAUGGACAUAGCCGAUAAGACAUUGUAUCGGCUGCUUGGCAAAUAAAAAUAGCAUCGGCUGACCGCUUGUUAAAAUAUUAUCGGCCGAUUGCUUGGCAAAAUAGUAUUGGCUGACUGCUUGGCAAAUAAAAAAAUAAUAGGUUGACCAAAAAAGGAUAGCAUUGCCUGAUUGCUUGGCAAAUAAAAAAAAUUACGUCGGCUGAUUGGUUCCAGCAAAAUAGUAUCGGCUGCUUGUUGAUCAGAAAAAGCCGAUACUGUUACAGCUCCCGCAACUGUGCUUUGCUGUCAUCGGCUGGGUUGUUCGUGCUCCAUCUGCAAAUAUUUGUCCCGGCUAGAAAGUAUCGUACGUGCAUUGGGAUUCGGCAGUACAAAUCACGUACACGCGUAUGGUCUGCUCAGAAGCUGUCUGUUCGACGAAGUUCCAGGCCAAUGGUGGAGACUUGAUGACCAUGGUGACCUGCAUUAAUCAACAUGAAGUAUGUAUCGGCUGUUCGGUGAUUGGUAGCAAAUCAGCUUUCUCAUAGCCGGUGACAUAUGGGGCAAGAAAUAUCAGGCUUAAAAAAGGACAGUACGAUCAAUGUCGAAAGUUGUAGCCGACGGUUCUAUUAUUGUGCAGUCGAUGGAACAUAGAAGAUGCAUCUGAAUGAGCAAAAGGAAGGGAGCCGAUAGAAGGGAAUUUAAGUUGCAUGAGAUCCAAUUAAAUUAAGAUGACGAGAGGUGUUGACAUCGAAUCAUCGGACUUCUACGAAGUCUUCAUACUCCGAAACUAGGGAGUCUGUGUUAACACCAAAAUUUAGAAAUAUGCUGAUGCAAAAAAAUAAUGAAAUCUCCUAAAUAAGGCUCAAGAAAGAAAAAGCAAGAAAAGAAAAUCAAUCGCACGCGGCAAGAAUUGAAUAAAAUAUUCUAGAGGUAGAGUUGGUUAGGAUAAGCUUAAUUAGGGAUAGAGUUGGAUUAGUUAGAGAUAGUAUUUUGAUUAGAAAAGAUUGUGUACAUGACUUGUACGUGGUGCGUCAGAGGCCAUCCGCCCUAUAAAUAUAAGGGGUCGUGGCCAUUGUAAUUAUCAUCACACGAUCAAUAUACAACAUAUUUAUCUUUUACCUUUUCGGCUUCACGCCAUUGUAUUAGGAGUAGGAGUAAUGUAGCUUCCUGACGAGUUCCUUCUAGCAAGCUGUGCUGCAUUGACCUUGAUCUCUGGCGAGCUGCAAAGUUCCGUCACCAGGUGUUCUAGGCUUUAACCACCGGGCGCAUCGCUUGUGGUUUCGUCUAGUUUCAUCUACAAGGUAUCGAAUAUCAUGGAUCUUUAACUUACGCAUCGCUUCUGUCUUGAUCUACGGUAUUCACCAGUUAUCCUGCCUUGGUUAAGUCUGCAUCGGCUGAUAUUUAUCUGUUCUAUCAUCUUGCCGUUCAGUUUGCUUUAAUUAGCUUUAGAUCGGUUCAUUAUAGAUGAUAGAUCGCUUAAUAGCCUGUUGCAUCUUAAUCUUGGUUACCCCUUCAAGUGCUGUUGGGAUUAAGUUUCGUUAUGAUUGGAUUCAUCGGCUGGUGGGGUUGGUGGGGUUCAGAUUAACAUCGUGCUAAAUAUUUCUAGACUGCAACUACUGGACGCAUCGCUGUGGUUUCAUCUAGAGAUAUUGGUAGAGAGUUUAGUUUAGAUCUCAUCGGUUCGUGGCUCUAGCUAUGGUGGAGCGGCAGCUGAAUAGCAUCCUGUUUUCUAUCGGUCGCCUGGCCGAUAGUUAUUGCAAAAUAUAUUAAAUCGCCUGGAUGGCCGAUGGAUCACUCACGCUCGUCAAGGAUCAUAUCGGCCUGAUCGGCCAGUUGCCUCGGACUUCAAAGGAUUAUUUUCACCUUGUCAGUUGAAUGGUCAAACUGGCUGGCACGCCCGCGCACACCAUGCGCGCCGAUUUGGAUUUUGCACUGGAGUUAAGUAGAUCUUCCAGGUCCUCAUGUGGUGACGAAGGAUCCACCACCAUCAGGAUUUUGCGUCAACACAUUUUGGCACGCCCAGUGGGACACGGUUAUAAGGUUCAUAUUUUUAUUCAUAUAAAAAAGCAUCUUCGGCAUCAUCGGCCAAAUGAGUGUUCAUCGGCUUGUUAGAAUUAAUUCAAUAUAAUAUUUCAGCAAAAGCAGCCGAUGUAGCGAUUGGAGAUAAGGCCAAGUCAAGUCUGCGUGUAUACGCAUGUUCCGGUGGGAUCAUCUUCAUAAAUGCCAAUGACGAUUAGAGAUGAAGCUUCCUGCAAAAUGAUUGGCUACUCUAUCCGGGAAGAAUUGCUUUUUUAUGAGGCAUAUAUAGAGACCCAUGUUGCAAUUAGGGGGCGUAUUCGUGCAUUGGCUGAAAUAAAAAAAUGCAUCGGCAUAUUGAAAAUUGCAUCGGCCGAUUGACAGUCGUAUCAGCUGAUUGGAAAAAUAAAAAGGGAUCAGGGAUCCGCCGAUUGAAAAUUGCAUCAGCUGAUGGAAAAUGAGAGCAACAGUUACAAUAUUUUUUUUAAAAGAAAGCAAGUAUCGGCAAGCAGUAGCCGAUGGAUUUGUAUUUCAGCCAAUGGGGUUUUUGUUUCAGCUGAUAGUACUACUGGCUGAUGGCAAGUCCAAUGGAGUUAAAAUUGCAUUGACUGAUUGAAAUAAAAAUUAAGUAUCGGCUAAUUUAUGGCCAAGUAGCAUCUGCUGAUUUGUUGCAAAGUAGUUUCGGCUGAUUUAUGGCAAAAUAGAAUCGGCCGAUUUAUGGCAAAGAAGCCAAUAGACAAAAGCAUCGGCUGGUAGAGAAGCCGAUUGAGCAAGCAUCUGUUGAUGAGCUAUGUAUGGGAAAAAGUAUUGGCUGCUUAAACAAUUGACAAAAGCCAAUUGGUCAGACUGAGAAGCCAACUGGGAAAGCAUCGAUCGAUGGAUUGCGUAUGGGAGAGAGUAUCGGUUGAAGUCUUUAGUAUUGACUGCUAGAUAUUUGAGCAAGCGUCGGCCGAUUGACUGCUUGGUAAAAAAAACAUCGGGCUGAUUGCUUGGUUAAUAAAAAAAUUGCAUCGUUCAAGCAAAGAUUGCAUGGGCUGAUUGGUUCAAGCAGAAUAGUAUCGGUUGCUUAUAGAAUAUAUCGGAUAUUAAUUUCGAAGCAUGAAAAUAUUCAUACUCCGAAACUGGGGGGCCUGUGUUGACAACAAAAGCUUGCUGGUUACUGCAUCAAGUUUUGGUGUCAACAUACUUGAUCUUUUGUUUCCAUUGCCAGCGGAUUCAUCGGCUCAGAGUGGGAUCAAGACAUCAAGCUGAUGGAGUUCUUUAUAUUUCAAGAGGAGUCAUGGAGUUCUUUAUAUUUCAAGAGUAGUCGAUGGUGCUUUGAAUAUUGCAACCAGACGUCAUUGGCUCUAAAGAUACCGAAUCAUCGGACUUCUAUGAUCAGUUUCGGAACAUGAAGCCUUCAUACUACGAAACUGGGGGCCUGUGUUGACACCGAAUCAUCGGACUUCUAUAAUUAGUUUUGGAACAUGAAGCCUUCAUACUUCGAAACUGGGGGGCCUAUGUUAACACCAAAAUUUAGAAAUGUGCUCUGAAAGGAAGGUAUCGGCCGAUGAUGCAAAAAAAUAAUGAAAUCUCCUAAAUAAGGCUGAAGAAAGAAAAGCAAGAAAAGGAAAUCAACGCACACGGCAAGAAUUGAAUAAAAUAUUCUGGAGAUAGAGUUGGUUAGGAUAAGCUUGAUUAGAGAUAGAGUUGGAUUAUUUAGAGAUAGUAUUUUGAUUAGAAAAAAUUGUGUACAUGACUUGCCUUGUACGUGGUGCGUCAGAGGCCAUCCGCCCUAUAAAUAUAAGGGGUCGUGGCCAUUGUAAUUAUCAUCACACGAUCAAUAUACAACAUAUUUAUCUUUUACCUUUUCGGCUUCACGCCAUUGCAUUAGGAGUAGGAGUAAUGUAGCUUCUCGACGAGUUCCUUCUAGCAAGCUGGGCUGCAUCGACUUCGAUCUUCGGUGAGCUGCAAGUUCCGUCACCAGGUGUUCUAGGCUUUAACCACUGGGCGCAUCGCUGUGGUUUCGUCUAGUUUCUUCUACCAGUUACCGAGUAUCUUGGAUCUUUGACUUAUGGCACAUCGCUUCUGUCUCGAUCUACGGUAUUCACCAGUUAUCCCGCCUUGAUUAAGCUUGCAUCGGCUGAUAUGUAUCUGUUCUUUCAUCUUGCCGUUCAAUUUGCUUUAGUUAGCUUUAGAUCGGUUCAUCAUAGACAAUAGAUCAUUUAAUAGCAUGUUGCAUCUUGAUCUUAGCUAUCCUUCGAGUGUUGUUGGGAGUAAGUUCCGUUGUGAUUGGAUCCAUCAGCUAGCAGGGUUUAGAUUAACAUCCUGCUAAAUAUUUCUAGACUGCAACUACCGGGCACAUUGUUGUGGUUUCACCUAGAGAUAUUGGUGGUGACGUUAGUUUAGAUCUCAUCGGCUUGUGGCUCUAGCUAUGGCGGGGCAACAACUCAACAACAUCCUGUUUUCAAUCGACCGUCUAACUGAUAGCUAUUGUAAAUUAUAUUAAAUCGGCUGGAUGACGAUGAAUCACUCACAUUCAUCAAGGUACUGGAAUCGGCUUCACAGCCGAUAUAUUUGUCAUGAUUUAUUUUGUUGCACCAUUAUCGCUACUGUGCUAGGAUUAUAUCGGCCUAAUCGGCCAGUUUCCUCGGACUUCACAACGACUAUCAUCUCCUUGUCAGUUGAAUGGUCAAACUGACUGGCAUGCCCGCGCACACCACACGUGCCGAUUUGGAUUCUGCACUGGAAUUAAGCAGAUCUCCCAGGUUCUCAUGUGCUGAUGCAGGGUCCACCACCGCCAGGAUUUUGUGUCAACACCUUGUAAUCUUCCUUUGAUUUCCUCAAUGAUUCGAAGACAAUAACCUUGCUUGUAUAAAUGAUAAUUAUAAGGAGAACCUAGUGGAAACUGUGUAUUCAUAUUAGAACUACCUAUGGUUAAUUAGGUUAGGAAAGGAAAUCGAAAAUAGACCGUACCCACACUUACUUAAAGUUGUUGGGCAGUAGUAUGUAAUGCUUGUAAUUCUGUUACUCCAAGAAUUUGUAUAUGUGGUCCAAUGUAGACUUUGGUUGAUCCCAUAUCUGUUGUUGGUUAAAUAAGUGUUUCUGGCCAUUUCUAGCCGUUAGAACCGGAACUAAAGGGGGCUCUUUAGUACGGGUUGAUAUUACUAACCGGGACUGAAGAGCCCCCAUUACAGUUGGUUUUUGGACGCGGAACUAACAACUCCUUUAGUCCCGAGUCCAAAAACGACUGAGAUAGAAGAUCCUUUCUCUACCGUGAAUAUUGCCAGAAAGAAUUGAAAGAGACCGCUUGCUAAAAAUAUGUCAUAGAUGUAGACCAAGCUACCAAGGAGGUAGACCAAACAUGAUACACACCAUGCGUACCUUGCUGUGCAGACUAUGCAUAGACAAGACACCCGACCACAUGUUGGCCUCGGUCACAUCAAAAGAAUCAUGUAGGCCACCAAUAAACUACUUGAAGCGUCAUUCCGUAUCGUAUAUGCAUUGCCGGUUCAUCUGCAUUACAUUACAUAAAGUAGUAUUAACUAUUUGAAUAAAAUGAACCAAUUUAAAAGUAAUGUGUUGUACUCUACUAUAGAAAGCCCUAUCACUGUCGGAUCCAGAAACAUCAUUGUUGAUGGUCGUUAAGUACCAAGACGGUCAAUAUUCUCAAGAAUAAUGGAGAAUUGGCAUUUCUUACACACAUAUUUGGUUUUGAACAAUGUAGUCCCACAUGUCCUUGGAGAUUAUUUGGGUGUGGGUGAAAUAAUACAAAAAGAAGGAGAAAACACACUCCCAUGGUGAAGAAACAAAACUCCGACCAAUGAGAGAUAGCCACAGGGGCAGCACACGGAUCCAUGGGCCCACAAACCGCAUCAAACUGUCUUACCAAGGCGGGUAGCACCCACAACCAUGAUUAGGACCCACCUGGAUGUCUACCAAGAAGAAGGUUGUGAGUGGGGCCAGGAGGGGUUCGGCUGAAUCAUCUCUAGCUCCCCUCAUCCCCAGCUGGUGCAUGGCGGUGGUUAAUGGUGUCCCUACAUCGGUUAGAGGAGAUUCCCCCAAAUAUUCCUCCUGUAAACCACCUGUAUGGACCUAUACAUAGAGGGGUGUGCUCUCCAAUCCAACACACACCACAAGUUUAAUCACUCUCUCCCUCUUUAAUUUCCAUGUUUAUGGAGUUAGCCUAGAGUAGCUCUGCUCAAGGUUCCAAGUCCACUUGGAGUUAAGCAUAUGUCUCUUGUAUCGUUAUUUCCCAGAUUGACUUUAUGCUUAGUUCUUAUAUGCAUGAGUUAGUCUAAUAGCCUUGCUCUAUUGAUAUGCUCGGCUUAUAUGCUCGUAUGCUAGUCAUAUACCCUUGCUGCCGUAGUAUAGGCUUAUAUGCUCUCAUGUGUGCCUUUAGACCUUGCUACAAUAUAUACUUGUUGUGUAUACAUACCAUGUAUAGGCUAGUCGAUCUAUACCAUGGCAUUGGUUCAAUAGCCAUGUUUUUGGUGGCUCCAACCCUAGUCAGAAUAGCUCGGGACAGCUAGAGUGUUGUUAAAAAUGCAAGAGUGAUGGUUGGGUUGUUUAGCAUCGUUGGAUAUGGGUUUUCCCCACGGGUUUCUAAGAGUAGGCGGCAGCUAGUGACAGCCCUGUCCGUCCUUCGUAAUCCCCCCACAUUCAAGUACGCCAUAGAAGUUCAUAAAUUAGCAGUAACUACACCGGCAGACCGGUAGGGUAUUGUCUCCCUAUAGUACCUUGGUGCAUAGAACUAGGUCAUAUACACUGUGUGUCUAUGUUUACGCUGAUAUGAUCUGUGCAGUAUAUAGCAUGUAUAUAUGAACCUAGAGCUAACUCCUAGUCCAUUCUCCGUAGCUUAGUUAUCUUGAGAUGAUUCUUCUGUGUGUGUAACACUACCCAUCUUAUCAUUAUCCUUAAUCCUGUCUUGUGUAAUAUAUCUACUCAUCCUAUGAUAUACUCAUAUGCAUAGUAAACUAUUUUGACCUACCCGCCUUCCUUUGGGAAAUACGAUACCCUGGAAUAAUCCUAGGUGAAAUGCUACAACGGUAUAUCCAUGUGCUUACGGAAUUAUUCCUGACCAUUAAAUAUACCAACAAUCAUCACUAUCUAUUUUGGGCAUCGUUAGUGAAGGGUCGGCAGUGAUGGGCAUCCCCUUCACCAAUGGAGCUGGAACUGGCGGUGAUGGCCAUUAAAAAAAAUGGGACCCCACCCAGCGUACCCCGCAACCCGGCCGGCUGCGCCUCCCAUCAUCCCCGCCGGUCGCCCUUCCUCUUUGCCGGCCGAGCAUGGUUCCGGCCCUCGUCCCUACCGCCUCGCCUCCAUCGCGACCCCCUGCCGAUGCCCUCAUGCCUGGCCCCCCUCGUCUGGCCGGCCACCCUCCCGAUGCAUCCACCGGGGCCCUCGCACCACCAACCACCCUAGCCUAGAGAGAGAGAGGAGGAGGGAGGUGAGGCCACGCACCUCGUCCUACAACGCCGCUGUUGCUCCUCGGCCCACCGCGCCUCACCCCACACCACAGCCGCACCUCGCCAUCUUACCGGCCGCGACGCCCCAUCUCACCGGCCACCGUUCCUCACCCCCACAUCGGUCAUCGCUGCUCCUUGCCCUACUGCUGCUCUUUGCAGCCGCGAAUGAGGGGCGAGUGGAGGGGGAGGGGCGGGGCAGGAGGAGGGCAAGAUCCGGGAGGAAGGGAGAGAUUUUGGGAGGUGGAGAUGGAAGGAUAUGGCGGAAGGUAGAGAUCUAGAGGGAGAGAGCGGGGGGGAGAGGGGGGCAUGUGGGGAGAGAGCGCAUGUGGGGUGGGGCCGGGCUGGUGGGAUGGAAGGUAGAGGGGCCGGAGGGCGCAGUGCAUUCAACUGGAUUAAGUAAAUAUUUCGGAUUCGAGACCCCAGCUUUAUUAUCACCGCUGGUCCGUAGUACCAUUCGGUGCCGGCUCAUAAUUUAAUUUGAACCGGUGGUGAUGUUUUAUUAUCACUGCUGGUUUCAAUUUUCACCAUCGGAUCAUAUAAAAAUCCGGCGGUUAAAAAUCCGCUGGUUUCGAUGAAAACCGACAGUGAUAGGACGACUGUGAUAGUCUCUUCUCUAGUAGUAGUAUAUUAGUACCGGCUGCCGGAUGGUGUUGCCGACGAGUACUUCUCCAGGGGCGAUUCAGUACUGAUGUUAGCAAAGCUUGUUCUCUAUGAAUUUGGGGAUGGAAAGCUAGUUCUCUAGUUGUGAUUUGUUACAUAUAUCUCUAUGAUAGUCUAGAAAUUGCAUGUCCUUCGUUGACAUAGUUGAAGCUGCUUCAAGAAUUUACUUCGUGCAGUCGUGCAGCAUAUUGGAUUAUCACCUAGACAGGAUACAUAGGUGAAGCAUUGCAUGUGAUUGUGGCUGAUAAUUAUGCAGGACGCUGUUGCAAUCAACCAUCAAGAAGACUGGAGCGAUGGGGUUGCCUCAUCAACAAUUUUUAUAUAUGGCUGCAGUAUUAUUAAGCCCACGUCAAUAAUUUUUUCUCCGCAGCAUAUAUAUGGUUACUCAGUUCGCUGGAGUAUCGCUGUGGAAAAACAUACGUACUGCGCCUCGGAACUAACUGGCAUUCAGGCCAUCAACGACCAGAUAUUUGGGACAACCAACAAAUAGUAGGUGGUUCCUAAGUUGUAGUCGUAUGUACUAAUGCGCCUCGAUGGGGUUUUCUUCAGAUAUUUUAUUGCCGUUCAAUGAACAAGCAGAUACAUAACCUGUGCAGAAAAUUCCAUCUCCACGCAUGCCACUGCACCAACAAGAUCCUCAGUCGACGAUGAUGGCUCAGCCUGUUCCUUCUGCCACCAAAUCCUCAAUCUUCCCUCCAGCAACGGAGAAUGCACCUUUAGUACCUUCAGUAUCAGAUGUUGCAAUCGGUACCGUGAAACCGAGACUAAAAUCCUUACUUUGCAGGGGGCAAAACAAUCUUGCAAAUAUAUAUUUUGAAUUCCAACAAAAUUUAAGAAAUGUUAAAGAUGACUAGCUGAGAGUCAACAGACAAGAUAUGAUAUUAGGAAUGUGGGAGGAUGAAUGCAUUUGUACAGGGGUCAUACUAUUUCCAGACUCUUCUAUAUUUCCAUAUGACUACCUACUUCAAUGUCACGCGAGCCAUUCAAAAAGAUACAUGGUACACUUGUAUGUCUAAUCCAUUAUUGAUUAUUUCCUCUUGUCAUCUCUUACAAGUAUUUCUCCAUACUAUAGAAACGUGCAACACAUUUUUAGGAUAUGGACACGCAUGAUUAAUAUGCUUGGACUAGUAUACAGGUCAUCUUUGGAUGAGUACAUAUGAAUGCCAGGGAGGGACUGAUGGAUAUAAGGAAAAGGGACCAUGCAUAAAUAAUGACAUAUGUAACAUGGCAAUCUUCAUUGCCAUGCAACUCCUAUCAACAAUCAUGGAAUACAUACUACUGCUCCAGAAGGGUGGUGUGCAAAUUUAUUUUACCUCGCGGUGAAAAUCUCCAGAGCAGGCCUGAAGUUAAAAUAAGAGGCAGUCACUAUCGAUCAUGACAGUCUCGAAACUGUACAGCACUAUGCUAGUCCUAGUCCUCAUGUCGUUCGUGCUGUCGUGUAGCAUGAUGGAUUAUUAACUGGGCAGGACACGGAGAUGGCUAGCGAUGACAGAGGAUGACGUACAUGAUAUUCACCUCUGAAAUGAAGCGUAGGCUAAUGAAGCACAAUUGCAUGUGAGUGUGGCAGAUAUUUAUACAGGACAGUGAUUGCAAUAAUCGACCAUCGAGAUCGAAGACAGGGGCGAUGGGGUUGCCUCAUCAAUAAUUCGCGCAACCAGACAAGCUGCAGACUCAAUAUGGUACGAAGCUAUUUGGUCAGCCCACAUGCUCUGAUAUAACAUUGGCAUCUGCUGAUCUACAGUAUAUAUGACCAGAAAUAUUGUGCCACCUCAAUAAUUUUCCGAAGUAUCGUUGGGGAAGCACCUACAUACUAUGCCUCGGAACUAACUGACAUGUUGGCCUAGGCGGUCCAGGCCGAUUGGACAGGCUCUUCCUUAUGGCUCCUCACGUCCCCUUCGUUUCCGAGUAAUCUCAGGUGUUCUGAAGUUUUCUUUUCACUUGCAUGUGGACCUUAUAUAUCAAUAGCUUCGGGAUAAGAAUGCCUCUUGAUAACCUUCCAAAUCGUCGCUUGAUUCACUUUGAUUCCAAAAUCAUCUUGCCAUAUCUUUUGAGACUUAGGCCCUAAGGCAUCAUGGAGGAUUGCUCGCCAAGAAUGAGCACCAUUGGGCUCCUGAGGACCCUAGGCCGAUCAGCCUGGGCUCUAUAGGUUGAUUGGCCCAGGCCCUCUCUGGGCCCAUUGGCCUUCAUCUUUCUCUGAGUCGACGCUUAUUGAGGGCUUUGUCCAAUUAUAGUCCAUUAUAGUCUAAUUUCCAAAAAAAUAGAAUAUCCUCCAAAAUACAAUACAUUUGUGAAAACAGCCCAAUUAUUAGGUAUGAUCAAUAGUCUAGGUAUUAAAUUAAUGUUAUUAUUUAAGAUAAAUAGGGAUAAAGGGUGUCAUUAAUAACGAGCACCAACCAGCGUACCAGCUGUUAACACUAACCGAUGCUAAUAUGUACCCUUUAGUACCGGCUAUUUCACCCGGUACUAAACGAGACAAGAGCACCCUAACAGAGGUUAAUACCAUCCAUUUCAUGAGUAAAAUACUAUGAUUCAAAAAUAAUUCAAAUCCCUUAAGACAAUACCUAUCAAAUGAGUAGAUUGUAAAUAGAGUAAAACAAUGUCCUAAUGAAACGGAACACUUCUGGUUCGUGUAGAGCACAAUAUAGAAAACAGUAGGGUAGCUGUACGAUUGACACGUGGUCCAUUAAUUAUUGAGCCAUCACUAUGGACAUGUCUUCAUGAGUAGUGUACUAGUCAUGACACAUGGUAUGUAGUAGGUGGAGGUAUUGAGUUAGCCAUGCCAUGAGCACUUAGUUACAACAAACACUUUGCCAUUAUCGAGCAUCCCAAAUCACUACAAAAUCCAUAGUUUACCAUAUACUACAAAAUCUGAGUUAAAAUAAGAGCAUACACGGAAGAGUCCGAAUGCACCGGUUUAGGACCAGGCACAUUGAAUUACUAGAAAAAGUUAUCGGACAAGGUUUUGGGUAACCGCAUGAAAAAUGUUGGAUUUUACUGAACACUUAGUUACAAUUACCAUGCCGUGAGCACUUAGUCACCACAAACAUUUAACCACUUUAGAUCAUCCUGAAUCCCUAUAAAUUCUGUACCUUACACCGUACCAUGAAAACGACAAGAACAGAGACAGAUGCAGUGAAAAUCUCCAGAGCAGGCCUGAAAUUAAAAUAAGAGGAGGCAGUCUCUAUCGAUCAGGACACGGAGAUUGCUAGCCAUGACAGAGGAAGACAUGAUAUGAUAUUCACCUCUGAAAUGCAGCGUAGACUAAUGAAGCACAAUUGCAUGUGAGUGUGGCAGAUAAUGGACCAUCGAGACCAUCGAAUGGUAUGAAGCAUGAUUAUCACCUAGACAUGAUAUCCUAGACAGGACGGUGAAUUGUAAAAAGAGUAAUCUUGAUCAAAGAAUGUCCUAAUGAAACGGAACAUUUUUGGUACGUGUAGAGCACAAUAUAGAAAACAGUAGAGUAGUUGUACGAUUGAAACUGCAUCCAUCCACGUGGUCCAUGAAUUGUUGAGCCAACACUGUGGACAUGUCUUCAUGAACACCAUCUAGUGAGGACAGGAUGCAGAAAAAUAUAAAAACAUGUCAUAGGGAGGCAGACCAAUCUUGCAAGGAGGUAAACGAAACGUGAUACACGAUCUGCCUACCUUGUCGUGGAUACCCCAAGAGAAGAUGUCAUAGAGGUGCAGACCAAGCUAGCAAGGAGGUAGAUGAAACGUGAUACACGGCCUGCCUACCUUGCCGUGGAUAUUAGCCCUGAUAUCAUUCUAUUGUUCAAGGAAUAACACUCAAUGCUGCUGCUGCUGCUGACCUGGCUCCAUAAAGUUGUAUUCCUCUAGCCGCUUGCACUAACUUUAUCUGAAGUAUUAUUCUCUCUGCCCUGAUAUCUGAAGUAUUAUUCUCUCUGCUGACUUUGCUGAAGAACCUACAUAAUAUGUCUUGGAACUAACUGACAUUGAUUCACAGACAAACUCUACAAGGUGCUGUUGUUGCCAUAUUUUAGAGCAUCCCAAAGGACUAUAAAUAAUAUAGUUUACCAUAUACCGUAUACCAUUAUAUGUUAGCUAAAAUAAGAGCAUAACAUGUCGCAGGAGUCCAAAAGCACCGGUUGAGGACCAGGUACAUUGAAUUACUAGAAAAAGACAGGGGGCAAUGUUUAGGUAGCCACAUGAAAAACAUUUGAAUUUACUGUUCCAUGAACACUUAGUUACCAUGCCGGGAGCACCUAGUUAACACUAAAAUUUAGCCACUUUAGAUCAUCCCGAAACACCCUCAAUAGCGACAAAUUUUGAUUUAAAUGCCGUCACCAAUGAUCCUCAAUAGCGACGUGUUUAGGUUUAAAUCCCGUCACUAAUAACCCUUGGUAGUGACGUGUUUUGGUUUAAAUCUCAUCCCACUGAUCCUCAAUAGUGACGUGUUUUUAGCAACACACGCUAUGAAUGACUUGUCAUUGGUGACAUGUUAAAUGCGUUAUCUCAAUGGCAAAUCAUUGGUGACGUGUUUUAAAAAAACAUGUCACUGUGAGAGUUAUUGGUGAAGGGUAAUUAAAAUGCAUCACUAAUUUUGUAGCAUUAGUUAUGAUAUAAUUUAGUAACGCAAAAAUCUACCAUCAGUAAUGAGGUUUAGAGCCGUCGCUAAUGUGGGUUUCUUACGAGUGAUGCAAGCUCUACAAGGUGCUGUUGUUGCCAUUUUAAAGCAUCCCAAGUGACUACAAGUUAAUAGCAUAGUUUACCAUAUACCAUAAAAAUAUUAGUUACAAUAAGCACAUCCGCAUGUGGAAGAGUCCGAAUGCACCAGUUGAGGACUAAACACAUUGAAUUACUAGAACCAAAUGUAAGACAAAGAAAGGGGUCAAGGUUUGGGUAACCGCAUUAAAAACAUUGGAUUUUACUGUACCAUGAACACUUAGUUACCAUUACCAUACCUUGAGCAUCUAGUUACCACAAACAAUAAUUUAGCCACUUUAGAGGUUCCAGAAUCACUAUAAAUAAUAUACCAACACCGUACCAUGAAAACAUCAAGAAGAGAGACGGGUACAUGGACCACCAUCAAGUGAGUAGUGACAGCACGCACAAGAAUACCCGGAACCUGUUAGCUUGUCUGUAGUGAUCUGUUUUCUUCCCCAUAAAAUCCAUGAGUAUUGCCACAAAUAAUGAAAGAGGCUGACCAAGCUAACAAGGAGGUAGAGAAAACGUGAUACACGUAGGUUUCAUUCAAGACAUCCAUGUAAGAUUCAUUCAAAACAUUCAUGGAAAUUUCUUGUAAGUUUUCAUGUAAAUUUCAUUCAAGACAUUUGUUAGAGGUGUUGUAUAUAUAUACCUUAACGUACAUAUAUCUAUGAUUUCAUGGUUGUUAGUGAUGGCAGAUGAGGAGCAUGCAAGGUAUUUAAUGGAGCAGAUUAUUGCUAGUGGUAGUGGCUCCAACCUGCCCGUAACGUACACCAACGAAGAGAGCAGCCAGGCGGACAUGUUCCUCAACAUAUCCGGUGAUGGCAAUGAAGAGCCCGAGCAAAACCUUGCCGUGACGGAAGGUUCCAGUGAGGUAUAUAUCAUUUCCAUUGUUUUACCCCAUCUAUAAUUUCAUAUUCAUUAUUACUAUGUACUAAUUAAUGGAUCUUGAACCAUUAGCCCUCUAGAUCAACGAACCGAAAUAAGCCCCGAGGUCUUACAAAGAUAAUGCAGGGAAGGCAUCACAUCACGGAAGUCACAGAAGAGGGCACAUCAGUUGCUCCCGAACAUGUGGCAAGAAAGUACGUGAGUCAAACCGGGCAAUGUGCCCAUCAGCAUUAGGGAAUGAAAGGGCAAUAGAAAUGAUCUAUACACGCCCCCGGAUACACAAAAGGAUAUGCUGUGGGCAAAUAUCAAGAAACACUUCACAUUUCCCAAAGGAUAUGUUGAAAAAGAUGUGAAAGCGUGGAUGCUGAAGAAGAUGGUCACCGAAUUCCAGACAUUCAAGAAGAUGUUGGAUGUCAACUUCAUCAAGAAGGGUCGAACUCCGGGUUUCGAUGAGUGGCCAAAGUUAAGGGACCACUGGGAGUCAUUUGUCAAAUACAAGACGAGUGAAGGUGGUGCGAGUAAGGUUCGCAUCAAUGUUGCCAAUGCUAGCAAGGAGUACCAUCAUCAUCUAGGGCGACGUGGUUACAGCACUGCAAUUCCCAGAUGGCGCAAGAUGGAACAAGACCUGAUCGAUCGGGGUAUCGUACCAGCAACUCCUGACUGGCCUGAUCGAUUGAAAAAUUGGUAUUAUGCUCAUGAAGGCAAUCUGAGCCAACAGGAUGCGACAUUGGUCUUCAAUAAAACAAUACGUCAGAAGGCCGGAAGGCUUAUUAGGAACAUUGAAAAUGCUAAAUCUGGGAGGUUCAAGGUGGAUAGAGAGAAUGAUGAGCUCACAUUGGCCCUUGGGACUAUCAUCUCUAGCAUUUCCAGCUCCAGGACUGUCGUCACCACCGGGACCGUCGCUUCUUGCUCGAUCACAGUCUCCAUCUCCAGCACAUCCUGGUGGUGCGAACGAUGACGACAACAACACCCCUCCCUGCCCACCAUCGCCGGGACUAAGACCCGCAUCGAGUAAGGAACCUGCAGCACCACUGAAGAAGUCGCGACCACCGCCUUCCAAGCCAAGUCAGCAAAAGAAGAAAGCAGAGAAGCCUAAGCCCACUGAGAAGCCAACAACCGAUAUGACCGAUGCGGAAAGAUGGAAGGCACUCAAAGAAGAAUGCAGGGAGUGGUUCUGUAAAAAGAACCAAAGAAAGAAAAGGAAAGCAGAUGGAGCCACCGCCAGUAGAUCCAAGAAAAUUAUAAUUUUUUAUUAAGAUGUCAAAAGGAGCCAAGAAGAUGAUUCCACAACUAUCAAACUACGACCGGGCGUUAGUCAAGGCUGAUGAGAGUUAAAAAAGGAAAGGAAAGUCAUCUUCAAGUGGUACUGUCCCCCACCUCGAGGAUCUACCAGAAAAAGACGCUAAAAAGAUAGUAGCAAUGCUCUUGGAUCAACAAACACAUAUAUCAUGAGAUUCAUGCAAGAAACAGGUAUGUGCCUUGCUGAAUGUCUAGGGCAAGUUGAUAUGCUAGCUCUAGAGCCAUUUGUACCGAAAUGGACCUUUGAGCUAGGCAAGCCUCUAGUAAGGCCUGAGCUGGUACAGAAGCUAUCCACAUAGCUAUAUGAAUACCAUGAAUGGUACAUGAAGCAGUCUGCCAAUGAGAGGAAAAUGUUCGGUCUCAGGGAAAAACUGAUAUUUUUUUUCGGCGAAGGCGAGAAAGUCUUGUGAUGGAAUUCAAGGAUAUAUAUGAAGUGUACCAUCAGGAUGCCCUUGAUGUCUCUCUCAUCAGCGCCUAGGUUAUGUAAGUGUAUGUUUAUCUAUACGUAAUUUUUGUCUCAUAUCAUUAUUUCUUUUGCGUGCGUCACCCUACUAACUUCGUCUUCCAUUUUAUGUAGGAUGCUAAUUCAGAUGUGCCGCAUAGAAGCGCACUUCCAUGUUGGCUUCAUGGAUCCAUCCCUAGUUAACCAAAAGCAGAUACGGAAGUAGCUAGAGAAAAUGUUGGAGGUGGUAUACAACUUCCUGGACAAACAAAACUAUAGAAUAGGGGCAAUAUGUGAAGGUCUUGUAGGAUUCCUAGUGGACAAGGUGAUAAAUCCAUAAGGAGAAUAUCAUUACAACGGACGAGCAUUAGACACACUGAGCAACACCUAGACGGGAGGAUCCUAGGAAUGACCUAGACAGAUUUUGGUAUAAAUAGUAAUUGUGUAAAUACUAGUUUGAUUUGUAUAGGAAUAUACUAAGAAUUGUAUAUAUAGUAAUUGUACAAAUACUAGUUUGAUUUGUAUAAAUACUAGAUUGAUUUUAUUAUAAAAAAGUUUUAAGUCGUACGUGCAUGCGCCUACAAAGGCGCGUAUGCCCUUUAAUCCCGGUUGGAAAAACAAACCGGUACUAAAGGGGCUCGUGCCGCACCUGGCAUGACCGCCCCUUUAGUCCCGGUUGAACGACCCAGGACCAAAGAUCUGCCCCGUCUCAUAAAUUUUAUCCUGGAUGCUUUUUAGAGAGAUUUGAGGCCUAUCAACCAAGACUAAUAUCGAGUUUUCUACCAGUGGAACUAACUAACGUUCACAUGCUUCUGACAUUCACCUGCCAUUUGGUGUAGACAAGGGCACCCUAACAUAUGGUUAAUAUUAUUCAUGAAAGAAAAUCCUUUGAUUCAAAAAUACUUCAAACCUAAUAAUACAAUACUUCUCACAUCUGAAAAAUAUGAGAUGGCCCGACAGUAUUCUAACCGACGCAAUAAUAUUUUGAGGGCAGCACUACUACAGCGACCCUCAUUCGUGCCGGUGCUGGAACCCCUAUCACGACCCUGAUACAAAUGAGGGUACAUUAUUGUUGCCAGUGCUAGAAUAGCCACGAAUAACUUGCUAAACAUGCUGUUACACUCACUACUAGAAAAAUAACCUCUCGUCCUGAGGCUUAGUACCGGUCACUUUUUUGCCCAGUACUAAUGUUAGUAUUAGUACCGGAUCCAAAUUUGGGAUCCCCCAGAGACCCUUUAGUACCAGGUGGAGUCUCCACCCGAUACUAAAGGCUUUGUUACCGGGUGAAGGAUCCUCCCGGUACUAAUGGGGGAUUUUUAGUACCGGGUGGGAACCCCACCCGAAACUAAAAUCUCCCAUGCGGACCCCUCCCCCCCCCACGCGUUGCCUCUGUCCUCCCUCCUCCUCCUCUGAGUAGUUAUCCCUUCCUCAUCCCUCCUCCUCCUCCCACACGUGGGGUGAGGUGAGGUGGCAGUAGCAACGACAGGUGGUGUGGCGGGUCACGGCGGGCCGGAUGCGGAGCCGCAACGGUGGUCGGCGGGAUGGGGUGGGGCAGAGCGGCAUGGCAGGGCGGAGCGGUGGGACGGGGCCGAGGUGGAGGUGCCGGGCGGAGGUGGAGUGGCAGGACAGAGGCGGAGGCGGAGCGGCGGGUCGGCGAGCGGGUGGAGGGUGGCGACGAUGGGGCGGGCAGAGGCAGAGGGGUGGGUGGAGGGGCGGCGUGGUCCACCGGCGGGGGGGGGGGGGGGAGAGGGAGGCGUGGGGGGUGCGGUUGGUGAUUUCAAUUUUCUUUUAAUUUUUUAACACCCUUCAGUACCAGUUAUUUUAACCGGGUCUAAAGGGAUCCCCUCUUGUACCGAAUUGCUAGUACAGGAUGCACAACCGGUACUAGAGGGAGGUUCCCAACCGGUACUAGAGCCACUUUCCCCGGUAGUGACUUUUUCACCGAUUAGAAUAUGUUAUUAUUCUAAUCAGCUUUUGUUGAUCUCCUGUAUAAUUUAGUACCUAAUUCUACUAGCAAUUGUUAACGCCGACACGUAUUGGGUAUAGUCCUAACAGUGUCUAACUAGGGCACUACAUUUGUUAACCUAUAACUACUGGUAUCGAUUAGCCCUGGUUAGAAUACUGUCAAGGCAGCCAGAAAAAAUUGUUUGCCAAUUCUGCUAUCCAUCAGAACCAUGACUAGUACCGUAUUGUAAUAAACGAAUUACACAAAUAACUGAUGCACACAAAGGAAUAUGCACUCGCAUGUGCUAGACGUUCGUAGCAACAACAAAUUACUCUCAUCAUCAAUUAAACAUAAUAGAUUAAACAUUAACUGAACAUAGUUCAACACGUACAUCAACAAGACAAAGCAGUUUAAACAUCAACUGAACAGAACUGAAAACAUACAUCAACUGAUGAUAAACUUCGACAUGAACACAACACAUAAACAUCAACUUCAAUAGAACUUAAUAGAGCAUAUUAAACAACAACAUCGACAAAACAUAUAAACCCAGCUCAGUAGCUCAAGCAUCAACUAAAACUGCUGAAUUAAAAUAACAUAACAUAGUGUAGUUCAUCAUGAUGAUAACUAACAGAACCGAAAAGCCUAACUGGGUAAAAGAGCAAUUCAUUCAUAAUGCUUCAGCACUUACAUCACCGGAGUAUGCAACUGGCGGCGUCGCUUACGUCACUAUCACCGCGCUUGGCGAGUAAAGGAGGAGGAGGUGGCAUAGUAAUCGAAGAGGAGGCCGCUGUCGGCGGGUUUAGACUACGUGGAGGUGUGGGUAGGGUUAAGGUGGCUCUGUGGACGAGUAUAUAUAAGAGGUCUGGGCUUGUUAGAAUAAGAUAACAUUCUAACUGGCCAAAUUCGGAUCCGGUUAGAAUAAAUUGUUCUAACCAGCCUUAAUUCGAGGUGGUAAGGAUAAGUUAACAUUCUAAUCAGCUCUAUUUGGAGCCCGAUUGAAUGUUCUUGUUAUUCAAAAAAAGAUCAAGUUCAUCAAUUUUUUUCUAGAAAAACAUCAAGAUAAUUUAAACACGAUAUAUAACAAGAUUAAUACAUUUAAAAAUUGUUUUCUCCAAUAAUUAACGAUAUUUAACAAAUUCAAAAAAAAUCCAAAUUAACAGAACAUAAUAACCAAUUGUUCGAAAAAAUCAAAAUAGUCCACACAGUAUCAUAUUACAAAUUCAGAAAAAUAUCAAAAUAAUCCCUGAUCCACUCGAUACCGUCGUAGAACUUUGAAAUACUGAGCUUCUUGAUUCAUCUGAGGUCCACGUACUCGUCUCAGUAACACUAGUGGUGGCCAUGCAUCUUGUAGAUGUCUUCUAAUGAAUUAAGCUUGACAUACAAGGUCGUGCCUUCCACUCCUUGAGGAUUGCUUAUGACGUUUCUGCAAAUAACGAAGCAUUGCUUUCUCCAACAUGAUUAUUUUCUUCGGCUUAUCCCAAGGGACAACUAUGGUUUUCCCCUUGCCGGAAGAGGAACGAUGAUCGCCCCCACCAUCGCCACUUCCUCCAGUAGCAGAAGCCAUCUAUGUACAAAAAUUCAUACCUUAGCACUACAGAACUUGUUGAACUUGAAGACUGUGAUCAUUAGGCGAGCAUGUUCUCAACUAGGUGGCACCGCACUUCGUCAUGGAAGAGCUUCGAUUUUACAAAAAAGGGGACAUGAUCUUCCAUGAUGUCCGUAUCCGCUCUUUCUCGUAGAAUCAGAGCUCCUCCUUGAUAUACGAUGCUGCUCGGCGGAGAACAUGCUCACCGAGAUGAACACGGUAUGCAAGUUCAACAAGUAUGGAUUUGAAAAACCAUAUUGAAUUUGACAAGACAAACUAUCUAGAUAAGCGUAGCAUCAUUCUUAAACCACUGCAAGGAUACGUACUAUAUAUGACACAUCAAUCUCCCUCACAUUCUAGCUCAAAAUACCUCUCCAUUUUCUACUUCACAUUCUAGCAAAUAAACUAUCUAUCUCCAUUCUACACAUCAAGUUGUUUUAACUAAUACAAAUCGUAUAUAACAAGCAAAAUAUCCAUCACAUUCUAGCUCAAAAACAUGUAUAAAUACAAAUCCUCUUCAUUCUCCCUUUUUCUAACAAACAAACUCAUUUUUCUCCCUCUCCAAAGCAUAAAUUAAAGCGUAACAUGAGGAUGAGGUAGCAAACCUUCACAACACAUUGGAUGAGUGAAAUUCCCACGAAAAUGAGGGAAAAAAAUUCGGGCAGCACCUCCCUUGCUUCGGCACCUCUAGAGAGUAGGUGAAGCUCAGUUCUCUAUUUUUGUGGUGGACUAGCUUGGGCUGGAGGAGGAAGAAAGGCCUCUGUCUUGGUAUAUAAUGGGGGAUGAGUUUUUAUCCCAGUUAAAAGCUCCAACUGAGACAAAACGGCCAAUCUUUUGUCCCGGUUGGAGCCUCCAACCGGGACAAAAGGGGCACGCCAUCGACGCACGGGAGCUAGCCGUUACAACCGGGACUAAAGGGGGGCCUUUAGUCCCGGUUGCAAAUACCAACUGGGAUUAAAUCUCCCCUCCAUUUUUGCCUACCGUGGUGCGCCCCCUUUUAUCCCGGGUCAACUUUAAACCGGGACAAAAGGGGGCGUCGAAGAUCAGUUCUCUACUAGUGACCCCUCCCCACCUAUCUCUCUCCCUCCAUGCUCCUCGAUCUGUGCCUCCCCUCCCCUCCCCUUCCACUCGCCCCUCACCGACGGUAAGGAGCAGCGGCGGGGCGAGGUGAGGUGGCAGCAGCAAUGGCAGGUGGUGGGUCGCAGCGGAGCGGCUACGGUAGGCAGCCGGACGGGGCAGAGCGGCGGGGCGGGGUGGAGGCGGAGGUGGCGGGUAGAGGCGGAGCGGCGAGGCGGAGGCGGAGGUGGAGGCGGAGUGGUGGGACGGCAGGGCCGGGCGACUAGUAUAGGUGGGCGGGCGGAGGGCGGCGACGGCGGAGCGGGCGGAGGCAGAGGGGCAGCGGGGGCCGCCGGCGGGGGGUGUGAUCGGGGAUUUCAAUUUUUUUUAAAUUUUUUAACACCUUUUAGUCCAACUGGUUCUAAAGGGACCCCUCUAGUAUCAAAAUUGCUAGUACCGGUUGCACAACCGGUACCAGAAGUGGUUCCUAACUGGUACUAGAGCCACUUUCCCUGGUAGAGACUUUUUUACCAGUUAGAAUAUGUUAUUAUUUUAAUCAGCUUUCGCUGAUCGCCAGUAUGAUUUAGUACCUAAUUUUACUGGCGAUUGUUACCGCUGACACGGAUUGGGUAUAGUCCUAACAGUGUAUAACUACGGCACUACAUUUGUUAACCUAUAACUACUUGUAUCGAUUAGCCCUGGUUAGAAUACUGUCAAGGCAGCCAGAAUUUUUUUUUUUUGCCAAUUCUGCUAUCCAUGAGAUCCAUGACUAGUACCGCAAUGUAAUGAAUGAACUGCACAAAUAACUGAUGCACACAAAAGAAUAUGCACUUGCACGCUAGACGUUCGUAACAACAAAUUACUCUCAUCACCAAUUGAACAUAAUAGAUUAAACAUUAACUGAACAGAAUUCAACACGUACAUCAACACGACAAAGCAGUUUAAACAUCAACUGAACUGAACUGAACACAUACAUCAACUGAUGAUAAUUAUCGACAUCAACAGAACACAUGAACAUCAACAUCAAUAGAACUUAAUAGAGCAUAUUAAACAACAACAUCGACAAAACAUAUAAACCCAGCUUAGUAGCUCAGGCAUCAACUAAAAUUGCUGAAUUAAAACAACACAACGUAGUGUAGUUCAUAAUGCUUCGGCGCUUACACCACUGGCGGGUCGCUUACGUCGGCAUCACCGCGCUGGCUGAACCUCCGACACCCCCACCACGGCAAACGGAGGUGAUGGCGGAAGGUGAGGCAACGACAGUAGCUGGUGAGCUCCCGCUCCAAUGUCUCGCGAGUAAAGGAGGAGGAGGUGGCAUGGGAAUCGAAGAGGACACUAGUAGAGAAACGACUUUCCAUCCACCCCCUUUUGUCCCGGUUUAAAGUUGGCCCGGGACAAAAGGUUCACCAACCGGGAUUAAAACUCGGUCACUGGUGGGGGGCUCACCAACCGGGACCUUUUAUCCCGGUUGCAAAGGCUAGUGGGAAAAAAUUACUCUGAGAGGCCUUUUAUCCCGGUUUGAAACACCAACCGGGAUAAAAGACCCCCCCUUUUAUCCCGGUUGGUAACACCAACCGAGAUAAAAGGGUCAAGAGCCUUUUAUCCCGGUUGGAAACACCAACCGGGAUAAAAGGGGGUCUUUUAUCCCGGUUGGUGUUUCCAACCGGGAUAAAAGGGUCCCCCACGAGUUAAUACAAAAGGAUAGUAUCCCCUACAUAGUCAGAUGUGGUGUGUAGGUGGGAUGGUAAGGAAGCUACGCGCGAGGCUGGAGGUUGUGGGUUCGAAUCCCACGAACCGCGCACGCGCAUAUUUCGCGUGAAAAAUCGCGUGACUUGCGACUUGCGCGUGUGGGGGGGCCUCCUGGGAGCUCGGGAAUUUUUUUUUUUUGCAGCGCCGGCCGUGGGUGAACCCUUUUAUCCCGGUUGGUAUUACCAACCGGGAUAAAAGGGGGUCUUUUGUCCCGGUUGAGUGACCCGGGAUAAAAGACCCCCCCUUUUGUCCCGGUUGGUUUAUCCCGGAUGCAUUUUCGAGAUCUUUGCACCCUACCAACCGGGAUAAUAGGUGAGUUCUCCACCAGUGGGAGGCCGCCGCUGGCGGGUUUAGACUACGUGGAUGUGUGGGUAGGGUUAAGGUGACGGUGUGGACUAGUAUAUAUAAGAUGUCUGGGCUUGUUAGAAUAAGAUAACAUUCUAACCGGCCAAAUUCGGACCCGGUUAGAUUAAAUUGAUAUUCUAACCGGUCCUAUUUCUAGGUGGUAAGAAUAAGUUAACAUUGUAAUUGGCUUUAUUUGGAACCCGAUUGAAUCUUCUUGUUAUUCAAAAAAACAUCAAGUUCAUCAAUUUUAAUCCAGGAAAACAUCAAGAUAAUUUAAGCACGAUAUAUAACAAGAUUAAUACAUUUAAAAAUUGUUUGAUUCACAAAUUAACGAUAUUUAACAAAUUCAAAAAAUCCAAAUUAACAGAACACAAUAACCAAUUGUUCGAAAAAAUCAAAAUAAUCCACACACAUUAAUAUAUUACAAAUUCAGAAAUAUAUCAAAAUAAUCCCCGAUCCACUCGAUACCGUCAUAGGACUUUUAAAUACUGAGCUUCUUGAUUCGUCUGAGGUCCACCUACUCGUCUCAGUAACACUAGUGAUGGCCAUGCAUCUUGUAGAUGUCUUCUAACGAAUCAAGCUUGACGUACAAGGUCAUGCCUUCCGCUCCUUGAGGAUAACCAUCUUUGGUGAUCUUGAAAUGGCAGACGGUGGAUGUGCCAAAGGUACGUGACGAUCCUUCUAAAUGUAUGCCACCACAACUUCCGUCUGAUCGCCAUGGGUGACACCAAGAAGAGCUACCAUGCGGCAAGGGACGAACAAUUUAUCAAUUAGUGCCGCUGUCCAUCGCCAUCAUCUAAUCCAGCCAUAUCUUGUUGUAUAUUUAAGUAUAGAAAUUAAGAUUUAAAAAUAAACAGAAUAAAUUGAGAUCGAUUAUGUAUGUAUAUCAGAACAUUAGCUUUUGGAAAAAGGGCUUCGAUGGAAGAGAGGCACGGGGCAUAGAGACAACAACGAGUGACAAUAUGUCAGAAGAAUACCCGAUCACAAUUAUUGGCACACACAGCCGAUAUUUACAGUAGUCAAUACCCCUGGUAAAUAACCACACCAUCAAGAGUAAAUAGUGACAAUAUGCAGUAUAUACACGACAUAGCCUUGGCUGCCGUGGAAGCACCAGAAGGGAGACAAAUAACAGGGACCACUACAUCAAGUAGAUAGUGACAAUAUGCAAAAGAAUACCCGCGCCUGUUAGCAUGUGUGAACUGACCACACCACGAAACGUGAUACACGGCAAGCGUACCAAGGCCUUGCUGUGCAGACUAUGCAUGGACAACACAUGGUACCUGACCGCUUUUGGCCUCAGACACAUCAAAAACUGCAUCGUUCCACGUUGUACAUCCAUUGCUAGUUUAUCUAUAUUACAUAAUAUAUUAUUAGCUAUUUGAAUAGAAUGAACCAAUUAAAAAAUUACGUUGUAUUUUAGUACCGGCUGCAGGAUGGUGUUACCAACCAGUACUAAUUGGCCUGUAGGAGUGAUGGUUAUUAGACUUGGUACUGUUGUUAGCAUCAUUAACCUAAUUGUGCGCCGUAUGAAUUUGGGGAUGCAAAGCUAGCUCUCUAUGAAUGUGAGGGAUGGAAAGCUAGUUCUCUAGUAGUAAUUAUAUAUAUGACAGUCAGGAAAUCGAACACUAUGCUGCUACGAGUCACCAUCAUUUCCUUCAUUGACAAUCUGACAUAGGUGAAGCUGCUUCAAUAAUUUCCUUCGCGCAGUCGUGGAGCUUAUUGGAUUAUCACCAGGACGGGACACGGAAAUGGCCAGCAAUGAAGCUGAUUGCCGUCUGAGGAAGACUACAUACUUACCUAUGAAAUGAAGCGAUUGCAUAGACUAAUGAAGCAUUGCAUAUUUGCAUGUGAGUGUGGCAGAUAAUUCUGCAGGACAUGAUUGCAAUCCACGCACCAUCGAGAAGACUGGGGCGAUGGGGUUGCCUCAUCAAUAAUCACGUGGAUGCAUGCAUGCAUGUUCCCUCAACCGGACAAGGGUCUGAUAUAUGGCUAUAGUAUUACUGAGCCCACAUCAAUAAUUUCCGCUGGUGUAUCGUGUGGGAAGAAUCAACAUACUACACCUCUGAGUUCUUGGAACUAACUGACGUUCACAUGCAACCUCCACAAGGUGCUGUAUGCUUUUGACAUUCACCUGCCAGUUCGUGUAGAGGACACCCUAACGUAUGGUUAAUAUUAUCCAUUUCAUGAGUAAAAUACUGUGAUUCAAAAAUACUUCAAAUCCCUUGAGACAAUACUUCUCACUUGACUAACCACUAACCAACCCCGAAACCCUAACUCAACUCCGAACCCUAACCCCUAACGGCAUAACCACUCCGUUUUGCCGGCGAGAUGGAGGAACUGGCUGGAAGGUAGAGAGGGCAGCGGUCCAGGGUUGAAAACGACGGGCGAGCGCAGUAACAUGUGGAGGAGGAAGUGCCACGUAUUCGUUCACCGCUAUUGGGCAGCGACACACGACACGCCCAAUAAGAUCUUCGCACGGUAGAAGGACGUCAUGUAUUCAAUAAUGUUAUUGGUCCCCCAUGUGCAGAAGGGCGCGCGCGUAUGGAAUAACAAGUAGGGACACUGCAACUAAUCUACUCUGCUCGUCCAGUCCCUAGCCUAUAAAUAGAUGCCAUGCUAGCUCUUGUUGUGCUCACAAUUAAUCCGAUUACACACGAGCUUCUCUCCCUGGCCAAGACACAACCAUAGUAUGAUGAAGAACAUGGCACUAGCCGGCAAUGGUAUGAAGAAGUUAAUCCUCGCUGUUCUCUUACUGUGUCUAGUUAUAGGGCAGAUACAAGUGGAAGCUAAGAGCUGCUGCCCAUCCACCACUGCAAGAAAUGUCUACAAUACCUGCCGUUUCACGGGUACAUCCCGUCCAACGUGUGCAAAACUGUCAGGCUGCAAAAUUAUCAGCGGGAACAAAUGCAAGCCCCCUAACGACCACCUCACCCUUGACCCGGACACUGGUAAAUAAUAAAUUUAUCUCACUUGAUUUCUUCGUGAUUUGAGUCGUUAAUGUAUUUUCCAUCUGAUGAAACGUAUUGGUUUUGCAUUGAAGAGGAAGUUAAUGUGCUUAACUUCUGCAAGUUGGGGUGUGCGUCGUCUGUGUGCAACAACAUCAACGCUGGUAAGCAACUUUUGCUCAGACAGAGAAAACAAUAAUCAUUAAUUAGCGGCAGCUAGAAUCCUAUAAUCUAAUAUAUAUAUAUAUAUAUAAUUUUAUCAGCUCUGGGAAAUGAAGAGGCGAACGAUGCCGUUGAGAGUUGCGACCAAGCCUGCUCUAGCUUCUGCAGCGUGCAUGUUGGCAGCGCCACCGUGGUUGCUUAAGCAAAUGCAUCCAACUAGAUCGUCCUUGUGCUGAAUAAUUGGAUAUCGUAUCCACUUAAAGCUGCCUUGUGUAGUACGUCUUUGUGUCUCUCUUUAUAUUCCAAUAAGGUCGGUGAUCUUGAUGCCACACACUCAGAUGUGUGUUCAUCUCCAGAUACUACUCCAUGCUACCUGCCCUUUGUGUUUUGUUCAAUAACUGGGUAUCAUAUCCCAGCCAGUAUGCCGUCUGUUUUGUGUUUGUUUCCUUCUAGUUCCAAAGGGGUCAUCAUGAUGUUACCUUCUUUCAAUAUGGUGCUUUGCAUGACUACUGUUGUAUGGUACCAUCUUGUGGCCAAUAAGUACAUCUUAUCCUAUGACCUUUGCUAUGACCCUUUGCAAAUAAGUAGAAGAUUGUUAUAAGCGUCAAUACUCCGUAUAAAUUGAUCGCUGCUGUGAGUUCCCUUUCAGCUUAUCGUAGGCAUACAUUAUUGCUAGCACGGUAAAGCCAACCAACACGAAUGAUGAAGUAAACGUAGCGGUACUUCUGUAUACCAACACCCUUACUUAAAUGUACCGGUGUCAUUCCCUACUGGCACAUAUAUUCUUAUAUGCUAGCCAGCUUGUAAAAUUAACCAAUUAAAAUAAUUAUUUCAAGAUAGAAAUAACUUAUCGGUUUCUGGAAGCAUGUGUAAUGUGAAUUCAAGGACUCGACGGAAGUUGAAUCACUUCAUCUAUAUUGCUUUCAGUAUUUUGGGUAACUAAAUUUAACAUUUGCACAUACAAAUGUUAAAGUACAAAUGUUAAAUCUAGUUACCCAAGCAGAAUAUGAAGAUAGUUUAUAGUAUAUAUAUACUAUAUAAAUCUAGUUAACAUUUAGUCUAAAUGUUAAAUCUAGUUACCUAAAAUCCUGAAAGCAAAAUGUAUAAAUAUAUAUCUUUUAAGGCAGUAUAAGCUUCGAUUCCUAUUGCUGCUCUGUUAAAUCUCAUCUUUCGUUGUGGCCCAACACUCUAGUAUGCAUGUUGCACCAAGCUUCUUUGAGCCGCUCUGCCCUCUGAUUUUGCUGCGUAGGGGAAUCUUUAUCAGGUUGGGCUACUUCCAGUUGUGCGAUGUAAAGAUUCGUAUUUUCUAGAAGGUAGACAAAAAACUCGCGUUCUCUUAAGGCAACAACCGGAAGAUUCUGCAGCGCACAGGGCAUACCAUUAUUGUAGAAACGACCUUUAGUACCGAUCUCCAACCCCCUUUAAAACUGGUUUUGCAACCGGUACCGUUAUGUCGGUCCUUUAGUACCAGAUCAAAUAAGUACCGGUUGGUAACCAGUAUCAACUUGUUUUGCGGCCAAAAAAAUAAAGAAAAAAACAGUCAGAAGGCUCGCGCACACGCGCAUCACAUGAAAUAUGCGUGUGCGGGGUCCAUGGGAUUCGAACCCAUGAAAUCAAGCUGCGCGCGACCCUUCGUUACCAUCUCACCUACAUAGCGCAUAUGCUUUCCUGAAGUAACCCGUGGAGGAGGCUUUAGUACCGGGUCAUAACACCACCCGGUACUAAAAAUGACUCUUCAGUACCGGGUCAUAACACCACCCGAUACUAGUAUCGGAUGGUGUAAUGACCCGAUACUAAAAGGCCUCUAGGGACCCUCAAAUUUGAACCCGGUACUAAUGCUAAUAUUAGUAGCGGGUCAAAGUGCAGCCAGAACUAAAGCAUGGGAUGAAAGGUCAUAUUUCUAGUAGUGUAUAGUUGUUGUGAAGGACUGACUUGGCUGUCCUCUCUCUUCUCCAUCCCCUUGGUCUUACGCCGCCGCUCGCACGCGAGCCGGUGCCCAACCAGAGGAGUGAGAGCUAGGGGCAGGUUGGGAGGUGGGGAUAGUGACUGGUGGCCAGGGUGAUGGUUGAUCCUGGUGGGGUUAGGGUUUUAGGGUUUUCGAGCUUCCUAUGGUCGGCGAACCUAGAGGAGGAGCUCAACAUCAGCUGCAACCCGCGAUGGUGGUGGUUUGGCCGGCGCCCGAGGCGAGGCAGCGCGGGAGUGCUGCCGGUGGGUUGGUGUUGGCACUCAUUAUUGACAACUAUUUUGUUCAUAAAAUAACACUCAAACUUGCUGCUGCUGCUGCUGCUGCCAUCGCCACCCUAGCCAUAAUAUAAAGGCAAAAUUUGCUAAAGGACAUGCAAAAUGAUGCUAGUUUGCUGGCGGGCAUCGUUGACCUUGUAAUAUGCUACAAGACACUCUAGUUGUGUAUCAAUUUGCUGAAAGACAUUGCUAUGACUAAAAUAAUGUUUCUGGACUGAGUUGGAGAGAGAGAUGGAGUGAAAUGUCUGUUUUGCCCAUGACCCCACUGGUCAGAUCCUUCUUCUUCCACCCUCCUUUGUUCUUUCUUCAACCAUUACCCAGCUCCAGCGUGUUGCAGAUCUACGAGGGUGGCGGCCUGGGGCGAGGGGCAUCGCUCGCCCUUGGAGGAGCGCUGCGAGCGACGGCGCGGGGGCGGCAACAGCGCGUCAGAACCUGACUGUUCGUUAGCUCCUCUCGCUGCUGGGGAAGGAGGGGGAUGGGCCAUGGACGGGGUUCCCUUGAAAACCUCAGCGUCGAGCUCGGGCGGCUACGCGCAGGCAGCACUAGGCUGCUUCACGGGGAGGGGGCGCGGCCAAUCAUUGGCACCCCACUGGUCCAAUGCUGAUGAAGAUGGUGCCAGCGUCGUGUGAGGACAUCUCAUCUCCUCGAGUUCCAUGGCCAGCACAGGUGAGCUGCCGCUACCACAAAACAGAGGUUUCGUGAGAGUCAAAAAACCUUAUGAAAAUAGCUAAAACCAUCAUGAAAAUAAUCCGUGACAUGACACUCUCACGAAAAUCCUCUCACAAAUAUGGUGCCAUGAAAAUACCAUUUUCAUGAGAGUGAACUGUCAUGAUUUUAUUUCGUGAGAGUAUUUCCUAUCAAUGACCUCCACGAAAUACUUUGUGCCACCAGGUCUUCAAGAUCAUUUUCAUGAGAGCUGAACAUCAGGAAAAGUCCGCCACAAAUGUUUUUCUUGGAGCCCCUAACUCUCAUGAAAAUCAUGCGGGCCGCCACGAAAAACAGCAUGACCAAAUGACAAAUUUCAUUUUCAUGUGUUCAUACCGCCAUGAAAAUGGUCAUUUUCAUGAGAGUUGAUGAAACAAAAAAUAGUGCCAUUUUCAUGAGAGUUCAAGCAACCAGGAAAAGACACUAAUAAACAUCCAGAUCCCAUCCAGCACACAUCCAUGCACAUAUAUAACCCACAUAUUGCUCCAGCACACAUCCAUGCAUAUACAAGAUCCAAAUGUUAAUAUAGUAGACAUCCAUGCCUGAACUAGUCUGCCACACAAGUCAUUGAUGCUACAAAUCCUACAAUCGCAGCAUGUGCAUACAAGUCACAGAAUGAGACAAUGUACCCAAAACUAAAAGGUUAGCAUCAACUGUGCUUCAACCAAAGUUGUCAUCCCAACUCUCCUCUUCAUCCAUGCCAUUCUUGUCGUGGCCGUCACUGUCAGUCCCCAUGGCAUUGCCAAUGCUGUGCAUGUCUUGGUAGGAACCUACAUGUGAUGAACUAGUAACCUGCAAAAAGAGCUCAAAGGAUCUUGUUCUCAUAUUGUAGCUGUGAAAUUCUUACAAGUAGUGUUGCAAUCAGUUCACUUUGAACCAAAAGAGCUCAAAGGAUCUUGUCCUAAAAGUUCCUCAUAAAGCUUAUGGGUUUGCUGGUGGAACUGGAAGGGCUUGAUGCAGCAGAUGCCAUUCUGCAAUAGAGAAAAAUUUAGAGAGCAGUACUAGUUAAAAUUGGAUGCAGAAGAUACACAUGAAACUAGUAUUUAUACAAGUCUAUACAAUUAAAAUCUAAGGAGACUUAUCAUCGUUUUCAUGUGUUGUGAAUUAAAAUAAUGAAGGAUACACUGUUAGGUGAAAAUUCAAGAAACAAAAUUUUGCAUAGAGAUAAAGGUCCAACAUUAUUACAAGUUAAGGUAGUUUUAAAUAUCCUUGUAAUCUUCCUUUGGUUUCCUCAACGAUUCGAAGACAAUAACCUUGCUUCUAUCAAUGAUAAUUAUAAGGAGAAUCCAGUGGAAACUGUGUAUUCGUAUUAGAACUACCUAAGGUUAAUUAGGUUAGGAAAGGAAAUUGAAAAUAGAUGGUACCCACACUUACUUAAAGUUGUCGGGCAAUAGUAUGUAAUGCUUGUAAUUCCGUUGCUCCAAGAAUUUGUAUAUGUGGUCCAAUGUAGACUUUGGUUGAUCCCGUAUCUGCUGUUGGUUAAAUAAGUGUUUCUAGCCAUUUCUAGCCAUUAGAACCGGGACUAAAGGGGGCUCUUUAGUACGGGUUGAUAUUACUAACCGGGAUUAAAGAGCCCCCAUUAGAGUUGGUUUUUGGAUGCGGAACUAACAACUCCUUUAGUCCUGAGUACGAAAACAACUGACAUAUUUGUUGCUGGAUGGAAGGUCCUUUCUCUACCGUGAAUAUUGCCAGAAAGAAUUGAAAGAGACUGCUUGCUAAAAAUAUGUCAUAGAUGUAGACCAAGCUACCAAGGAGGUAGACCAAACAUGAUACACACCAUGCGUACCUUGCUGUGCAGACUAUGCAUUGACAAGAUACCCGACCACAUGUUGGCCUCGGUCACAUCAAAAGAAUCAUGUAGGCCACCAAUAAACUACUUGAAGCGGCAUUCCGUAUCGUAUAUGCAUUGCCGGUUCAUCUGCAUUACAUUACAUAAAGCACUAUUAACUAUUUGAAUAAAAUGAACCAAUUUAAAAGUAAUGUGUUGUACUCUACUAUAGAAAGCCCUAUCACUGCCGGAUCCAAAAACAUCAUUGUUAAUGGUGGUUAAGUACCAAAUAUGACGGUCAAUAUUCUCAAGAAUAAUGGAGAAUUAGCAUUUCUUAGACACAUAUUUGGUUUUGAACAAUGUAGUUCCACAUGUCUUUGGAGAUUAUUUGGGUGUGGGUGAAAUAAUACAAAAAUAAGGAGAAAACACACUCCCAUGGCGAAGAAACACAACUCCAACCAAUGAGAGAUAGCCACAGGGGCAGCACACGGAUCCAUGGGCCCACUAACCGCAUCAAACCAUCUUACCAAGGCAGGUAGCACCCACAACCGUCAUUAGGACCCACCUGGAAGUCUACCAAGAAGAAGGUUGCGAGUGGGGCCAGGAGGGGUUCGGUUGAAUCAUCUCUAGCUAGCUCCCCUCAUCCCCAGCUGGUGGGUGGUGGUGGUUGAUGGUGUCCCUACAUCAGUUAGAGGAGAUUCCCCCAAAUAUUCCUCCUGUAAACCACCUCUAUGGACCUAUACAUAGAGGGGUGUGCUCUCCAUUCCAACACACACCACAAGUUGAAUCACUCUCUCCCUCUUUAGUUUCCAAGUUUAUGGAGUUAGGCUAGAGUAGCUCUGCUCAAGGUUCCAAGUCCACUUGGAGUUAAGCAUAUGUCUCUUGUAUCGUUAUUUCCUAAAUUGACUUUAUGCUUAGUUCUUAUAUGCAUGAGUUAGUCUAAUACCCUUGCUAUAUUGAUAUGCUCGGCUUAUAUGCUCGUAUGCUAGUCAUAUACCCUUGCUGUCGUAGUAUAGGCUUAUAUGCUCUCAUGUGUGCCUGUAGACCUUGCUAUAGUAUAUACUUGUUGUGCAUACAUACCAUGUAUAGGCUAGUCGAUCUAUACCAUGGCAUUGGUUCAAUAGCCAUGUUUUUGGUGGCUCCAACCCUAGUCACAAUAGCUCGGGACAGCUGGAGUGUUGUUAAAAAUGCAAGAGUGGUGCUUGGGUUGUUUAGCAUCGUUGGAUAUGGGUUUGCCCCACGGGUUUCUAACGGUAGGCGGCAGCUAGUGACAUCCCUGUCCGUCCUUCGUAAUCCCCCCACAUUCAGGUACGCCAUAAAUGUUCGUAAAUUAGCAGUAACUACGCCGGUACACCUGUAGGGUAUUGUCUCCCUGUAGUACCUUGGUGCAUAGAACUAAGUCCUAUACACUGUGUGUGUAUGUUUACGCUGAUAUGAUCUGUGCAGUAUAUAGGAUGUAUAUAUGAACCUAGAGCUAACUCCUAGUCCGUUCUCCAUAGCUUAGUUAUCUUGAGAUGAUUCUUCUGUAUGUGUAACACUACCCAUCUUAUCAUUAUCCUUGAUCCUGUCUUGUGUAAUAUAUCUACUCAUCCUAUGAUAUACUCAUAUGCAUAGUAAACUAUUUUGACCUACCCGCCUUCCUUUGGGAAAUAUGAUACCUUGGAAUAAUCCUAGGUGAAAUCCUACAACGGUAUAUCCAUGUAAAUGCGGAUUUAUUCAUGACCAUUAAAUAUACCAACAAUCAUCACUGUGAGUUUUGGGCGUCGUUAGUGAAGGGUUGGUAGUGAUGGGCAUCCCCUUCACCAAUGGACCUGGAACCGGCGGUGAUGGCUAUUAUAAAAAAGGGGACACCACCCAGCGUACCCCACGACCCGGCCGGCCGCACCUCCCAUCAUCCCCGCCAGCCGCCCUUCCUUUUCGCCGGCCGAGCAUGGUCCCGGCCUUUGUCCCUACCACCUCGCCUCCACCGCGACCCCCCGCCGAUGCCCUCGUGCCUGGCCCCCCUCAUCUUGCCGGCCACCCUCCCGAUGCGUCCACUGGGGCCCUCGCACCACCAACCGCCCUUGCUUAGAGAGGGAGAGAGAGGAGGGAGGUGAGGCCACGCACCUCGUCCUACACCGCCGCUGUUUCUCCUCGGCCCACCGCGCCUCACCCCACACCACAGCCGCGCCUUGCCAUCUUACCGGCUGUGACGCCUCAUCUCACCGGCCACCGUUCCUCACCCCCACUUCGGUCGUCGCCGCUCCUUGCCCUACCGCUGCUCUUUGCCGCUGCGAAUGAGCGCCGAGUGGAGGAGGAGGGAUGGGGCAGGAGGAGGGCAAGAUCCGGGAGGAAGGGAGAGAUCUCGGGAGGUGGAGAUGGAAGGAUAUGGCGGAAGGGAGAGAUCCAGAGGGAGAGAGCAGGGGAGAGAGGGGGGCGUGUGGGGAGAGAGCGCGUGUGGGGUGGGGCCGGGCUGGUGGGAUGGAAGGGAGAGGGGCUAGACGGGCGCAGUGCAUUCAACUGGAUGAAGUAAAUAUUUUGGAUUCGAGACCCCAGCUUUAUUAUCACCGCUGGUCCGUAGUACCAUCCGGUGCCUGCUCGUAAUUUAAUUUGAAUCUGCGGUGAUGUUUUAUUAUCACCAUCGGAUCAUAUAAAAAUCCGGCGGUUAAAAAUCCGCUGGUUUCGAUGAAAACCGACGGUGAUAGGAUGACUGUGAUAGUCUCUUCUCUAGUAGUGGUAUAUUAGUACCGGCUGCCGGAUGGUGUUGCCGACCAGUACUUCUCCGGGGGCGAUUCAGUACUGCUGUUAGCAAAGCUUGUUCUCUAUGAAUUUGGGGAUGGAAAGCUAGUUCUCUAGUUGUGAUUUGUUACAUAUAUAUCUAUGAUAGUCUAGAAAUUGCAUGUCCUUCGUUGACAUAGUUGAAGCUGCUUCAAGAAUUUACUUCGUGCAGUCGUGCAGCAUAUUGGAUUAUCACCUAGACAGGAUACAUAGGUGAAGCAUUGGAUGUGAUUGUGGCCGAUAAUUAUGCAGGACGCUGUUGCAAUCAACCACCAAGAAGUCUGGAGUGAUGGGGUUGCCUCAUCAAUAAUUUUUAUAUAUGGCUGCAGUAUUAUUAAGCCCACGUCAAUAAUUUUUUGUCCGCACCAUAUAUCGAUGGGGUUGCCUCAUCAAUAAUUCGCGCAACCAGACAAGCUGCAGACUCAAUAUGGUACGAAGCUAGUUGCUCAGCCCACAUGCUCUGAUAUAACAUUGACAUCUGCUGAUCUACAGUAUAUAUGACCAGAAAUAUUGUGCCCACCUCAAUAACUUUCUGAAGUAUCGUGGGGAAGAACCUACGCGUACUAUGCCUCGGAACUAACUGACAUAUCGGCCCAGGCGGUCUAGGCCGAUUGGACUGGCUCUUCCUUGUGGCUUCUCACAUCCCCUUCGUCCCCAAGUAAUUUCAGGUGUUCUGUAGUUUUCUUUUCACUUGCAUCUGAGCCUCCUAUAUCAAUAGCUUCGGGAUAAGAAUGCCUCUUGAUAACCUUCCAAAUCCUCGCUUGAUUCACAUUGAUUCCGAAAUCAUCUUGCCAUAUCUUCAGAGACUUAGGUCCUAAGGCAUCAUGGAGGAUUGCUCGCCAAGAAUGAGCACCAUUGGGCUCCUGAGGACCCUAGGCCGAUCAGCCCGGGCUCUAUAGGUCGAUUGGCCCAGGCCCUCUCUGGGCCUGUUGGCCUUCAUCUUUCUUUGAGUCGACGCUUAUUCAGGGCUUUGUCCAAUUAUAGUCCAUUAUAGUCUAAUUUCCUAAAAAACAGAAUGUCCUCCAAAAUACAAUGCAUAUGUGAAAACAACCCAAUUAUUAGGUAUGAUCAAUAGUUUAGGUAUUAAAUUAAUAUUAUUAUUUAAGAUAAACAGGGGUAAAGGGUGUCAUUAAUAACAAGCGCCAACAAGCGUCCUAGCUGUUCAAUAAAUUUUUUCUAGUACCGAUUGGUAACACUAACCGGUGCUAAUAUGUACCCUUUAUUACCGGUUAUUUUACCAGGUACUAAAGGAGACAAGAGCAUCCUAACAUAAGGUUAAUAUCAUCCAUUUCAUGAGUAAAAUACUAUGAUUCAAAAAUAAUUCAAAUCCCUUAAGACAAUACCUAUCAAAUGAGUAAAUUGUAAAUAGAGUAAUCUUGAUCAAACAAUGUCCUAAUGAAACGGAACACUUCUGGUUCGUGUAGAGCACAAUAUAGAAAACAGUAGGGUAGCUGUAUGAUUGACACGUGGUCCAUUAAUUAUUGAGCCAACACUAUGGACAUGUCUUCAUGAGUAGUGUACUAGUCAUAAUACAUGGUAUGCAGUAGGUGGAGGUAUUGACUUAGCCAUGCUAUGAGCACUUAGUUACAACAAACACUUUGCCAUUAUCGAGCAUCCCAAAUCACUACAAAAUCCAUAGUUUACCAUAUACUACAAAAUCUGAGUUAAAAUAAGAGCAUACACGGAAGAGUCCGAAUGCACGGCACAUUGAAUUACUAGACAAAAUUUAUGGGACAAGGUUUUGGGUAACCGCAUGAAAAAUAUUGGAUUUUACUGAACACUUAGUUACAAUUACCAUGCCCGUGAGCACUUAGUCACCACAAACAUUUAACCACUUUAGAUCAUCCUGAAUCCCUAUAAAUUCUAUACCUUACACCGUACCAUGAAAACGACAAGAACAGAGACAGAUGCGGUGAAAAUCUCCAGAGCAAGCCUGAAAUUAAAAUAAGAGGAGGCAGUCACUAUCGACAGGACACGGAGAUUGCUAGCCAUGACAGAGGAAGACAUGAUAUGAUAUUCACCUCUGAAAUGCAGCGUAGACUAAAUGAAGCACAAUUGCAAGUGAGUGUGGCAGAUAAUGGACCAUCGAGACCAUCGAAUGGUAUGAAGCAUGAUUAUCACCUAGACAUGAUAUCCUAGACAGGACGGUGAAUUGUAAAAAGAGUAAUCUUGAUCAAAGAAUGUCCUAAUGAAACGGAACAUUUUUGGUACGUGUAGAGCAAAAUAUAGAAAACAGUAGAGUAGUUGUACGAUUGAAACUGCAUCCAUCGACGUGGUGCAUGAAUUGUUGAGCCAACACUGUGGACAUGUCUUCAUGAACACCAUCUAGUGAGGACAGCAUGCAGAAAAAUAUAAAAACAUGUCAUAGGGAGGCAGACCAAUCUUGCGAGGUAGACGAAACGUGAUACACGAUCUGCCUACCUUGUCGUGUGGAUACCCCAAGUGAAGAUGUCAUAGAGGUGCAGACCAAGCUAGCAAGGAGGUAGAUGAAACGUGAUACACGGCCUGCCUACCUUGCCGUGGAUAUUAGUCCUGAUAUCAUUCUAUUGUUCAAGGAAUAACACUCAAUGCUGCUGCUGCUGCUGACCUGGCUCCAUAAAGUUAUAUUCCUCUAGCCGCUUGCACUAACUUUAUCUGAAGUAUUAUUCUCUCUGCACUGUAUAUAUGGUUACGGAGUUUGCUGGAGUAUCCGGGGGGAAGAACCUACAUAAUAUGUCUUGGAACUAACUGACAUUGAUUCACAGACAAGGUGCUGUUGUUGACAUGGUACAGUAAAUAAUAUAGUUUACCAUAUACCGUAUACCAUUAUAUGUUAGCUAAAAUAAGAGCAUAACAUGUCGCAGGAGUCCAAAAGCACCGGUUGAGGACCAGGUACAUUAAAUUACUAGAAAACAAAAGGGGACAAGGUUUAGGUAGCCACAUGAAAAACAUUUGAAUUUACUGUACCAUGAACACUUAGUUACCAUGCCGGGAGCACCUAGUUAACACUAACAUUUAGCCACUUUAGAUCAUCCCGAAACACCAAUGACCCUCAAUAGCGACAAAUUUUGGUUUAAAUGCCGUCACCAAUGAUCCUCAAUAGUGACGUGUUUAGGUUUAAAUCCCAUCACUAAUAACCCUUGGUAGUGACGUGUUUUGGUUUAAAUCUCAUCACCACUGAUCCUCACUAGUGACGUGUUUUUAGCAACACACGUUAUGAAUGACUUGUCAUUGGUGACAUGUUAAACGCGUUAUCUCAAUGGCAAAUCAAUGGUGACGUGUUUAAAAAAACAUGUCACUGUGAGAGUUAUUGGUGAAGGGUAAUUAAAAUGCAUCACUAAUUUUGUAGCAUUAGUUAUGAUAUAAUUUUGUAACGCAAAAAUCUACCAUAGUAAUGAGGUUUAGAGCCAUCACUAAUGUGGGUUUCUUAUCGUAGUGAUGCAAGCUCUACAAGGUGCUGUUGUUGCCAUUUUAAAGCAUCCCAAAUGACUACAAGAGUCCGGUUGAGGACUAAACAAAUUGAAUUACUAGAACCAAAUGUAUGUCCAGAACAAAGAAAGGGGUCAAGGUUUGGGUAACCGCAUUAAAAACAUUGAAUUUUACUGUACCAUGAACACUUAGUUACCAUUACCAUGCCUUGAGCACCUAGUUACCACAAACAUUAAUUUAGCCACUUUAGAGGUUCCACAAUCACUAUAAAUAAUAUACCAACACCGUACCAUGAAAACAUCAAGAAGAGAGACGGGUACAUGGACCACCAUCAAGUGAGUAGUGACAGCACGCACAAGAAUACCCGGAACCUUUUAGCUUGUCUGUAGUGAUCUGUUUUCUUCGCCACAAAUAAUGAAAGAGGCUGACCAAGCUAGCAACGAGGUAGAGCAAACGUGAUACACGUAGGUUUCAUUCAAGACAUCCAUGUAAGAUUCAUUCAAAACAUUCAUGGAAAUUUCUUGUAAGUUUUCAUGUAAAUUUCAUUCAAGACAUUUGUUAGAGGUGUUGUAUAUACACUUAACGUACAUAUAUCUAUGAUUUCAUGGUUGUUAGUGAUGGCAGAUGAGGAGCAUGCAAGGUGUUUAAUGGAGCAGAUUAUUGCUAGUGGUAGUGGCUCCAACCUGCCCGUAACGUACACCGACGAAGAGGGCAGCCAGGCGGACAUGUUCCUCAACAUGUCCGGUGAUGGCAAUGAAGAGCCCGAGCAAAACCUUGCCGUGACGGAAGGUUCCAUCGAGGUAUAUAUCAUUUCCAUUAUUUUACCCCAUCUAUAAUUUCAUAUUCAUUAUUACUAUGUGCUAAUUAAUGAAUCUUGAACCGUUAGUCCUCUAGAUCAACGAACCGAAAUAAGCCCCGAGGUCUUACAAAGAUAAUGCAGGGAAGGCUUCACAUCAUGGAAGUCACAGAAGAGGGCACAUCGGUUGCUCCCGAACAUGUGGCAAGAAAGUACGUGAGUCAAACCGGGGCAAUCGUAAGGGACAACAUGCCCAUCAGCAUCAGGGAAUGAAAGAGCAAUAGAAAUGAUCUAUACGCACCCCCGGAUACACAAAAGGAUAUGUUGUGGGCAAAUAUCAAGAAACACUUCACAUUUCCCAAAGGAUAUGUUGAAAAAUAUGUGAAAGCGUGGAUGUUGAAGAAGAUGGCCACCCAAUUCCAGACAUUCAAGAAGAUGUUGGAUGCCAACUUCAUCAAGAAGGGUCGAACUCCGGGUUUCAAUGAGUGGCCAAAGUUAAGGGACCACUGGGAGUCGUUUGUCGAAUACAAGACGAGCGAAGGUGGUGCGAGUAAGGUUCACAUCAAUGUUGCCAAUGCUAGCAAGGAGUACCAUCAUCAUCUAGGGCGACGUGGUUACAGCUCUGCAAUUCCCAGAUGGCGCAAGAUGGAACAAGACCUGAUCGAUCGGGGUAUCGUACCAGCAACUCUUGACUGGAUCGAUUGAAAAAUUGGUAUUAUGCUCAUGAAGGCAAUCUGAGCCAAGAGGAUCCGACAUUGGUCUUCAAUAAAACAAUACGUCAGAAGGUCGGAAGGCUUAUUAGGAACAUUGAAGAUGCUAAAGCUGGGAGGUUCAAGGUGGAUAGAGAGAAUGAUGAACUCACAUUGGCCCUCGGGACUGUCAUCUCUAGCACUUCCAGCUCCAGGACUAUCGUCACCACCGGGACCGUCGCUUCCUGCUCGAUCACAGUCUCCAUCUCCAGCACAUCCUGGUGGUGCGAGCGACGACGACAACAACACCCCUCCCUGCCCACCAUUGCCGGGACUAAGACCCGCAUUGAGUAAGGAACCUGCAACACCACUGAAGAAGUCGCGACCACCACCUUCAAGGCAAGUCAGCAAAAGAAGAAAGCAGAGAAGCCUAAACCCACUGAGAAGCCAGCGACUGAUAUGACCGAUGCGGAAAGAUGGAAGGCACUCAAAGAAGAAUGCAGGGAGUGGUUCAGCGAAGGCGAAGGUGAGAAAGUCGUAUGAAUCGAAUUCAAGGAUAUAUAUGAAGUGAACCAUCAGGAUGCCCUUGAUGUCUCUCUCAUCAGCGCCUAGGUUCUGUAAGUGUAUGUUUAUCUAUAAGUAAAUUUUGGCUCAUAUCAUUAUUUUUUUUGCGUGCGUCACCCUACUAACUUCGUCUUCCAUUUUAUGUAGGAUGCUAAUUCAGACGUGCCGCAUAGAAGCGUACUUCCAUGUUGGAUUCAUGGAUCCAUCCCUAGUUAACCAAAAGCCGAUACGGAAGUAGCUAGAGAAAACGUUGGAGGUGGUGUACAACCUCCUGGACAAACUAAACUACAGAAUAGGGGCAAUAUGUGAGGGUCUUGUAGGAUUCCUAGUGGACGAGGUGAUAAAUCCAUAAGGAGAAUAUCAUUCCAACGGACGAGCAUUAGACACACUGAGCAACACCUAGAUGGGAGGAUCCUAGGAAUGACCUCGACAGAUUUUGGUAUAAAUAGUAAUUGUGUAAAUACUAGUUUGAUUUGUAUAGGAAUAUACUAAGAAUUGUAUAUAUAGUAAUUGUACAAAUACUAGUUUGAUUUGUAUGAAUACUAGAUUGAUUUUAUUAUAAAAAAGUUUUAAGUCGUACGUGCAUGCGCCUACAAAGGCGCGGAUGCCUUUUAAUCCCAGUCGGAAAAACAAACUGGUACUAAAGGGGCUCGUGCCGCACCUGGCAUGACCACCCCUUUAGUCCCGGUUGAACGACCCAGGACUAAAGAUCUCCGCGUCUCAAAAAUUUUAUCUCGGAUGCUUUUUAGAGAGAUUUGAGGCCUAUCAACCAAGACUAAUAUCGAGUUUUCUACCAGUGAAACUAACUAACGUUCACAUGGUUUUGACAUUCACCUGCCAUUUGGUGUAGACAAGGGCACCCUAACAUAUGGUUAAUAUUAUUCUUGAAAGAAAAUCCUUUGAUUCAAAAUACUUCAAACCUAAUAAUACAAUACUUCUCACAUCUGAAAAAUAUGAGACGGCCCGACAGUAUUCUAAUCGACGCAAUAAUAUUUUGAGGGCAGCACUACUACAGCGACCCUCAUUCGUGCCGGUGCUGGGACUCCUAUCACGACCCUGAUACAAAUGAGGGUACAUUAUUGGUGCCAGUGCUAGAACAGCCACGAAUAACUUGCUAAACGUGCUGUUACACUCACUACAGGGACCAAGAAGGUAGAUAAAUUACACGACAUAGCCUUGGUUGCCGUGGAAGCGCCAAGAAGGGAGACAAAUUACAGGGACCACACCAUCAAGUAGAUAGUGACAAUAUGCAAAAGAAUACCCGCGCCUGUUAGCAUGUGAACUGACCACACCACGAAACGUGAUACACGGCAAGCGUACCAAGGCCUUGCUGUGCAGACUAUGCAUGGACAACACAUGGUACCUGACCGCUUUUGGCCUCAGACACAUCGAAAAACUGCAUCGUUCCACGUUGUACAUCCAUUGCUAGUUUAUCUAUAUUACAUAAUAUAUUAUUAGCUAUUUGAAUAGAAUGAACCAAUUAAAAAAUUGCGUUGUAUUUUUAGUACCGGCUGCAGGAUGGUGUUACCAACCAGUACUAAUUGGCCUGUAGGAGUGAUGGUUAUUAGACUUGGUACUGUUGUUAGCAUCAUUAACCUAAUUGUGCGCCGUAUGAAUUUGGGGAUGCAAAGCUAGCUCUCUAUGAAUGUGAGGGAUGGAAAGCUAGUUCUCUAGUAGUAAUUAUAUAUAUGACAGUCAAGAAAUCGAACACUAUGCUGCUACGAGUCACCAUCAUUUCCUUCAUUGACAAUCUGACAUAGGUGAAGCUGCUUCAAUAAUUUCCUUCGCGCAGUCGUGGAGCUUAUUGGAUUAUCACCAGGACGGGACACGGAAAUGGCCAGCAAUGAAGCUGAUUGCCGUCUGAGGAAGACUACAUACUUACCUAUGAAAUGAAGCGAUUGCAUAGACUAAUGAAGCAUUGCAUAUUUGCAUGUGAGUGUGGCAGAUAAUUCUGCAGGACAUGAUUGCAAUCCACGCACCAUCGAGAAGACUGGGGCGAUGGGGUUGCCUCAUCAAUAAUCACGUGGAUGCAUGCAUGCAUGUUCCCGCAACCGGACAAGGGUCUGAUAUAUGGCUAUAGUAUUACUGAGCCCACAUCAAUAAUUUCCACUGGUGUAUCGUGUGGGAAGAAUCAACAUACUACACCUCGAGUUCUUGGAACUAACUGACGUUCACAUGCAACCUCCACAAGGUGCUGUAUGCUUUUGACAUUCACCUGCCAGUUCGUGUAGAGAAGGACACCCUAACGUAUAGUUAAUAUUAUCCAUUUCAUGAGUAAAAUACUGUGAUUCAAAAAUACUUCAAAUCCCUUGAGACAAUACUUCUCACUUGACUAACCACUAACCAACCCCGAAACCCUAACUCAACUCCGAACCCUAACCCCUAACGGCAUAACCACUCCGUUUUGCCGGCGAGAUGGAGGAACUGGCUGGAAGGUAGAGAGGGCAGCGGUCCAGGGUUGAAAACGACGGGCGAGCGCAGUAACAUGUGGAGGAGGAAGUGCCACGUAUUCGUUCACCGCUAUUGGGCAGCGACACACGACACGCCCAAUAAGAUCUUCGCACGGUAGAAGGACGUCAUGUAUUCAAUAAUGUUAUUGGUCCCCCAUGUGCAGAAGGGCGCGCGCGUAUGGAAUAACAAGUAGGGACACUGCAACUAAUCUACUCUGCUCGUCCAGUCCCUAGCCUAUAAAUAGAUGCCAUGCUAGCUCUUGUUGUGCUCACAAUUAAUCCGAUUACACACGAGCUUCUCUCCCUGGCCAAGACACAACCAUAGUAUGAUGAAGAACAUGGCACUAGCCGGCAAUGGUAUGAAGAAGUUAAUCCUCGCUGUUCUCUUACUGUGUCUAGUUAUAGGGCAGAUACAAGUGGAAGCUAAGAGCUGCUGCCCAUCCACCACUGCAAGAAAUGUCUACAAUACCUGCCGUUUCACGGGUACAUCCCGUCCAACGUGUGCAAAACUGUCAGGCUGCAAAAUUAUCAGCGGGAACAAAUGCAAGCCCCCUAACGACCACCUCACCCUUGACCCGGACACUGGUAAAUAAUAAAUUUAUCUCACUUGAUUUCUUCGUGAUUUGAGUCGUUAAUGUAUUUUCCAUCUGAUGAAACGUAUUGGUUUUGCAUUGAAGAGGAAGUUAAUGUGCUUAACUUCUGCAAGUUGGGGUGUGCGUCGUCUGUGUGCAACAACAUCAACGCUGGUAAGCAACUUUUGCUCAGACAGAGAAAACAAUAAUCAUUAAUUAGCGGCAGCUAGAAUCCUAUAAUCUAAUAUAUAUAUAUAUAUAUAAUUUUAUCAGCUCUGGGAAAUGAAGAGGCGAACGAUGCCGUUGAGAGUUGCGACCAAGCCUGCUCUAGCUUCUGCAGCGUGCAUGUUGGCAGCGCCACCGUGGUUGCUUAAGCAAAUGCAUCCAACUAGAUCGUCCUUGUGCUGAAUAAUUGGAUAUCGUAUCCACUUAAAGCUGCCUUGUGUAGUACGUCUUUGUGUCUCUCUUUAUAUUCCAAUAAGGUCGGUGAUCUUGAUGCCACACACUCAGAUGUGUGUUCAUCUCCAGAUACUACUCCAUGCUACCUGCCCUUUGUGUUUUGUUCAAUAACUGGGUAUCAUAUCCCAGCCAGUAUGCCGUCUGUUUUGUGUUUGUUUCCUUCUAGUUCCAAAGGGGUCAUCAUGAUGUUACCUUCUUUCAAUAUGGUGCUUUGCAUGACUACUGUUGUAUGGUACCAUCUUGUGGCCAAUAAGUACAUCUUAUCCUAUGACCUUUGCUAUGACCCUUUGCAAAUAAGUAGAAGAUUGUUAUAAGCGUCAAUACUCCGUAUAAAUUGAUCGCUGCUGUGAGUUCCCUUUCAGCUUAUCGUAGGCAUACAUUAUUGCUAGCACGGUAAAGCCAACCAACACGAAUGAUGAAGUAAACGUAGCGGUACUUCUGUAUACCAACACCCUUACUUAAAUGUACCGGUGUCAUUCCCUACUGGCACAUAUAUUCUUAUAUGCUAGCCAGCUUGUAAAAUUAACCAAUUAAAAUAAUUAUUUCAAGAUAGAAAUAACUUAUCGGUUUCUGGAAGCAUGUGUAAUGUGAAUUCAAGGACUCGACGGAAGUUGAAUCACUUCAUCUAUAUUGCUUUCAGUAUUUUGGGUAACUAAAUUUAACAUUUGCACAUACAAAUGUUAAAGUACAAAUGUUAAAUCUAGUUACCCAAGCAGAAUAUGAAGAUAGUUUAUAGUAUAUAUAUACUAUAUAAAUCUAGUUAACAUUUAGUCUAAAUGUUAAAUCUAGUUACCUAAAAUCCUGAAAGCAAAAUGUAUAAAUAUAUAUCUUUUAAGGCAGUAUAAGCUUCGAUUCCUAUUGCUGCUCUGUUAAAUCUCAUCUUUCGUUGUGGCCCAACACUCUAGUAUGCAUGUUGCACCAAGCUUCUUUGAGCCGCUCUGCCCUCUGAUUUUGCUGCGUAGGGGAAUCUUUAUCAGGUUGGGCUACUUCCAGUUGUGCGAUGUAAAGAUUCGUAUUUUCUAGAAGGUAGACAAAAAACUCGCGUUCUCUUAAGGCAACAACCGGAAGAUUCUGCAGCGCACAGGGCAUACCAUUAUUGUAGAAACGACCUUUAGUACCGAUCUCCAACCCCCUUUAAAACUGGUUUUGCAACCGGUACCGUUAUGUCGGUCCUUUAGUACCAGAUCAAAUAAGUACCGGUUGGUAACCAGUAUCAACUUGUUUUGCGGCCAAAAAAAUAAAGAAAAAAACAGUCAGAAGGCUCGCACACACGCGCAUCACAUGAAAUAUGCGUGUGCGGGGUCCAUGGGAUUCGAACCCAUGAAAUCAAGCUGCACGCGACCCUUCGUUACCAUCUCACCUACAUAGCGCAUAUGCUUUCCUGAAGUAACCCGUGGAGGAGGCUUUAGUACCGGGUCAUAACACCACCCGGUACUAAAAAUGACUCUUCAGUACCGGGUCAUAACACCACCUGAUACUAGUAUCGGAUGGUGUAAUGACCCGAUACUAAAAGGCCUCUAGGGACCCUCAAAUUUGAACCCGGUACUAAUGCUAAUAUUAGUAGCGGGUCAAAGUGCAGCCAGAACUAAAGCAUGGGAUGAAAGGUCAUAUUUCUAGUAGUGUAUAGUUGUUGUGAAGGACUGACUUGGCUGUCCUCUCUCUUCUCCAUCCCCUUGGUCUUACGCCGCCGCUCGCACGCGAGCCGGUGCCCAACCAGAGGAGUGAGAGCUAGGGGCAGGUUGGGAGGUGGGGAUAGUGACUGGUGGCCAGGGUGAUGGUUGAUCCUGGUGGGGUUAGGGUUUCAGGGUUUUCGAGCUUCCUAUGGUCGGCGAACCUAGAGGAGAAGCUCAACAUCAGCUGCAACCCGCGAUGGUGGUGGUUUGGCCGGCGCCCGAGGCGAGGCAGCGCGGGAGUGCUGCCGGUGGGUUGGUGUUGGCACUCAUUAUUGACAACUAUUUUGUUCAUAAAAUAACACUCAAACUUGCUGCUGCUGCUGCUGCCAUCGCCACCCUAGCCAUAAUAUAAAGGCAAAAUUUGCUAAAGGACAUGCAAAAUGAUGCUAGUUUGCUGGCGGGCAUCGUUGACCUUGUAAUAUGCUACAAGACACUCUAGUUGUGUAUCAAUUUGCUGAAAGACAUUGCUAUGACUAAAAUAAUGUUUCUGGACUGAGUUGGAGAGAGAGAUGGAGUGAAAUGUCUGUUUUGCCCAUGACCCCACUGGUCAGAUCCUUCUUCUUCCACCCUCCUUUGUUCUUUCUUCAACCAUUACCCAGCUCCAGCGUGUUGCAGAUCUACGAGGGUGGCGGCCUGGGGCGAGGGGCAUCGCUCGCCCUUGGAGGAGCGCUGCGAGCGACGGCGCGGGGGCGGCAACAGCGCGUCAGAACCUGACUGUUCGUUAGCUCCUCUCGCUGCUGGGGAAGAAGGAGGGGGAUGGGCCAUGGACGGGGUUCCCUUGAAAACCUCAGCGUCGAGCUCGGGCGGCUACGCGCAGGCAGCACUAGGCUGCUUCACGGGGAGGGGGCGCGGCCAAUCAUUGGCACCCCACUGGUCCAAUGCUGAUGAAGAUGGUGCCAGCGUCGUGUGAGGACAUCUCAUCUCCUCGAGUUCCAUGGCCAGCACAGGUGAGCUGCCGCUACCACAAAACAGAGGUUUCGUGAGAGUCAAAAAACCUUAUGAAAAUAGCUAAAACCAUCAUGAAAAUAAUCCGUGACAUGACACUCUCACGAAAAUCCUCUCACAAAUAUGGUGCCAUGAAAAUACCAUUUUCAUGAGAGUGAACUGUCAUGAUUUUAUAAGCGUCAAUACUCGGUAUAAAUUGACUACUGCUGUGAGUUCCCUUUCAGCUUAUCGUAGGCAUACAUUAUUGCUAGCACGGUAAAGAGAACCAACACGAAUGAUGAAGUAAACGUAGCGGAACUUUUGUAUACCAACACCCUUACGUACCGGUGUCAUUCCCCACUGCCACAUAUAUUCUUAUAUGCUAACCAGCUUUGAAAAUUAAGCGAUUAAAAUAAUUAUUUCAAGAUAGAAAUAACUUAUCGGCUUCUCGAAGCUUGUGUAAUGUGAAUUCAAGGACUCGAUGGAAGUUGAAUCGCUUCAUCUAGAUUGCUUUCAGGAUUUUGGGUAACUAAAUUUAACAUUUGCACACACAAAUGUUAAUGUACAAAUGUUAAAUCUAGUUACCCAAGCAGAAUAUGAAGAUACUCUAUAGUAUAUAUGUACUAUAUAAAUCUAGUAAACAUUUAGUCUAAAUGUUAAAUCUAGUUACCUAAAAUCCUAAAAGCAAAAUGUAUAAAUAUAUAUCUUUUAAGGCAGUAUAAGCUUCAAUUCUCUGUUAAAUCUCAUCUUUCGUUGUGGCCCAACACUCUAGUAUGCAUGUUGCACCAAGCUUCUUUGAGCCGCUCUGCCCUCUGAUUUUGCUGCGUAGGGGAAUCUUUAUCAGGUUGGGCUACUUCCAGUUGUGCGAUGUAAAGCUUCGUAUCUUUUAGAAGGUAGACAAAAUACCCGCGUUCUGGAAGAUUCUGCAACGUGCACGUUGGCGCUGCCACCGUGGUUGCUUAAGCAAAUGCAUCCAACUGAAUCGUCCUUAAGCUGAAUAAUUGGAUAUGGUAUCCACUGCUUAAAGCUGCCAUGUUUAGUACGUCUUUGUUUUUCUCUCUUUAUAUUCCAAUAAGGUCGGUGAUCUUGAUGCCACACACUCAGAUGUGUGUUUAUCUCCAGAUACUACUCCAUGCUACCUACCCUUUGUGUUUUGUUCAAUAACUGGGUAUCAUAUCCUAGCCAGUGUGCCAUCUGUUUUGUGUUUGUUUCCUUCUAGUUCCAAAGGGGUCAUCAUGAUGUUACCUUCUUUUGAGGUGUCUAUGAUGACUUCGUUAAUAUCAAUAUUAACCAAUUCAAUCUGUCUUAACUAUUUGUAAGGGGUAUGAUGUAUGCAUGAUUAUAACAAUGAUUGCGCAUACAAUCGCCGCCAAAGAAACGGUCAAUACCAUUAAGACAUAUUACAGACAAUUCUCAUAAUCUAUAAUGAAUAUACAUAUUCACUACUGCAGAAGACUGUCAUUUGUAUCGGCUCAUACGUGCCAGGGCAAAGGUCACCCUUGCAUUAAGUACAUUUGCACGGUAAAGACAACCAACACGAAUAAUGAAGUAAACAUGCCGGUGCUUUUGUACACCAACACGCUUACUUAAAUGUACUGGUGUCAUUCCUCACCGGUAGCCGGCUUGAAAAUUAACCAAUUAGAACAAUUAUUUAUUGUAUCGGUGUGAUUUUUGACCUAUUGGAAUAUGAAUUUGACCGUUACUGCAUUCGUCAAGACUCAAGAGAGAAAUAACUGAUCGGCUUCUUAGAGCGUGUGCAAUGUGAAAUCAAGGACUGGAUGGAAGUUGAAGCGCUAGCACUAGUAGAGAAACGACUUUCCAUCCACCCCCUUUUGUCCCGGUUUAAAGUUGGCUCGGGAUAAAAGGUUCACCAACCGGGACUAAAACUCAGUCACUGGUGGGAGGCUCACCAACCGGAACCUUUUAUCCCGGUUGCAAAGGCUAAUGGGAAAAAAAGACUCUGAGAGGCCUUUUAUCCCGGUUUGAAACACCAACCGGGAUAAAAGACCCCCCUUUUAUCCCGGUUGGUAACACCAACCGAGAUAAAAGGGUCAAGAGCCUUUUAUCCCGGUUGGAAACACCAACCGGGAUAAAAGACCCCCUUUUAUCCCGGUUGGUGUUUCAAACCGGGAUAAAAGGGCCCCCACGAGGUGACUGGAAGGUGACUGGAAGGGGAUUAAAUCGUGGGGGACCCUUUUAUCCCGGUUGGAAACACCAACCGGGAUAAAAGGGGGUCUUUUAUCCCGGUUGGUGUUUCCAACCGGGAUAAAAGGGUCCCCCACGAGUUAAUACAAAAGGAUAGUAUCCCCUACAUAGUCAGAUGUGGUGUGUAGGUGGGAUGGUAAGGAAGCUACGCGCGAGCUCCGGAAUUUUUUUUUUUUUUUUUUGCAGCGUCGGCGCUCUCUACCCUUUUAUCCCGGUUGGUAUUACCAACCGGGAUAAAAGGGGGUCUUUUGUCCCGGUUGAGUGACCCGGGAUAAAAGACCCCCCCUUUUUUCCCCGGUUAGUUUAUCCCGGAUGCAUUUUCGGGAUAAAAGCACCCUACCAACCGGGAUUAAAGCUCACUUCUCUACCAGUGUAGCUUCAUCUUCCGCUGCAAGUUAAUUGCUUGGAUAAGAAGUUGUAGCCGCUGCAAGUUAUAAAUAGUCCCGCUGAUGCUGUGCUCCGAAGUCUAUACUAUAUAUGCGGAAACUAGAUUGCUUUCAGGAUUUUGGGUAACUAAAUUUAACAUUUGUACAUAAAAAUGUUAGUUUACGAAUGUUAAAUCUAGUUACCCAAGCAGAACAAGAAGAUAGUAUAUAGUAUAUACUAUAUAAAUCAAGUUAACAAUUAGUCUAAAUGUUAUAUCUACUUACCCAAAAUAUUGAAAGCAAAGAAAGAAUAAGUAUAUAUCUUUUGUUGGAAAAUUGGUCCACGGAGAGGCCCAUUUAGGCCUCGUUCGUUUCACCGGGAUGGGAUUCCAGUCAGGAUUACUUCCAAGUUCGGUUUGAGUGAUUCCACCCGUGUCACUCAAUCCGGCUAGGAUUCAUUCUAUGGGUGAGGAGGUAUGGUUUCAAUCCAGGCCAUCUAAUGUAGAAGGAUUCCAAUCCAGGCCGGUUUUCGUUCCAGGCCAGACUAAAACGAACAACACUUUCAAUGCAAGUCUGGUUUCAAACCGGGCCAUUUCAAACCACCCGGAAUGGACCUCGUUCCAGGCCAAUCCGGUGAAAACAAAUGAGGCCUUAAUGGAAUCCCAAAGCAAGAGUUCAGUGGCAUUCUAUAGUCCCAUGCUGCUAGUUUGAGUUGGUCGAAGCCAACUUAAAUAGGAGAGCUCUCUCACUUCUCUAAAUACGUAACUGAAGGAGAGAAGGGGGCUUGGGUUACACAACGCACGCACGCACGCAUAUUUGCGUUCUUUUCGCGUAACCAACCGCGUGACUUGAAACUUGCGACGUAGCGUGCUGCUAAGUCAAGUUGAUAUAACCUUUUUGCCGUUUGCAUGUAAUCUUUUGACAACGGUCAUUGGAGGUGAUAAGCACGCAGUCAAUACCUUAAUCUUGAGUUAAUAGGGUGGUUACUACUGCCAAUUAGUGGGGCAAUUUUGUAGGGGAAACGGUUAGCAGAGGGCUACCGUCUUCUCUAUAAGAAGUUCUGGAGACGUCCAGGAACACACAUGUACAUGUGAGAGACCCACAAAUUCCUUCCCUUCUCCCUUUUCCAUGUGGUGAAGUGUGCUGUGGUACUGAGCUGCUUGAUCUCGCCGCUCUUCUCCUUGGCAUGCACCGAGGAGGAGGGUGAGCGGUAUCUCCGAGCUAUUGCCGUCAGGAAGCCUGCACGAGGGACAACAAAAAGUUUUUGGGUAGCGCAACUGCCAGCACAACUCUCCCUCCGCCUCUUCUUCACGGUUGAUGGCCACCACAAGCAUAAACCUCGCCUUCGCAUCCACGCAAAAGGGUCGCUGGGGUGCCUUCUUGCAUCGCUUCUCAGCCUCCUUGACUUGCGGCCAGCCAAGAACUGCGCCACCACCUCGGGUGCACGCCACCACUCCAGGGCUGCUACCCCAUGCCUGCGGCCGCCGCCGGCCACCACGCGUGUGCAACCGCGUCGCACCGCUUCCUUGCUUUGUGCCACCACUGCUGCUGUACCACCAGCUCCACCACCUUGGGCUGGUCGCCAGAGUGACUGAUAACUUAUUAUCUGUAACUACUAUUAACUCAGGGAUACAUGCGUCUUUUGCUUCUCCUACUAAUAUGUCCUAAAAUAUCUAGGAUGCCUUAUAUUUCUGGACAGAGGAAGUAUUUGAAUAAAAUGAACCAAUUUAAAAAAAUGUGUUGUACACUACUACAGAAAGACCUAUCAGUGUCAAACCCAAAAAUGUUGUCACCGCCAGUUUUGGGCAUCAUUGGUGAAAGGUUGGCGGUGAUGGGCUUUCCCUUCAACAACGGCACUGGAGCCGACGGUGAUUGACAUUAGAAAACAAAAAAGGGGACCCUACCUAGCCACCCCUGCAACCCGGCCGGCCGUGCCUCCCCUCAUCCCCACCACCUCGCCUCCCCAUGACCCCCCGCCGGCGCCCUUGCGCCUAGCCCCCUCAACUGCCCAGCCGGCCACCCUCAUCACGAGAGAGAGGUGCAUGUUGUAUAAUUGCGUGAAUUUUUUAAUGUUUAAUUUCAUGUAAGUUCCGUGUAAUAAAUUGUACAAGUUUUAUUGUAUAUAUGAAUUCCAUAUAUAUAUAUAUAUAUUUAUAAUUUAAUGUAUGGUUUCAUGUGUAUAUUUCAAUCAUGUGUAUAUUUAGUAGAUUGCCGAUUUUCUUUUUCUACUAGACAAGGGUUGAUGUAUAAUUACGUGUAUAUGUUUAUUGUACGGGCAAUUAGGACAAGUUUUGUAUAAAUUUCUUUUAUUUGAUGGUUGUUGUAUGGUUUCAUGUAUAUACAUUUAUUGUACUACUUUAGACAAUUUUUAAUUUAAUGUUUCUAUGAUUAGAUGUGUGUAUAACUAAUUGUAUUAUUAGUUAAGAUGGGAGCUAAAGAGGAUGAAAGGUAUAUAAUGGAGCAGAUUAUUGCUAGCUCAAACGUUGCAAGAACCUACACCGAGGGUGAGGGUAGCUAGGUGGACAUGUACCUCAACAUGUCCAGUGAUGGCAAUGACGAUGAGGAGCACGAGCAUGACAUCUAUGAUAAUGCGGAACAAGACAUUGCAGAAUUGGAAGGUUCUAAUGAGGUGUGCUUCAUGUUGACAAUCUAGUUGGCUUUUUUUCGUUGGUCACACCUUAGUUACCAUAGAACUUCGUCUCGGGAGAAGAUUGGUGGUGGUAUGGUGAUUGGAAUUUUAUUUCCACGAAAUCUGAUUUCCAUCGAAUCAUAUCCCUUGUAUUUAUCUUCUUUUUAUUUGUGAGAGCAUCUUCUUUAUGCUUGCAAAACAAUUCAAGUGCACAUACUACCCCUAGGGUGACGAUUGGGAGUAGAAAUAAUUGCCAACAAAACAACACCACAUCCUAAGAUUCUUAACUUGUGGCAUAAUUAGUCUAGUAAAAAGAAAGAUAAAAACCUAAUGGGUGUAUGUGAGUGCAAUGUGUAUAUGCAUAUGAGUGGAAGGCAUAUAAGCAAAGACAAUAUUUACACAUAGUUCUAAACACCAUGUUUACAGCUAGGUUGCUGAAUUUCUCCAUAGCCAUAGAGAUUAAUUAACCAAGGUCAAAACACGAUGUCUAUCCCAAGAUCAGUAAUUAUUUAUAGCACAAGAAAAAGAAAGCGCAUUGCAAAGUUUAUAAACCAACCAAUACAGCAUGAAAACAAGAUGAAUAGCUAGCAAGGUUUAUUAAACUGAAUGAUGACGGUCUGUAAGCAAGUUUAAACACCAUCUUUACACAAGAUUGCAAAUGGAAAAUGCCCAUAUGAAGCACUAACAUGGAUAUGAAAUCAUUCAUCAUAAAGCGUAAAGAACAACCAAGCCAACCAUAUGCAAAGCAUGAAUGGAAUGCAAUGAAGGUGCAAGAGAACAUUUUUGGAUGAACACAUUAUGAUGAUGGCAAAAUGCAAUGCAUGCAGAAAAAAUAAAUAUGAACAUGAAUAUGAUGAUCAGGGGCGGACCCACUAUUGUGGCCUGGGUAUUCCUCGGCAUACCCAAUAUUUUUGGGAAAAUGUUUAGUAGUUUUUAAUGGCAUAUACAUGUAUAAUAUAGUUUAGGUGUUAAAAUUGAUAUUCACAGCUAUUUUGGGCUCCAAUUCGCGUCCAAACCAACCUGGCCCACAGACCGCACCCGGCCGCCCGGCCCAUCGGCCCAUCUUGUCACUGAUCCUCCCACCACCACACUCAGCCCGUCAGUUAGUCAGGUCCCGAGCUCCUGCCUGACCUAGUCCGCUACCACCGCCAGGCGCCAGGCACAGCUGUACACGCCGCCCCCGUCCACCCACGUCCGCCGCACGGCCGCGUCGCGCCCCCCCCCGGCGCCCGCUGCUGCCAGAACCCAUUAGGCCUCCACCGGCAAGUCCACCCACAGUCCCGCGCGACGCGGCAGCCUCUUGGCUCUCGGCGCUCGCGGCGCGCCAAUGCCUGCGCAGCCCCAGCAGGCGACUGCCCCCCCCCCCCCCGCAUCGGGCCUCGGCCCCUCCCCAGCUCCCCCUCCCCCCUCCACCAGGACUGCCUGCUGGCCCCCACCGCGAGGUAAUCGAAAUGGACUGCUCAAUCUCUCAAUCUGUUGACAUGAUGCACACGGUUGCAAAAAUAGAUGUGUCAAAAUAGAUGUAUUGCCAAUUGCUAUAGAUGCAUAUGGUUGACAUGAAGAAGUCAAAAAUGACAUUUGGUUCCUUGUAGGCAGUCAAAAAUGAAGAAGUCAAACAAUAUUGAUCUGAAAUCAAUGCGGGAAAGGGCUACGAAGACACACGGGUAGAUUCCCUUGUGAACUUUUUAUGUCGUUCGUCUAAAUAUAUUUUUGCAAUGGGCAUACCCUACUCUGAAAUCCUGGGUCCGCCACUGAUGAUGAUGGUCUAAACAUAAAACAAGCCUAGAUUAAUUAGCUACAACUGAAAUUAAGCAAAGGUUAAUGUCAUUGACCCUAGCUCUAUCCUAGCUUUUACUAAAGUCCCGGCACAUAUAGUGGUUGGGCCCACUCUCUCUACUUCCCUCUCUGCUGCAUGCACACACACGAGCAACUGGAGGCCCAACAAAGCCCAGAAGGGUUCGGCCGAACCCGUCCGAUCCAGUCUGAGCGCCGCUCCCUCCCAGCCUUCGCGCAGAUGCUCCUCCAACGUUCCUUGACCCCUCCCUCAGUGUCCCAUUGGGUUUAACAUUGUAGGAGAGGAGUCCCUUUUUUAAAAUCUCAACCACCUCCUCUCCUCAUUCACUCCACUCUCAUCUCCAUCAAACUCACCAAGAUCCACAUCGGAAAUACCUGCUUACCACCAUGGCUGGCAAAGCCCUCGUCCCUUUCACCAACUUGGGCUUGACCAUUGAUCUCGAUGGGAAAAUCACUCCAGCAAAUGUCAUUGUCCCUGUCGGCGAUCUGGCGAUGGAGGAGGUCCAGGCACUAGAGGUCGAGCCCCUAGCCAUCAUACCGCCCAAGGGGUAAAGCAGGAGCAUGACAGGCGCUGCUAGGGGUUCAGCCGAACUCCCAGUUCAGCCAAACGAGGACGGCGUCGCCUCGGCCUCCCGCUCGACUGCAUGCUUCCCCUUGCCAAGGAGGACUCCAGAACAGCGGGCGCGUGCGUCAAGUCCCUACAAAAGGCUGAAAUACAAUGAAUAUCCAGGGUCACCCUUGAAGAUGGGUGAACGCUACGCCGGGUCCUUGUUUGACUAGUACGGCGAUGCAUUCUGCCACCGCUAUGUCGUUGUCGAGAUUAGCGGAUCAAGACUUAGACUAGUAAAUUUCUUUUAUGCGCGUAAGGCUUCAGAUGGUGGCGUGGGAGACAUGGGUUUUAUACUAGUUCGGGCAAUGGAAUACCCUACGUCCAGUGUCUGGAGCUGCUUGUGUUGCCCACGCGGGGUUCUGUAGUAGGGGUUACAGGUGUGCGAGAGAGGGAGCUAAUCCCAGGUCUCUUAGGCGUGUUCCGGUCCUCUAGAUGGGAGAAGUGUGUUCUGUUUGCUUGGGAGUAUCGGUUGUGUCUGAGUUGUCUCCGGAGCCUCCUCCCGUCUCAGGUCCCCGAUUCUCCUUUCAUAGCACAAGGAGACCAUCGGGGUUACAGACGAGACCGAGCGUGGGGAGGAGUAAAGAGAUAAACAUAGCUAGGUAAAAAUACAACAAGAAAGGGGGGAACCAAGUUUCUAGGUCACCGGCGUCCUCGCCGGCCUUCGACUUCCGCCGGCGCAUUUGUCGGAGGAGGGUGGCCGCCAUCGCGUUCUGUCGAUGGCUUCCUCGGUGACUGUAGCCACCGGGCGUGAUGAUGGCAUUUCGUCGUGACCCUUUGUCUGUUGGGGGAGGCGGCGGAUCCUGCCAUUCUGCUGACGGCUCGCGGAGUGCGAACGUCGCAUCCCUGCCGCUGGGCACGCGGGGCGCGAGAACGUGCGAGGCUUCCCCCUACCCCAGGCGGCGCAGGCCAUGAGUGCCCUGUGGCAAAUCGGAGGAGGCCGCAGCUACUGUAGCUUGUACUGUGCAGCCACGUAUGGGUACUUGUGGCAGGUUGCGUGGUGGAUGCGGAUAUCCUUCUCCCUGACAGAUCUGCGGCGCAUUUAUGGCGAGAUCGACAUGGGGACCCACAAGACCCGCGCCCAAGGCGGAUACUUGUCUGGAGGGCCCGGGUUAGCCUGACCCCCUACGCUUGGGGUCGGGCGAGGCGGAGACUUGCGGCGGGGCGUCGGACGCUCCCGACACUAGACCUGCGGUCGCGCAAGGCGGAGCUUGGUCUUCCGGGGGUCGGGGGUGCCGGACCCCAGGAUGCGGGGUCGGGCGAGGUGGAGCGUAAUUCUUGCCUCCCAUGUUGGGCCGAUGGCAGUCUUUGUUACCUCUAGUGGGCUUGGGCCUUUAUGUUUUGUUGUUUCCAUGGGCUUCGAGAGGUCGUUAAUAUUUCCCCCCAACAGUAGCCCCCGAGCCUGUGGUGGAGUGGGGGCGCUCCUCCGGAGGCUACUAUCAUCGCCCCUAGGGAAUCCUCGCAGUUGAUCCGGGAUAGGAGGUGUUGUUUGCACGGCUUGACCGAGGGGGUCGAUUAGGCGACGCAUCCUGUGAGCGACUCGGUGCGGGAGGGUUUCUUGUUGUUCCCUUCUGUCUGAGAGCCUUAAGUCGAGACCACCUGCGUGGCCUUUGGUUGCAAGGCCAGCCCCCGAGCCCCCGCACGUUGCAGGGGACCGGUCGGAGGCUAGGUCGACUUUUGUUCAUUACCCUCAAGCGUCUGUUCGCUAGGACGGAGGGGGCGAGCCGUGCCAUGCUAUCCUCAUCGGACGAACCAUGGUGCUCAUUGAGUUACUAACGGGUUGAUUCGAGUGGGAUCCCGGUCCCCGUUCGGGGGGGGUCCGGCUUGGGCCAAGCUGGUGGCGUACCCCAGGCUCCGGUCGGCCAGUUCAUAUAGUUCCUGAGUCCGUUCGGUCGGACCGGGGGCUCAUUGCCUUUCUUCGGGGAAAAACCAUGAACUUUGAUGCCGGUCCAGACUCGAAUGUGAGAUUGAGACGCCCGGGGCUGUCGCGUGCCCGGGUGAUGGCCGCUAGCGGACCCGUCUCCUCUCACCCCUCACUCGGGGGUAUCCUGAGGCGGCUGUCGAACCCGUGGCGGGCCAGCCUUCGAACCUCUGGAUCGUAAUGGGCCGUAGGGGCGUUUUCAGCCCCGUAUCCCUUUUUACCUUUUGGUGGGCCUUGGGCCGAAUCAUGGAGGAGGUCGGGCCUUGGGCCGGAUGCGGAGGAUGUCGUGCCUUGGGCCGGAUGUGGGGGACGUCGUGCGUGUCUUCCGGGAGACGAAGUGGUGGAGGGUGCCAACCCGCGAAUCGAGGGAGGAGGGGAUGUUUCUACUGCAGGUCAUGCGCACGGUUUCCGAAAAGGCAGCGGGCGUGACGGGACGUACCUCGCGCCGCAUUUAUUGCGAUGGGGGCGUCUGUUCUGCUUCCCUCGUGCCUUCCCUAUAAAACGAGGACUUCGCCUCGCCGGUUCCGCCCGCCAUCUACCUUCAAGCCUUUUCGCCUCCUCGCGCGCCCUUAGCUUUCCUGUGCCCGCUUCGUCUUCCUCCGCCCAGUGCCGCGCCCUUUCUCCCCAUCCGCCGUCGAGUUCUUCUCCCUCCGGCGAUGGGAUCCUGGGCGCGUUCCCACUUCGGCCCCUCACGCGCCGAAGGCCUAGUGAGGAAAGGCCUCCUUUGCGAGAGGACGGAGACGGAUGAGUGGGGGUUCCCUGAGAUGGAAGAGGUGCCGACUCCGCCCACCGGCUACGUCGUUUCCUUUGCCCACUUCCACGAGAGGGGGUUUGCGACUCCGCCGAGCCUCUUCUUCCGCGGGCUUUUGUAUUACUACGGGCUUGAGCUGCAGCACCUCAACCCCAACGGGAUUCAGCACGUCGCGGCGUUCGUUGCGGUGUGCGAGGGGUUCCUGGGCAUUGAGCCCAACUUCUCGCUGUGGAAGUACUUCUUCACGGUCAGCCUAUACCAGAAGGCCGAGAAGAGGGGAAGCCAGCAGCGGUCGACCCCGGUGCCGAUAGGGUGCGUCGGAAUCCACCUCUGCCAUACUCGCGCCAAGGAGUAUAUCGCGAUGAAGACCGCGGCAUCCCACAAGGGGUGGCACCAGCAAUGGUUCUACGUGAAGAACUACUCCAACCCCCCCUGCCGGAGUUCACCGGCCGCAUUAUUGAAGCGGCGCCGGAGGUGUGGGUGUACGGCCCGGUGGAGAAGGAGAAGAAGCGGAUCACCGGCCUGCUGCAGGCCAUCGAGCACCUGAAGGAGAGGGGACUGACCGGAGCCGGAGUCAUCGGGGCGUACCACGCCCGGCGGGUGGCGCCGCUGAUGCUCCGGGUCCGCUCGCUCGCCGACAUGACCCCCGGUGCUCUCACCGAUGGCACUGUCCUCGCGACGGGUGCUCUCGCUGCCUCCGAGAUCCGGCAGCGGAUCCGGGAGGCGCUGGAGGACAAGGACGCCGAUUACCCGGUGCCCGGCCACCCUCCGAUGCGCCCGGACGAGAAUUUCAUUGAUCUGGUAAGGAUUUUGCGCGCCAGUUUCCCUCUCUUGCGUUUCUUGGUAUGCCGUUCUGACGCGAGGCCCUCUGUGUUUGCAGGGUAGCAUGACCCGGGUCGUCGACUUGCGUCCGCCAGUGUCGGAGGACGCCGAGUGGCGGUAGCAGAACCGUCUCCUUGCCGAGAAGCAAAAGUGACGCAAGGACAAGAGACAGCGAAGAAGAAGAAGAGGGCCGCCAAGGAGUUCCAGCGGCGGCGGUGGGGAUAGGUCGUGUCGGAUGACGAUGACGAUGAGAAGGAGGAGGAGGAUGACGAGGAGGAGGAGGAGUUUAUCCUGUCCCCCCGGUCAGGGGCGCUUGUUAUCCGGGAGCCGCGCUCCCAAGCGGCCAUGGGGGACAAGGCGGGCGAGCUGCCUGCCCGGACCCGAUCCUGCGAAGCUUUGGGGGCGCGCCCCAGGGGUCGGCGCAGAGCGCCCCCCGGGGGUCGACGGAGCCGACCCCCAUCCCUACACCUGCAGCCCAGGAGCAGAGGAGCAGCGACAAGCGGCCGUUGCCAGAUGCCCCGGGGUCGGCGUCCAGCUCAGAGGCGAAGCGCGCGCGCCGCCCUUGCGCUGGGGGAACGUGAGUUGAAUUUCCUUGCGAAUCUCGUUCCUUUCCAUGCAUUGUGUUUGUUUCCGCUGAUGCUGUUUGUUGUCUCACAGCACCGCCCCUCAAGGCCUUGUCCCGCCGUUGGCGCCAAAGAAGGCGUUGCGGUGUUGUCGCCUCUGCGGGGCGGACCGCGGCUCCGCCGGCGGCGAGUGGCGGGGUCACUGGUGAGACCGCGGGUCCUACCGCGGAGGUGGCCCCUGCGGCGGCAACCGGUGGAGUGGUGCCACCGCCGGGCAUGGGACAGGGUCUGGACCCCGCUCCGUCCUCCGCCUCUUCGGCCGACCCCGCGGUGCAGAGUAUCGCUCCUGGGGGCCCUCAGGCCGGGGAGGUGAUUGACCUCGACGCCGACGAGGUGGAGGAGACGGCGGCGGUGGAGACGGGGGCGGUUGCCCCAGCGGCCAUGACGGGGACGACGACGGCGACGGGGGAAGGAGAGUCUACCCCCGCGGCCACGGCGGGGACAGUGGCGACAGAGGAGGCGGGGACGCCCGCCCCGGCGGCUGCGACGGAGGAGGCGGCGGUGACGGAGACGGGGGCUUCCGCCCGGGAAGCCACAGCCGAGGUGGCAGCGGCGACGGAGGUGAAAGUGCCUGUUCUGGAGGCCACGGUGGGGGUGGGGACGCCUGCCUCGUGGCCACGACGGAGGGCGAGGCGGCCCCAGGGACACUUGCUCCGGCACCCGCGUUGGAGGCGGUGGCGCCGACGGGUUGGCCCGUGGCGGCCUCGACGGGGGCGGGGGUGCGUGCGCCGGGACCGUCGGUGAGGCCGGCGACUUCCGGGAUGGUGGUGCCCGUCUUGACGGCGGCGGCGGCGCGGUCGGCCCCCGCCCUUGCCUCUACCACUCCCAUUCCCAAGGCGUGGAGCGGAUCCGUCCUGCGUUGGUCGUCUCGUGACGACCCGCAGAGGCCCCUCUUCACGUUGGAUGAUGCCACAGAAUGGGGCAAGUGGCAGGCGCUGCAGGGCGGACUCGCUAACGUCCGCGCCGCUCUAUCUUCGGCGUUGGGGGAGCUGGACGGCGUCAUCUUCCCCGGUGGCCGGGUAUGGUGCUUUCUCCGUUGGUUAUUUUCUUCCCGUUACUUCGUCCCUGAUGGCACAUUGUUCUGCAGGCCCUCCAAGAAUGUAGCCGGGGAAAAUCUGAUUUCCUUUGGCUCGAGCAGGGGCUCUGGGAGCGCUUCAACUUGGAGUUGCAGCGGACCGGGGAGCUGACCAUGCAAGUCGCCACCGUCUAGCAUGUCAUCGACGAUCUGCGAAGGCACGAGCAGGCGGCACAGGAGGACGCGCGGCGGGCGGAGGCCAAGUUCCAGGUCGUUGCCGAAAGGGCUCGCUGCGACCGCGAGGAGUUCCAGGCCGUUGCCGAAAAGGCCCGCCACGACGCUGAGGAGCUCGCACGGCUGAAGGUGCAGCAUGAAGCUCUUCAGAAGAGCGGCAGAGGGCCUGGCAGGACCGGGACGCCGAGAAGGUCCGGAAGGAGGAGGCUGAGAAGGUGGCGGCCAACCUUGGGGCUGAGGUCAGCCAGCUCCAAGUGCAAGCGCGAGAGCUUCAGGCCUCCGUGGCCCAGGGGCUCGACCAGGAGCGCCAGCUGAAGGCCUAAUCCGAGGGUAUGACUCUGUUUAUUUCUUUGUCUUUGUGAUGUUGCGGUGAUAUUUUAUUUGGCGGGUUCUUCUGGAUGAUCCUUGCAGAUGAGCUCAACUGGCUGAGGGAGGUGCUUGACGCGGAGCGCGCUGAGCACGGCGACCUGCGGGACGCGGUCCGCGUCAUCUGUGACUUCCUUAGUGUGGUCCAGGGGGAGGGGACGAGCUCGCUGGCGGCUCGUGUCCUCGGGACGUACCGCCGGACCAGCGAGAUCGCCCUGGAAGCGCUUCGCACCGGCUUGAGGCAAGCCUUUGGGGUCUUCGGCUCCCACUAUUCCGGCAUCAACUUCGCCGGGAUGAGCGGGGGAUACGCCACCGGCUACUACGAGGCCGAGCUGGAUGAGAUCGACGUGUCGGUGCUCAGCCCGGCGGAGGCCUUGGUGAAGCUCCUCGAGGAUGAGGCCGUCCCGCCCGAAGAUCCCCGGACGAGUUAACUAUAUCGGGCUGGCGCCCCAGAUGUAAAUACGUUAGGGAAAGACUUGUUUUUUGUGAGGGCCGUAGAGGCCUUUUCUAUGAAUUGUCGUAAAAAAGUUUUUGAUUCCCUUUCUUGCUUUUUGGACUUGGAAAGUUUAGAGCACGUUGUCGGGCGUGUCAGUAAGCUUUGAUGAGCGAAGGCACCGUAGCCGCUGGGGCGUCGUUUUUUUUGCAGUCCGAUCAAUCUUGCCUGAACACCGUUCGUGCACUUUCUCCUUUUUAUGCCCAAAAGUUCAGAAAGAGGGUCGGCUCGGAAAGAGAAAGCGUUUUGAGAGGGUGUCAAGUGGCUUAGGUACUUGCGGCAGGUUGCGUGGUGGACGCGGAUAUCCUUCUCCCUGACAGAUCUGCGGCGCAUUUAUGGUGAGAUCAACAUGGGGACCCACAAGACCCGCGCCCAAGGCGGAUACUUGUCUGGAGGGCCCGGGUUAGCCCGACCCCCUACGCUUGGGGUCAGGCGAGGCGGAGACUUGCGGCGGGGGGUUGGACGCUCCUGACCCUAGACCUGCGGUCGGGCGAGGCGGAGCUUGGUCUUCCAGGGGUCGGGGGCGCCUUACCCCGGGAUGCGGGGUCGGGCGAGGCGGAGCGUAAUUCUUGCCUCCCAUGUUGGGCCGACGGCAAUCUUUGUUACCUUGGGUGGGCCUGGGCCUUUAUGUUUUGUUGUUUCCAUGGGCUUCGAGAGGUCGUUAAUAUUUCCCCCCAACACUAUGAGGAGGACUUGUGGGCAGAAAGUCAGCUACCACAAACUUGCCUCUGAAUAUUUGGAGUGCAAACAUUGGAUGGUGGUUGUGGAGAGCCCCAGCCAUACCUCGCACCCGUGGAGAGGUAAUUGUCGGAUUGCUUGGUUCGUCUCUAGAAUGCGACAAGGUCAGGCGCCACCUCUCACUGCUGCCAGUCAGAAGGCCGAGGGGCCAGUUUCAACAUAGUAAUGAGAAUCUCCGAAGGCCAAUAUGGUUAAGCAGCUAACCUCCAUGAUCAUAGACUUACGUUUAGAAAAUAGGAGGCUUAGCGAUGCGUUAACAGAGCAGAAGUUAGAAACAGAAGAACUUAAGGACGACUUCCGUGUCCUCCGCCUUGGUCUUUGUGCUAAGAUAAAGCGCUUGUACAAUGCCACGGGGAAUGACGGUCUCUACGAUGCAGCUCAAUAGACGUGCCCCUUGUAUCCUUUCCUUUAGGCACUUUAGAAUAUGUUUAUUUGUUUUCCUUCAUUUUAAUUUCCAAUAGAUUGUUAGCGCCUCCAAUUUAAUUUCAAUAAAGUGUAGACUCACCGGUCAUCCAACUUGAUGGAGUCCUUUUGUCACCUAGUUGUCUUUGGAAGAAGUAGCUGGGUACAAAAUAAGUGUGGGGGAGAGCCACAGACUCUCUAGAGCUGAAACAAUGCACAACACCCACAAAUAGAGAAAACCACGCUGCACCAGCACGUACGUGAAAGUGGAGCCAGAGCUGGACCCAUAGGGGUUUGGCCAACCCAAGGGGUGGCCCACUCGGGCCAUCUUCAUCCACCGCGUCGGUUUGUGUCUCUUUACCCCUGAUCUCCCUGAUUCAUGAGUUUGAAUGAAUUUUAAAUCUGAUCAACUAAUUCAAACUCAACUAAAAUGAAUCAACUGCUCCACCUGCUCUACAUGUUUUCUAUGGUUGGCUUGCAUAUGUUUUAUUUCAUGCUUAUCAUCUUGAUGCUUGUGAACAAAUAUCUUUAGGACAGCAUGCUCAUCUAAGUAGUUGAUGUGUAUGAUAUGGUUCGAUGAUAUGAUCUUCACUCUUAAUGCUUAAGUGCUUGGGAAAAUCUAUUUGAAAAUUUAAAAGCCUUUUUGAAAUCUCCUCUUUGAUGUGCCAAAGUCCUACCAAAGCCAUAUGAUAAGUUAUCUUGAAAAACCAUUUGCAUAUGUUGCUUGUCUUUGCAUUGAGCUUUGUCAAAUUGGUGUGACCCUUGUCACAAUUCUUUUCAUACUUUCAUGAUCAAGACUCAUGUGCACGCCAUAUACCCCUUGCUAUGCUUCUAUGAGAUGUUAGCAUUGUACCAUCCAUUCAUUCCACAAAAUAAAUGCUCCACCAUAUGUGUUGGUCUCCUUCUAAGAUUAUUGUUACAAAAGAGAUAUGGGCUAUCAAAAAAAAAUAUGAAUGUCCAAGAAAGUUGGACACAUGAAUGUCCAAUAAAAAGAAAAAGAAAGAUAGCCAUGUCCUCAGAAAUAUUUACAAAGGGAGAGAGAUCAUACAAAAAGGAGUUUCCAUUCCAUCCACCACAUCCAUACAUGUGCACAUCUUGAUCUGAUUGUAUGACUUAUUUUUCUCUUUGGAUCUGGUCUUUGACUUUGCAAUAUAUGUGAUGCAAGCAUGCCUUAUCCUUCAUAGCCUACCUUGAGCUCCACAUAUAGCCAUCAUUAGAAGUAGGAUGAAGAAAGGCAAGUCUAAUGCCUUGGUGAGGACAUAUACACAUUGAGUGAUCUGAGAGAAUCAAAUGAGGAGCUAAGCAAGGUUUUGUUUUGAAAACUAAUUGAAAAAUCCCAAGCUACUUGGCAUAAGGAGUUGAGGUGACUUGAUUCAAGACCAUUACAUUCCUCAACUACCCAAGAUGGCAUGAUAGACACUCCAAAGUUCACAAGUGCAGGUAUGGUUUGGAAUAUCUUUUAGGCUCGCUUCAUACCUUUGAAAGUUAUGUUUCACCUUAGUCCUUUCUCGUUCACUCAAGGAUAAGCAAAGGCUAAGUGUGGGGGUGUUGUUGAUGGCUCUUAAGUACAAAAUCUGCGCCAUCAACUCUUGCAUAAACACAUAAAAUAUGAGCAUCAACAAUAGUGGUAGGAGUUAUUACAAACGAAUUCCACAAGUCUUGGUGAAUAUUUGUAUGCAAGCCCAAUAGGAGAGAAAAGACACCUCAAAAGCAAGGAAACACACUCUCAACCAAUCAAGAGCAAGCACAUGGAACCAUGGGCCCACAACCAAAAGGAAAUCGACUACAUUCCAAACACCCUAUACCCACAUGAGAACCCAUAGGGCAGUGACCCAGAGCAAAGGUGAUGCCAGAGUGUAGAUGGUAGUUAGCAUGCCAAAUUUUGAACCGCAAGCGCUCGGAUUAGUUGUUUCUUUUCCCUUAGAGAUUCCCCCAAGGUUUAUCAAUCCAUGGAACAAGGGAUUUGCACGUUUCACUAAGCACUAAUCAAUGUAAUUGAAAGCUUUUCGAAUAAGAUAUGAUUAUGCUAACAAAGGAACUAAGCAAUCUAGAUUAAGAUGGAUAGAGAGUACAGGUUGUGAACAAGAUAGAUUAAACGCUUGUAGAUGCAAUCACCAUGCAUGAAUGAAUUAGAUCUAGGUGUUAUUGUGAGUGGUUGUGAACCAUGCCCAACACUUUCCCACCCGCAACAUUGUCACUACAUGUGGGUACUCAACUAUCGGAACAUAAGAACACAUCAAGAUGAUCAUUCUAGGUAAGCAAAUAAGCAACCCAAAGUAGCGCUGGCCAGCCUUUUCAUGAAAGAGCAUCAUCAAGAUAAGAUUGAUAACAAAAUAGAUCUCAACCAAAGGUUCAGCGAUUACAAAUCAAGAUCUUCGUAUAACCCCGAUGACAAAUAGAGGUAUUACCCCCAUGAUCUUACACAUGUUGAUGAAUUUUAGGGUAAAGGACACCCUGUAGAUCAACUGGACCAAAGAUGAUGAUGAACGGGGGCAGGGAAGGCCCAGGUUGAUCAGCCUGCGCACUUUUGAGCCGAUCAGCUCAGGGGGUUUCCUCCUCCCCUGGUGCUCCUCUUCGCGUGGCCUCCUCUGGAUCCAAUCUUCUCUUCAUUUCUCCUACUUGUGGCGGCAAUGGAUGGUGUUUGCAUGGUGAUUUCCUCUUCUCCCCAACUCUCCCUCCUUGAAGUCCAUGAGGGGGUAUUAAUAGUCUCCAAUAGGCGGCAGCUCUGGGUCAAUGUCAGUGAAAAAAUCCUAGAGAUCAUCGUACACUUCAUGCUGAGGAAACAAGAGGUUGACCGAGCCCUGGGAUAGACCAAGAGGAUCAUCCUAGAGGGUCCCAGGCUAAUCGGUCUAGGCCCUUCCUAGCCCUUCUAGUCCUCUCCUUCCUCGUGCUGGCUUUUCUCGAUGACCCUUGUCCAAAUAUCCAUGAAGCUCUAUAUACAUACCCCCUUGAUUAUGUUGUAUUUCCUGUCAAAAUACAAUGCUCCAAAAUACAACACAUAUGCAAUAAUAGGGUUAUUUCAGGUGCCAAUUGGUGGGUUAGUAUACGAAUAAGCAUGAAAAUACUGUUUAAAUGACACUAAAAGUGUGUCAAUAACGAGCACCAACAAUCCCCCCACGCUUAGAUCUUGCUCGUCCUCGAGCAAGUCUAGCGACUAAAAGAUCUUGAAUUAAACCUGAGCAAGCGAGUCAAGUACCUAGCCUUGAAACAAAAGAUUAGAGGAGCAGCAAAGAUAAUCAAAGUCUGGGUGUUCAAAGAUUUAUCUAAGCAAAGAUUCCCCUACAACUAUUAUUCAGAACCAAGUAACUUCAAAAAUCAACUACACUUAUUUUCUGGCUUUUUUCAGAGGGUUUUUCUUUCAUCAUAAAACAAUCUCCCUGCAACAAAAUUGAAAAAAGAAUUAUUUUCAAGGUGCUUACAUGUCGCUUAAAUGAAUGUUGGCUAUCCUACUUAUUUGCAAGCUCUCAUCUCUCAAAAUUCAUUCAAUUAUAUGGUGGAGUUUGGGUAAGGUUAGCUAGAAUCAACACGUAUAUUAUUGAAUUAAGAAAACCCUCUAACGGUGGCCUACCUUCCGAGCCAUUGAUCAUAAGAAUAUCCACAUAAUGUGAAGUUUUCAAGGAUGAGAAGAUAUAGAAUGGUGGACAUGUGCAAAGGCAAAGAAAUAUAGUGACUCUGAGGCACAAGCAAUGUCCUCGUCGUUGGAUUGCAUAUGGUUGUAAUGAAAAUAUGUUCCUUAAACAAGUCUAUCUUUUCUUUGCACCACUCUUGAUCUUCAUGACAGUAAAAACUCCUCCUUUAUUUCUUUCUCUCUUUUCCUAUUAUUUCUUUUUAUUUGUCUCAAUACUUUUAUUUCUUUAUUUCUUUAUUUUAAUCUCUUCUCUGAACCUCUUCUGAACACCACAUAAUAAAAAUAAGUUUUAGAUCCUUCCAGAGACCUUCCAGGAAUUUGCUACAUGAAAACCGAGGCAAGGAGACCCCAGGCCGAUUGGCCUAGCCACUCCUUUGCUCUCCUCUAGCUCUUCUUUCUGGUGAAGCUUCCUUAUCUUGUAUCUUUCCAAAAAUUUCAUAAAGCUCGACUAGAAACGGAACAGAUCUUCAUAUAAUGAGUUGUGUUCAAGGAAUUGGUAAUAAAAUUGAGAAAUUUGUGGUUCGGGUUUACGAAUUCAGUACAAAAAUAUGAUUGUUCCAAUGAAGAACUCUCAUUACUGAAUAUUGACGAGGCAAGCAUUCAAAGAUGGUAAAAAGGAUAUGAUCAAUUCUCAAAAUUAAAGCAAACCAAGAGAGAGCGAUCCUAAUUCAAUUCAAAGUGUCAAAUGUUGCUUAUGGUGGUAUGAAUAAAUAUUUUUAGGCAUUGGGUAGGAUAAAUAAAAACUCUCAACCUGGUUAAAAGAUAUUGAUCAAUCUUGUUUUUGCAGAGGUUUUAAAUAAAAAAUAAAAUUUUAAAUCACCUCCAAUUCAAAGCCUUACUCAUAAAUCAUAAUCAAAACUGAAGCACUUGAUCAUCAUAAAGCAUGGGUAUUGCAUAAACAAAUCGAUUACUAAAACUCCACAACUACGAUUUAGAAUUCAAGACAAUGCUCAUAAUCUAAAGUUGCAAAGAUAAAAUAAAAGACAACCAAGCCAAGGUAGACACUAAAAACACUUGCACGAUCCUUGAAUUUUAUUCAUGCUUCUUCUCACAAAGACGCUAAAGUAGCCAUGUAGGCCUAAGUCUUCCCAAAAGCUUAAGAAAACUACUACUUUAUCUACUUUUGGUUGAAAUAAAAAGACUAAUCUAGACUCUCACAUGAUUCGACUCGACCAAAUUAGAUCCAAAAACUCAUACGAGCGACGAUCUCCCCCCCCUCACGCUUAAAAUCUACGACCUCCUCGUCGUAGCCAUAUGGAGUACAAGGAAAAGAAGCUUGUAAACGCUCUAAUGACGCUACCCGCACUACUUGCACACGGGAUGGUUGCUGCUUCCUUCGCUUUGUUCUUCCUCAUGUUGCUGCACAUCCCGAAGAGCUUCCUCACGUUCCUCUGCAAGAACUUGAACUCGUCCUCCUGACGGCGAUCAUUAUCUUCUGCCUUUUGAUCCAGAGCUUGUAAGGCUUGCAUGAUGUCAUCGAACGCAUCGAAGAGGUAGUGGAUGUUCUUCCUGCAAGCUGUGGAACAUGUACGAUCAUGCUCCUCCGAUUCUGGCCCGUCGUCUUCUAGAUCCUUCUCUUUGCCCUUGUCUUGACGGUGGCUAUCUUGCUCCUUGCUCGCCUUCUUGCCUUCAGCCCAAUCCCAGUACGUGUUGUCAUCUUCUUCAUCGUCACGGCCUGCAGCACCCUAUGAUCCAUUGUCUAUCUUGUAUGAAAGAAUCAGAAGCUUGUUCUCCUCAGGGUGUCUUGCGCGGUGCAGCGUUUGCAAGUGCAAGACUUGCUAGUUCCUUUUACACAUUGUAAUGUUCAUUGCAUGCUCUAAUUGUUCUACAUUUGUAAUUUCUUGGUGAAGUUUGGUUACUGAUCCACUGUUUGAUUAACUCUUGGGCCCAAACACUGUACUACUUCUGAUUAGAUAUCUGUAUCUUGACUUUGACCAAAAAAAAUAUCCGGCAGUUUUUGCCAUUAAAGUUUCAUAAAUCAUCUUGCAAAAAUCGUACUAUACAACAAGGGACGGUUUAUUAUAAAAUAUACGUUCCCCUUAUCACAUGCCACUUCCACUCAAAAGGCAACGAAUCAGUUUUCAAUCCUGAGUGAGCAAUUUGCUUUUAUUACCGAUGCCUCCUAUUCCCUUGUGCACCAAGUUUAUUUUGGAUAGGGCUGCAAAAAACGACUAACCAGCUCGGAUUCUCCACCUGCAAAACCGCAUCUGCAGCAACCAACCCCACGCGGUGGAAAAAAAAACAAAACCUAGAAACCGGACGGGGGUGGAUGUGGGGCUCGGAGCCCAAGCAAAAAACGGAUCGGGAGCGCCGGAGCAGGCCAUCACCGGAUGUUAGAGAUAGAAAAUGGUUGAAGUUUGGAGUGGAAAUCAAACAAGCCUUGGAGCAAAGGAAAAAAAAAGAUCAAACCACUCAAGCAUUCAUUUGAUUUAGAAAAGAGAACAUUUGUUAAGGUGGGGAGUUGAAAUCAUCUUUUAAUUAGUUCCACGUAUCUGGUAUCAUUACAGUUGGUUUACUUGUGUAAGUAUAAGUAGCUCUGCCGAAGCCUUUGCUCCUAUAAUUUAGUAACUAGUACAAAUGGAUCAAUAGGAAAAUCAAGUUGCAAUCAUUUCUCAGCCAACCAAACCUAUGUAAAUCAAAUUAUUGUCCAUGCCCGGCAUGCACAGGUGCCUGCCAUGCAUGCAUUGUUGCUCCAUUGUAAUAACCAUUAUUGUCCAUCGAUGUUGCAGCGCAUGUGUGCACUGUGCAGACACCAAGCAUCGAGAUUAUGUACUAGUAAGGUGUUGAAAUAAUGGGCCUAGCCCAUAAGUAAUUUCAGAAUUUCAAAUAAAUCUCAAAGGCCCAUGUGGGCAAGAGGUGGAGUGGUGCAAGUCUUUAGUCCCACAUUGCUAGUCGAGGGGAGGGAUGACCAACUUAAAUAUGGAAGUUGUCUCCACUCCUCCAAGCUAUGUGUGAAGGGCGCGGGCGCGAGGCACUUGCGUGAAUGGUCCGCCGAAAUCUGGCCCCCCUUGCGGGGGCGCGGCUUCCUUUUGCCGUUUUAUUUUUUGGUUACUUGGUCGUUAAGUCAUGGAAUCCUAACCGGUUUAGAUCACGAUCGUGAAGGUUUUUGGGAAGCGCUCUGCGCGACUGCUCGAUCGCUUCUUCCGCUUCGUCAAGUUCUUCGUCGACUCCUUCACCACGGCUCGUCUACCUCUUCGUCGCUCGGGCCUCACUCGUCGUCGCGAACAACGUCAGGCUGCUGAUCGUCGUCGCCUGCUGUAUCCGGUAGUCGUCCAGGAGCCGGUUUUCAUCAAGAAAGAAACGUACGGUCUCUUAACUCACAUUAUGUCUUCCAUACUAGCUAUUAUGAUUGUUGCAGUCUGAUAGCUCUGGAUAGUAUGGUAGAAUGUCUGAUUCUAUUUGCAAUGAUAGACUUGUCUAGAUCUUGCGUAGACAUGUCUAGUUUAAUCUGCUGCUUGUUCAUCAUAUUCAUGAUUUAUUUCUGGAUUAAGUUAAAACUAAAAGUGCUUAUAUAUCCAACAUAAGGUACCAAGAACACGUGAAGCACCCGGGGGAGGCUGCUCCACUCCGCAUGCACAGGUGGGCACGGCACCACUACUCGUCUCCUUCAGGCUGAGGAUAAGUGAUGUACGCUGAUCAACAGACCACGACGGAACCAGCAAUAAUAGUUUCAGCCUGCCUCACAGUAAUUAAUAUAUCCUGUAUCCUCCGAGGACCCCUCCCCUUAAUCUUGGCCUAUUGCAUCCAAUAAUGAUAUGUGUGUUUAUCCAAAUUUACGGCACCUUUGGCGGGGGUUCCACCCAGCUCCGCCCUCUCCACCUUCGGUACUCCAUGGGAAACCAUUCCUUUGGAAUCAAGGAAGCUUGAACAGUAUAACGAAUAAAGUUUCAUAUAUCCAUUUGAUUUCACAUGAAAUAAAAUAUUCUGUCAGAACCAAUGGUUUCACUGAAGCUCCAGGCAGCGAGCGAAGGGGUGAGAGAGGAUAACGCUUACUGUGUGUUACCAUCGCGUGCACCAUGGAUGACCAACGCGCAGCCGAGAUGAAACGGCGGACCUAAACAGGUCCUCGCUAUUUUUGCAGGUUCUCGACCAGGCCAGUUCUUUAGGCCAACCUAUCAUUCACGAGUUAAACAUACGGUGGCUGGAGAAAUGUUCUAUUCUUUUAAACAAUACCAGCUGGUUCCUCCGUUUUUAUUCCACCAAUACAAGCACCACCUUGUAACAUUUCCUAUGUUUUUUUUCCUUUCGUCUGUUUUCUCACUACAUGCGUUGCUCUUUCAUGCAUUUUUUUCCAUUCCUGUAUUCCAAAUAGGUCUACAUGAACACAAAAUGAACUAGGGGACAGAAAAAGCCAGUGAAGUUAGUUUUGAGCUUCACCAGCUACUUGCUACAUAAAGUGUGCUAUAGUCGCAGAAAAGCUAAGCUGGAUCAGACGUGGCCGAAACAAUGCCAAAGAGCUAGGUCCCUAGCUGAUGGCAACACAUCAGAUGACUAGCCUGCUUUUCUGUAAUAAUGAUAUUGAGCAAUACACUGCAUGGCUAACCUGCUUUACAAUAAUUGUCAUUUUAUAAUAUUGGUCAUCACGAGAGAUGCACAUUGCAUACACCGGCCCAUCCCUAUAAAUAGCCAAGCCUUUCAGCCAUCUUGGGCACCUCCUCUCAGGGCCUCGUCUCACCAUCAGACAUCUCGUUCCCAGUUAUAAUUUGCGAGGUUAGAUCAGGCUGCGCCAUGGCGUCCGCAACUGCUGUCAAGAUCGUCGCCACCUUCAUGCUGGUGCUGACCAUGGGCCACCUGAUGGCCGAAGCAUCACCGCAGCCUCGGCGUGUGCUUGCAGAAACGGAGCAUGCUGCGGUGUCCGGGAAUCCUGGCCUCCCAGGUGAUGCUAGCGUCAUGCAGGUCCUCGAACCCGCCCUAGUUUCUCGGCUUGCCUGCAAACCAGAGUGCACAGUCCCUUGGCCUCCUUUUGUAUGUAUCUGCUAGAUCCUCUUCCUGGCUCAACGGAACUUCAGGGAAAUGGCUGUGACGUCGGCCAAAGAAUAAAUUGGAUGAACAUAAUAUACCCCGGGUAGUGUAGCUUGGGCUUUUGUUGAGCGUCUGGUGCUAGUUGUAUUUUGUUUGCUCAUGUGGCUUUGCUUCUGGUUGCAUAUUGGCUUUCCUAUCGCUCUCUGUUGCAGCUAUGGUUUCUGCCAGGUGUGUGUUAAUGCGGUUUGUAAGCGGUGCUUGUUCCUACCUUCUGUUUUCAAUAAAAGAAGUCGGAGUCUCCCUCCGACUCUUGUUAUCAGUCAACAAAAAUGAGUUGUAUCAUAUAUAUCUGCGUCUUUUUUCUACGUAUCUUUGGGCUGCUUCAGCUGGAAGUUUAUCGUAAGUACGUGUAUCAGGAUGAUCGUUUGAAUUAAAACGAAAUGAUAAUGUGUGGCUGCUAGAAAUGGAAUGAGCAUCUUACUAUAUUACUAAUUGGAAGCCUCCACGUGAAGCCACCUAGAAAUUCUAGGUGGACGUUUUAAAAAAAACAAAACUCAUAGAAGCCUCCACCACCUAGGAAUCCUAGGUGGACACUCUAAAAAGAGACAAAUCCUAGAAAUUCUAAAAAAAGAAAAAAAUAAUAACAAUAAGAUUUUUUUGCAGUCAAUUACAUAUAUUUUUUUGAGACACCGUGCUGCUAGCUCUUGCCAUUGCGACCAGUAAAGCAAGCAGAUAGUAAGAUGACAUGCGUGUGGAUUGAUUAAAACAAAUUCAGUUAGUUGAUUCUAAAUCGUAUGUAUCCUAAAAGGAAGAUAUGUGCGUGCAUGGUCCCUAGCGAUGACAUGUAGACAUGUAUUGCAAUUUCUUUUUUAAAAAACAUGUCUAUCUCUAAACCAACAAACAGAAAAAAUAUCAAUCUAAAUCUAAAUCUCUUCCGUUCUCACACGCCUAUUAAAGAGAAGACAACCAAUCCCAUCCAUGUUCCAUAGAAUCCAUCUAAAAGCUUGCUCACUGCGGACGGCAUUUGACGGCAAAUCAAUGAAAGAUCAUCCUCUCCAAAUAGCUGGACGGCAUCACCAUCUUUAUCUCACCAACCUACAGAGCUACAACGAUGUUGUAGAGAUCAACUAGGUAACCUACCAAUCACCCUCCCCUUUUCUAUAUGCUCUAAAGAACACGUGGAGUAAUUAUAGGCCUAUAGGAGCCGACUAACCUAGAUUAAUAUGAAAAAUAUUCCAAUAUUAAAAGCAAGCAGAUAGUAAUACUUGCCUUUGACCAUUUUUCUAGAACUGUUAUUCCUAUUGAAUGUUCAAGUGCUACGGCCAGGCAUCGAAUGCCUGCACGGAACCUUCCUAUUGAAUGGUUACUCUAGAGAUCAACGCACCGCGAGACAUUUUUAUGGAAUUUGUUUGAUUCCCCUUCUACAAUUAGAUUAAUUUUUCAUGGCAUAUAUUACUACUAUUAAAUUAUUUGUUUAUUGUCGGGCCUGCUGCAUGUGUGGUAUAUAUGACUUGCUUCUCACCAUUGUUCUCAAACUAUUAUUCCUAUCGAAUCUUUCUAUCGAAAUAUAUUUUAAUUACUUGAUUGUUGUUUGUGUACCAUAACUUCUGUAUAGAAAAAUUCCAUGUUUGUAGAUAAUGUCUUUUGUAUAGAAAAAUAGCCCAAUUAGAUCCAUCACCAUCUUUUGCUUAUGUAGUUGAACAAGUUGCAAUGUUGAACAAAACUUUAAGUGAAAUUAGACCAGGAAAAGGAAUUGUGGAACAUUAAGGCAAGGGUAACCAGAUUGUGGAAUGCAACCUUACUCAGUAGUGGCGAACAAUUAAGUCUUGACAUGAUCCUUAUUGAUCAAAAGGUAUGAUAGAUGUUCACUUUGAUUGCAUUAUUGGUAUAAUUUUUGGUUUACAAAUUAUUAAUGAUGAUGCAAAAUUAGGGAACCAUGAUCCACGGUGUUAUCAAUAAGCCCUAUAUGAAAAAGUUCAAACCAUUGAUUGAAGAAGGCAAUGUGUACAUAAUUGCAAAUGUCAGAAUCACACCAGAACCACAGAAGUAUCGGCCAGUGGAAAAUGACAGGAUAGUCAACUUCUUACCCACAACUGCACUAAAAACGAUCAAAGAUACUGAAGACAUUCCAAAGUAUAGUUUUAACUUCAUGAGCACGGAUAUGCUUUCAGCAAGAAUAAAUGUGGACAUGUACCUAUUAGGUAAAACAUUACUGGCUUUUCAAUUUUUACACUUCCACUCAUUAAAUGACCAUCUAAUAAUAAUACAUAUUUAUGUUUCAUAGAUGUUAUAGGUAUCUCAGCUCACAUUGGACCGAUAGAAGAAACAAGGACAAACUUCGGAUUUACUAAAAUCCGUGAUAUUGUGCUCCUGAUCGAGUAAUUCUCUUUUCUUUUGUAGAAAACAACUACAAAACUUUCAACAUUUACAUGUAUGUUAUAGAACUUCUGUUGAACUAAAAAAUAUCUUCUACAGUGCCCCUACAAAUAAUUAAUUUCGUAGUUGGAUAUUUAAAAUAUUUAUUAUUCACUUUUAAAUUUGUGGCCAUGAAGUUAAAGUUAGAUUUUGGGGAGACAAAGUUGAGGAAGUUGAUGAUAAGACAAAAUCCCAUGUCAUUGCAAUAACAUCUACAACUGUGAGUAAAUUUGGCAGUAAGUCUUCAUUCAAUAUGAGUUAUUCAAUAUUAGUCAUUCAACAAACUAACCUCGUAAGAAAAAUAAAUAAUUGAUGUUUUAUCAGGGUAUUCUCUAUCGUCAACCAAUGCAACAAAACUUUAUGUAGAUCUACCUAUUCCUGAAACUAAGGAUGCACAUGAUAGGUGAGAAAAAUUAGAUAUUGUUUUUCUAUUUUAAUCUAUGUAGCAUGCACUCUAACAUGAUACAUUCUUUCAUAUGAUAAAAAAAUGUUAGUUCAAUUGAAAAUAUUGUCAAAGAGAUUCAUAUUGAGGACCAUCUAAAAGGGACAUUGGAAGACCAAAUGCAGUACAAUAGAAGAACUUUAGAAGAAUUAAAUUUCAUAUUAUUUGAAACAUCAAAUCAGGUAUGGAUUAGUAUGUUCAUUGUACACUAUACUAUUUAAAGACUUACAUACAUAAUGAUGGUAUUGUUCCUACUUUCAGGAUGAGGUAUUUACUAUUGAAGCAACAAUAAAUGAAAUUAAUGCAACAUAUGGUUGGUUGUCACACCCGAUUUUAAGGACAAAAUUGAGUGCAUUAAAUACAUGUGCACCAGGAUCAAGUUACACACAUCCUAUGAGUACCGUCCUUCUUUGGCACAAAGAUAACCGGUGCUCCCCAUGGUGAUGAACUAGGCCGAAUAAACUAUUUUGCUGAUAAUUCCUCUAGUUGUUGUUUCAAUUCUUUUAAUUGUUCAACCAACAUUCUAUAAGGACGUUUGGAGAUAGGUGCAGUACCAGGUAAAAGAUCAAUAGCAAAUUCAAUGUCGCGGUCAGGUGGCAUACCUGGUAAAUCGUCGGGGAACACAUCCGGAUAGUCACACACCACUUUGAUAUCUUCCAAGGAUUUUCCAGCCAACUGAUUAACUGCACAAUCUGCUGCUGAGGGUAGAGUAGCUACAAACUCCACUUUCUCUCCAUCAGGACCUGUUAGCAGAACUGUCCUCUUGGCACACUGAAUCGUUGCAUCAAAAGCGGCUAACCACCUCAUCCCCAGAAUUACAUCGAUUCCACUGGACUCAAGGACGAUAAGAUCAGCCGGAAACUCUAUACCCAUUAUUCUCAGUUUAACUUGUGGACAGAUGUAUUGAGCCUUCAUUGACCCCCCAGGUGAACUCACUAGCAUAUGACGCCUCAUGGUAUGCAUGGGUAAAUUAUGCUUUGCUACAUAAUGACUAGUGACAAAAGAAUGCGAUGCUCCAGAGUCAAAUAAAACUGAUGCGGGGGCAGAGUUGACAAAGAACAUACCAAGCACUACAUCUGGAGCCUCCUUAGCAGUCUCGGCUUCCAUGUGGUUCACCUUGCCACAAACAAAGCUUUGCUGCCCCUGAUUGCCUUGUGGGGUCUGGUUCCCAUUCCUCGGUUGCUGCAUCUGAUUCUGCCGAGGAGCACUGCUGUUCUGCACGGGGGUAGCUGGCCCACCUCUCUUAGGACAAGAGCUGGCAUAGUGACCAACCUCGCCACACUUGAAGCAGGUAGGACCCACUGGAGCAUUGGGCCUUGUUGGAGUGCCAGUAGGGGUCAUCUGGCGGUUCUGCGUAAAGCUUGGGCGCGGAGUCUGCAUAGUCUGCAUCCCUGGAUGCUGGAACUGAGGGCUAGGGCGCUGGAAUGACUGCUGAGCAGGGCGCGGAAAUGAGUGCUGCCAAAAAUUCCCACUCGGGCCCCCUGCGCGGAACGGCGUCCCUUGCUGUGGAGCAAAGCGAGGGCGGGUGUUGCUUCCUGAAGACUACUGGGAAUUGAAUUUCCUCUUCAUCUCCCCGAGCUCGUUCCUCUUGUGUUCCAGGCCAAUUGCCUUGUCUAGCAUCUUCUGGAAACUGGGGAAGGUGUGCGACAUAAGCUGAUAUUGGAGUGGUCCAAUCAACCCAUCCAAGAAUAGCUCCUGCUUCUGCUCAUCAUCAGCAACAUCUUCGGGAGCAUAUCGGGACAACUGGACAAACUUGUCCCUGUACUCUGCCACUGUCAUGUUCCCCUGCUUGAGAGCAAGGAACUCCUUCUUCUUAAGCUUCAUCAAUCCGGAAGGAAUAUGAUGACUUCUGAAGCUAGUCCUGAAUUCAUCCCAGGUGAUGCCAUUAGCAUUGGCAUGGGUGGUGGUGUAAGCAUCCCACCAAUCAGCAGCUGGCCCUUCCAGGCGUCCUGAAGCAUACAGGACCUUCUCCCUGUCAGUACAUUGGGCGAUAUCCAGCAUCUUCUCCACUGUUUUCAGCCAAUCAUCAGCAUCUAAUGGAUCCGGAGAAUGUGAAAACGUCGGGGGCUUGUGGCUCAUGAACUCCCUAUGCCUGUCCCUUGGCGGCGGCUGCUGCUGGUUGUUGUUGUUGUUAUUGUUCAGCUGAGCUUGUAAAGCUGCCACGGUGUUGGUCAGUCCGGCGAGAAGCUGAGUCUGAGCUGCUAGAAACUGCUCCAUCCCUGCAGGUGCUUGUUGGUUCUGUUGCGGAGCGGUGUUGGGAUUGCUGCUGUUGUCCCUGUGGCGUGGCACUGUGGGACGGUCAACUCCUGAUCCGGACCUGGUGUUUACCAUCUGAGCGUUAGAGACAAUGGAUUUAGAUAGAUGUGUGAAAGAAUAACUGAGAAAGAUAAAGCGACCAGAUGUAAAAGUAACACAGAUUCUGUUAGCUCCAUUUAAUUAGGUGUGGUCGUCAGAAGAAGUGUCCAUAAAUUCUGAACAAUUACCAAGUCGUAACUUAUUAAAUUUGUAAACCAACCCAACUGGAAUCAUCUCAAUCGGACUUCUGGAUCUCGAGUUACAAAAUUAACAAGCUGACAGUGUCGGUCGAUAGGUUCAGAUUCUGAGUGCUUUACUAAUUCGCAUACACCUCCCAGACAGAUACACCAAAAAUUCUGAAAAAUUUACAGAUAGUACUCCACGAAAUUCUGAAACUAACCCCACUGGUUUCAUGUCAUUUGGACUUCUGUAGCUAGAGAUAUAAAUAAAAAAGUACUGGCGUGUCAGUUAAUGUCGAGAACAGAAUUGAAUGUCGCUUAGCUUGCGUGAUGGAUAGAUUUAGACAGAUGGUAGAUCAUGAUUAAGGAAGAUUAAAUACUGAUUUAGAACAGAAAUAAAACCCAACUAAGCACUUUAUUUAUUAAGACCAGUAUCGUGUGGCAAUUGCCCCACAUACCGCACUCAUUACAAAAUCCAACUCAAACAUGUAGCACAAAACCAAUCAUCUAAGCACACUUUAACUAACACACUCGAACGACGUCUAACGAUUACAAGAAUUUAAACUAAAACACUCCUAAUUUCCUAGAGGUCUUCUGCGGCGGUGCCGGGCGAGUCGUAGCGGGGACGCUUAGGCGACGGCGACGAAGCGGGAUGAACAGCAAACUCCUGCGGCGGCGGUGCUCCCGUCGCGGCAGCCAUAUUCGCAUCCCUCUCCCACCGGAGUUCCUGAACCUCCUGUUGAAGCUCCUGGAUGUGGUUGUUUGCUUCAUUCAAUGCGGUGAGAGCUGCCGACGUGUACUUGCGGAGGAAGUCUGUAGCCAUGUCAACCCCAUCGUUAGUAGCGAUGAAGGUUCUUGCUUCCCCACUAGCUCGGUAAGGAAGGAACCGAUGGUAAGUGUGCUGCAAUCGCGGCCGUUCCUUGUGGGAGACGACCUCAAGUGCCCUCCUGGCGGCCUCGGCAAUGCCGGAUUCCAUGGUCCUCCUUAUGGUCACAUCAUGGUGAAAAGCCUUCACCUCCCAUCCUCCCUCGUGCUCCUCACGAAGGACAACCUUCACCUCCCAAAAAGUGGGAUAGCGAGGGUGGGUGAACCGGGAGCACUUGUAGAGUGGCCUCAUGCCGUACCCCAAGCGGUGACAAGUCCACCUGAGUAUGUCGGCCAUGUGCACUCCUUGGCCAUAAUCUUCCUUCACCCAUUUGAUCCAUGUCUCGGGCUCGGGAUCUGCUUCGGGCUCAUCAUCCGUCAAGUCGACGACCGGUACGGGCGUCGGGGCUGGUGCAGGAGCGGGCGCCGGUGCUGGCGACGGUGCUGGUGACGGCGUGGUCUCCUGCUCCACGGUCACGGCGUCCCCGUCAGAGUCAUCCCCCGGAUGCUGGAAGAUCUCUUCCUCUUCUUCCUCGUCCCAAGGCUCCAUGGGGGCGUACGACGGCGCGAUGCCAUGACGCGGCGGACGGGUGCUCUUGCGUGCGGUCAACCGGGUGCGAGCCAUCUAACAGAAAGAAAGAAGAAAAUUUUAGAAUAAAAUUUUGAACAAAGCUAGAUAAUAAAAUAGCAAUAAGGAUGAGACAAAUCAAGUUUAAGAAUAAUUAAGUAGAUUUAAAUUAAGAAAGGUAGGAAUGGCUACUAGAUUAUUAUAAUCCUUAAAUACGACCAUUUUCUAACUAGGCUAACGUCCUACAGUCAACACGGCUCUGGUACCACUUUUGUCACACCCGAUUUUAAGGACAAAAUCGAGUGCAUUAAAUACAUGUGCGCCAGGAUCAAGUUACACACAUGUACGACAAUAGUGAAUAGUAAAGCCAGUGCUAAAUCGAAUAAAGAGAGUAUUAACCAUUAUUACAUGACCGAAUGUCUCAAAUAAACCACAAAGUCUAAUUAUUACGCAGCGGAACUCCAAAGAUGACGACGACUCCAUAGGCAGCUGACUGAAGAAACGUACGCCUAGAACUCCUCGAAGUCGUGGAAGUACUCCUCUUCCCAAUUAACUUGGUCUGAACAGCGGUUUUGCAAGGGUGAGUACACUUAUGGUUGGUACUCAACAAGUCGUGGGAAGUAGUGUAGUGUAAGGCUAAUUCAAGGUAUGGCUAAGGCGUAAAUAGCAUUCGCUUUUAAUUAAGUUGGUCAAAUUUUAUUAGCAUUUACUAAGUAUAAGUUCAUACCACCCGAAAUUAAACAUGAACAUAAAGUAAACCACAUGUGCAUGAAAUGAUAACAAAUUAAAUCCAUCUUCCGAUAAUAUUAUCAUGUGAGGGUCCAGGCCGCUCUUAACCGUGAGCACGGCUGAUUGAUCAGUUUAACACUCUGCAGAGGUGGCACAUCUUUACCCACAAGUCGCGUAAAAGUUCAAAAGAACUUUGGACCCAACCAUGCGGUGUUUGCAAGGCACCAUACCACACUUCCGAGGUGUGAUUGCAUAGGGACGCUACGAGGCCUUUACAAAGAUUCAUUAAUCAGUGGUAACCCGCUAAGGUUUCGGUGUCUGGCGUGCACCACCCAUCCCAGGUAAAAUGCAACGACUCAGUCCCCCCCCUUGAAUCAUCACGAGUAAGGUCACCCCAGACUAAGGUUUCUAAUUAAUCAGCCAAGACCAGAGCUAUUUAGUCUUGUGGUAGCACUGUUUUCCUGGGUGGUCGCUCCAUGUUCUGAUUAACAAAUAAUGAUCUUGUCUUAAUGAAAGGUAUAACAGAAAUAAGGCAAGAUUAAGCAUUGUUUUUAGUUAAACCACCAUGUACCAAGUAAGCACUAAGCAUGAGCUACCCAACAUAAAGUAAACCGGUUGGUCAAGGCAAAGGUAAAACAAUCUAGGCCAACCUUAAUUGGGACCCAUCAAUUUAAUCUUAAUAUGUGCACAGCAUAAAUGUUGAGUACGAGAAAGUAAAGGUGUAUAGGACAAAAAGGUAGUGAUCAAGGACACGACUUGCCUUCUUGGCCUUGCUCCUGCUGUUCGUACUCCUCGAAGGCUUGAUCGGCAACUCCCUCGAACUGCGGGGCGUCUACACGCAUCACACGAGCACAUACAAGCAAACAUGGGCAAAAGUAAGAAAACAGUAUACCAAACAUAGUCAAACAGAGAAAACAAGCUUGAAAAGAUGAUCUACGCUUUAAAACGAACACGCGGAUAUAAAGAACGCGAAAAACGGAGUUAAGAUGCAAAAGAUAUGAUUAAAACAAAAUCCAGGGACUUUUCUGUAAGAAAAACAAAACUUUUAGGGCCUAUCCGCGAAAACCGAGGGCUUAUACGUAAUUAUGCGUAUAAACCGAGGGUCUGAUGCGUAAAAACAUCAAACCCGGACGGCGGGUUGAUUUCUGGAAAGGUCAAGGGUUAAACCGAAAAAUGCGAGGGCAGAUCUGUAAAUACUUUCAACGCGAUCUGGACCGCGGGUUGAUUUGCGAAAAAGGCGGGGGCUAAAGUGCAAAAACUGCACGGCGCGGCUCGGUUGACCGGUACGCGAUCUUGAUUGACUCGCGUCCGGCCGUCGGAUUAAGAUCCGACGGUCGCGGUGAUCCGCGACAUCGCGGCGGCGGCGGCGAGCGGCGGCGAGCGGCGGCAAGCGGCGGCGGGUCGCCGGAGUUAGGCAAAAUAGCGCCACGAGGCACGGUUUAACGCGCGGGUUGCACCAAAAAAGAGAGGGGAACACGUCGAUCCCGUUUUGGGGGUUCUUGUCGACGGGGGCUCACCGGCGACGGCGAACGGCGGCGAGGAAGAGGCGGCGGCGCUAGGAGCUCGGGCGGCUAGGGUUUCGGGGAGCUGCGGCGCUGGUUUUGGGCGGAGGAGACUGGGAGGAGGCGGCGGCUUUUAUAGGGCUUGGAGAUAGAGCCGGCGCGGGUUCAAAUCCCCCGGAGGAGUCGGAGCGGAUGGAGUCCGGGGCGGAGACGGCGCGCGGCGGUUGCGGAGUUCUGACCGGAUUCGGCCGGAGGUGGGAGACGAUGGGUGGGGUCCACCCGUCAGUGGCGGAGGGGAGCGGUAGACGGGCCGGCGCGACCGUGGGCUGGCGCGCGCUCGUGGGCUGCGGGGAGCGGGAGAGAAGCGGCGAGCGGGCGCUGGCGGAGCAGGCCGAGCGGAGGUAGAGCUGGGCCGCGGAGAAAAAGGAGGAGGCCGGCGGGCUGCUUCGCAGGCCGGUAAGGAUGAGGCGGCCGGGCCGAAGAAGAAAAAGAAAAGGAGGGACAAGGAGCUUUCGGCCGAGGGAAAAGAAGAAGAAAAAGAAAAGGAAGAAGAAAAGGGAAAAGGUUUUGGAAUUUGAAUUUAAAUCUGAAAUUCAAAAUUUGAUUCAAACUCAAGCAACCAAAAAUUAUGCUCCAGCAUGAAUGCACAAAUAAUUCCUAUGAUGAAUUAAUUGAAUUAAAGAAAAUGAAUUUAAAUGCCUAGAAAUUAAAUAACACCCUAAUUUGAGCAAAUUUUAAUGAAUUUGAAUUAUUGAAAUUUUGGGUGUUACAUUGGUACUACAUCUCAUGUAGUAGAGGCGAUUGUAAGAAGCAACUUGAAAAGAAGUUUGAUCACUACUAUUGCAAUAAAUGUGACAAGAGAGCCGAACCUAAAGCCCAGUAAAUUAUUUAGUAGUUUACAAUCUUAUUAUAAUACUUCUAUUUCUAAUAGGAGAAUAAUAUUUUCAGAUUCAAAUUAAGCUUCAAAUAAGUGAUCCAACAACAAGUGCAACUUGUGUACUUUUGACAAGGAAGCAGAAAUGAUAAUUAAUGAAUGAGCAGAUUCGAUGAUCACCUCAGUUGAUCAUGAUAAUAAGUAGCUACCAAAAUCAAUUCAGGAAAUAUGUGAAGAAACAUUGAUUUCUCAAUUCAGAUUGACCGAGUACAACUUGACAAGUUUUAGACCUGAUUAUACUGUUUCAAAGAUAUUUUUUCCAAAAGAAAAGGGCAGUUCAAGAAUUGGUAUGGAAAGUGUAAAAAAGGUAACACUUUAUUAUUAAUUUUUUAUUGCACUUUUUUCUUUUGAAUCCGUAAUACUUAAUAAUUUUACUAUAUCAAUGAAACAAAUUCUAACCUAAAUUUAUUUUCUUUUUUAUUAUUUGUAGGAAGUAGAAGACAACUCAGACAAAUGCUACACGAUAACUACCGAGAAUGAAGAGGUAGACACUGAUGACUCUUUUACCGAGAAAGUAACAUUCGUAGAAGAAGCCAUAAGGACUGGGGAAAGAUUGGCUAGAAAAGUAUACUCACUUCCAUGUCAGUGUUCAUUCUAUUUACAAUACAUGCAAAAAAAAUAUUAUUCAUGCAAAAUUGCAGGUCUACUAAGCAUUAAAGGAAUAGCGGAUAGUGCAAUAUGUAAUCUGAGCAGCAUGCAUUACAAAGUGCUCUACUGCAAUUAAAUUAAAAAACAUGAUAUAUGUUGAAUUCUUAGACUUUAUUAUUAUACUUUUCUACGUGACAAUUCACAAUUUUUUAGAAAAAAGAAGAUCCCAGAAGAAGUGACCAUGAAAAAAGGUCUAUGACCAGCAAUAAGAAAAAAUGCAAGCAUAGAAACAAAUCCGUAGAAAACAUAGAAAAUAAGGUACUCCAUAAACAAAAGUAUUCUCUUAUAUUUUUAUUAAAUAUUUUUUUAACACUUGACAAGUUCUUUUUUAGGAUCAAUAUAUCAGCAAUUCAGAUGUCAUUGGAGAUGAAACCUUAGUUCAUCCAAAAGGUCAAAAAAAAACAUCUGAAGAAAGGUGUUUGGCUGAAAAGGAAAAGCAAAAAAGUGGUAAUGCAGACAAACACAUGCAGAAAAAUAUAAAAACAUGUCAUAGGGAGGCAGACCAAUCUUGCAAGGAGGUAUAGACGAAACGUGAUACACGACCUGCCUACCUUGUCGUGGAUACCCCAAGAAGAUGUCAUAGAGGUGCAGACCAAGCUAGCAAGGAGGUCGAAACGUGAUACACGGCCUGCCUACCUUGCCGUGGAUAUUAGCCCUGAGAUCAUUCUACUGUUCAAGGAAUAACACUCAAUGCUGCUGCUGCUGCUGACCUGGCUCCAUAAAGUUAUACUCCUCUAGGUGCUUGCACUAACUUUAUCUGAAGUAUUAUUCUCUCUGCACUGUAUAUAUGGUUAUGGAGUUUGCUGGAGUAUCCGGGGCGAAGAACCUACAUAAUACGUCUUGGAACUAAUUGACAUUGAUUCACAGACAAACUCUACAAGGUGCUGUUCUUGCCAUUUUAGAGCAUCCAAAGGACUAUAAAUAACAUAGUUUACCAUAUACCAUAUACCAUAUACCAUAAUAUGUUAGCUAAAAUAAGAGCAUACACAUGUUGCAGGAGUCCAAAAGCACCGGUUGAGGACCAGGUACAUUGAAUUACUAGAAAAAGACAGGGGACAAGGUUUAGGUAACCACAUGAAACAUUUGAAUUUAUUGUACUAUGAACACUUAGUUACCAUGCCAGGAGCACAUAGUUAACACUAACAUUUAGCCACUUUAGAUCAUCCCGAAUCACCAAUGACCCUCAAUAGUGACAAAUUUUGGUUUAAAUGCCAUCACCAAUGAUCCUCAAUAGUGACGUAUUUAGGUUUAAAUCCCGUCACUAAUAACCCUCAAUAGUGACCUGUUUUGGUUUAAAUCUCAUUACCACUGAUCCUCAAUAGUGAUGUGUUUUAGCAAAACAUGUUAUCAAUGACUUGUCAUUGGUGACGUGUUAAAACGCGUUAUCUCAAUGGCAAAUCAUUGGUGACGUGUUAUCUCAAUGUUAUCAAUGUUCUAUUCUUUUCAACAAUACCAGCUCGUUCCUCCGUUUUUAUUCCACCAAUACAAGCACCACCUUGUAACAUUUCCUAUGUUUUUUUUCCUUUUGUCUGUUUUCUCACUACAUGCGUUGCUCUUUCAUGCAUUUUUUUCCAUUCCUGUAUUCCAAAUAGGUCUACAUGAACACAAAAUGAACUAGGGGACAGAAAAAGCCAGUGAAGCCAAUUUUGAGCUUCACCAGCUACUUGCUACAUAAAGUGUGCUAUAGUGACGUGUUUUAGCAAAACAUGUUAUCAAUGACUUGUCAUUGGUGACGUGUUAAAACGCGUUAUCUCACUGGCAAAUCAUUGGUGACGUGUUUUAAAAAAACAUGUCACCGUGAGAGUCAUUGGUGAAGGGUAAUUAAAAUGCGUCACUAAUGUUGUAGCAUUAGUUAUGAUAAUUUAGUAACGCAAAAAUCUACCAUCAGUAUUGAGCUUUAGAGCCAUCGCUAAUGUGGGUUUCUUACAUAGUGAUGCAAGCUCUACAAGGUGCUGUUGCUGCCAUUUUAAAGCAUCCCAUGACUACAUGUUAAUAACAUAGUUUACCAUAUAUCAUAAAAAUAUUAGUUACAAUAAGCACAUACGCAUGUGGAAGAGUCCGAAUGCACCGGUUGAGGACUAAACACAUUGAAUUACUAGAACCAAAUGUAUGUUUAGAACAAAGACAGGGGUCAAGGUUUGGGUAACCGCAUUAAAAACAUUGGAUUUUACUGUACAUGAACACUUAGUUACCAUUACCAUGCCUUGAGCACCUAGUUACAACAAACAUUAAUUUAGCCACUUUAGAGCUUCCAGAAUCGCUAUAAAUAAUAUACCUACGCCGUACCAUGAAAACAUCAAGAAGAGAGACGGAUACAUGGACCACCAUCAAGCGAGUAGUGACAGCACGCACAAGAAUACCCGGAACCUGUUAGCUUGUCUGUAGUGAUCUGUUUUCUUCCCCAUAAAAUCCAUGAGUAUUGCCACAAAUAAUGAAAGAGGCUGACCAAGCUAGCAAGGAGGUAGAGCAAACGUGAUACACGGCCUGCCAAGAUUGCCCUGGAUACGCCAAUAAGAGCGACAGAUACAUGGAUCACACCAAUAUGGUGAAACGUAUAUUCAUCACACAAGCAAAGCUGGUCAGUUUAUCCAUGGUCAAAUUGUGGUCUUUGUUUUCACUUGAGAGCUAAUUGAGGCACUAUAAUAUGGGCAGGCCUAUCUUCAACAGACAUGACAGCUACAGGGAACUUGACAUAAUUUGCUGGGCCGCCUGUGCACAAUUAUUUGUUUUAUUGUCCUUGCAUAGAAUGCUAAAAUACUCUUUACAAAAUGUUGGAUCUAAUAUUUGAAAUAUAGAGUAGUAAUCAUAUAUUGAUCAACAACUUGAAAUUAUCUGUACAUUCUCGGUGAAGCUGUUGAACUAAUUUUUGCAAAUUAUUAAUUCAUCUCAUUACGUAAAGAAAAAAGUAAGUGGAUAAGAUAUUUCGUGGACCACAUCACUGCAAACAUGUCAUGGAGAGACAGACCAAGGAGGCAGGACGUGAUACACGACUUACCCUAGGUUGCCGUGGAACCGCCAAGAAGAGAUACAGAUACAUGGACCACACCAUCUUGGGAGUAGUGACAGCAUAUAUGCAGAAGAAUACCCCGUGCCUAUUUGCAUGCAUGUCUCAAGUGAUCUGUUUUCUUCAGAAAAUACAUGAGCAUUGCCAGAAAGAAUGGCAAGAGACAAACAUGUCAUAGAGACUUGCAUGUCUUGCCUUGGAUACGCCAAGAAGAGGGACACAUACAUGGAUAACACAAAUCUAGUGACACGUAUAUUCAUCACAAAGGCAAAUCUGAUAAUUUUAUCCAUGGAGCAGACCAAGGAGAAAUUGAUGACGGACAUGUGAUCUCUGUAUUCAGUUGAAAGCUAAUUGAGCUACACUAAUAUGAGCAGGACUAUAUUCAAGAGACUUGUUGAGAGCUACAGGGAACUUGUAAUAAUUUGCUGGGCGGCCUGCGCACAAUGAUUUGUUAUACAUAGUUGAAAUAUUUCAAGAAUUUAUCAACCUCAUACUCUGAAACCCUUGGUGCAAUGUACUCUGCUUUCCGAGGUAGACUGUUCACGUAAAAUGAGGUCAUGCGUAAGACGGAAUCGGAUUGGAUUCACAGGGAAUCAGAUUUGGAUAGCACCUUUUAGCAGGUUUUUAGUCAAAUGCAAAUUCGGAUCCACAUGUGGUUGAAUGCGAGUUCAAAAUUCUACUUGGAUAUCCAUUUAAUUUAGGUGAUAGCAAUUAGCACAAAAUGUUGGAUGAACAAAAUCAUAGUUAGACAUACAAUUACAUGUAUGGUUAAAGUAUAAUACAAUACACCAAGAUUAUUCCUUGAAAAUAUUUCUUAAAAAUAUUAUAAUAAAUGAAUAAAUAUAAUUGUGGCCACCAACAAAUAGUCGGUGGUCGCUAAGUUGGAGCCAUUUCUGGUUACUAAUGCGGCCUUCUCCUCGACCAGCGACGACAGCUGAGCUUGUUCCUUCUGACACUAAAUCAUCAGAGUCUUCCCUCCACUACUAUAGAAUGCACCUUUAGCACCAAUUGGGAAAUCCCCUUCAGUAUUGGAUGCUGCAACCAGUGCUAUAUAUCAAAAUGGAGACUAAAAGCCUCGGUCUUGGGUACCGGUUGCAUAACGCAUUACUAAAGGAGGCAAAAGAGAAAUGUAACAAAAAAAAUAUUUUGAAUUCCAAGAAUGUUUCACUAUUCAAGAUGACUAGCUGAGAGUCAACAGACAAGAUACUAGGAAUGUGGGUGCUUGAAUGCAUUUGUACAGAGGUCAUACUAUUUACAAACUCUUCUAUGUUUCCAUAUGACUACCUACUUCAAUGUCACGCGAGCCAUUCAGCUGGACACAUGGCACACUAGCUUGCAUGUCGAAUCCAUGAUUAAUUAUUUGCACUUGUGAUCUCUUACCAGUAUUUGUCCAGACUAGAAACGUGCAACACAUUUUUAGGAUAUGGACACGCAUAUAUUUGGACUAGUAUACAGGUCACCUUUGGAUGCGUACAAGGAUGACCGGGAGGGACUAAUGGAUACAAGGAAGGGACCAUCAGGAUUAAUAUUGACAUAUGCCACAUGACAAUCUUCAUUGUCAUGCAAUCCCUAUCAACAAUCAUGGAAUCCCUAGUGUACUAAUCCCUGGAGGGUUGUGUGGAAAUUUAUUUUACCUUGCGGUGAAAAUCUCAUGAGCAGUCAUUAGUUAAGCUGACUAGCUGAGAUAUAAUAGACAAGCUAGUAAGAUUGGGAGCAUCAAUGCAUCCAUACAGGGUCACAAUAUCCUUUCCAUUCACUUUUAUAUAUAACCCUACGAAUACAAGUCCAACGAAAUGCGGGCCUUUCGAUCAAGAUAAAUUAAAUGGCCCACUUGUAUUUCUAAUCCAGGAUUAACUAUGCCCUCUGUUCAUCUCUUGCAAGCACGUGCAACACAUUUUCACGAUAUGGACAUGCAUGGAGGUUAUUAUACUGUUUGGACAAACUCUGAUGUGCCAUGACCUAAAUGCUUAGGGCCUGUUUGGUUUGAGUUGCUUAUUAUAAGCAACUUAAAGUUGCUUAAAGUUGCUUAUUUGAAGUUGCUUAUUUUUAGUCUAAACUGUUUGGAUACCCUUGCUUAUGAGCAUUGAAUGAGUUGGACAUUGUCAAAUUUGCCCCAUGUGUUGCUACCCCUCCAAUUUGCCUCCCCACCCUUCUUCUUCCUGCACACGUCCGAUCCCGGGGGCCGACGGCGGGCAGGGAGCAGCAGCAGCUGGCCAGGGCGGCGGUGGGGCGGGAGCGGCGGCGCACACCAGCACGCGCUCGCACGCCAGGUGCUAGGGCGCGGCGAGGCAGUCGUCGUAGCCCACCGGGAGCGGGUGCUCGGGCGCGAGGCGGUACUCGACGGAGAUGCCGAGCGUCGGGCGCGCGGCGGCGAGCGCGUUGAGGAAGCGAUGGUAGUGCGGCGACGUCGCGGACUCCGCCACGAAGCCGCCGCCGUGGACGUACACCACCACGGGCAGCUUCGUCUUGCCGUCGGCGGCCGCGGCCGCGGCCUGGGGUGGCAGGUAGAGGCGGACGGAGCAGGAGCCGAGGUCGACGUCCCUGGAGUCGACGCCCGUGGCGGCGUCCAGGCUGGGCCCGACCGGCGGCGGCACGAGCGGGCGCUCGAUGCGGCCGCUCUUGUAAAUCCGACGGGUCUGUGCGGAGGCGGGCGGCGGGCGGGAGCGGCGGGUGGGAGCGGCGGCAGGUGGUGCGGAGGCCGGCGGCGGCGGGUGGCGCGGAGGAAGGGGAGCUGGUGAGUGGUGACAGGGGAGGGGGGGAGAGAGAGGGGGGGUAGGGUGCAUUGAAUGAGGGCAGGAGGUGUAAAGUGCACCUUUUAGUCCCCAUGAGCAACCAUAAGCAGCCCAAGAGUUGCUUAUUUGCUUAUAAUAAGCAACCUCAUAAGCAAGAGUGAUUGGUUUCAUAAGCAACUUAUUUGCUUAUUUUAAGUUGCUUAUGCAUAAGCAUGUGAAACCAAGCAGGUCCUUAACCUAUGGUUGUGGCACCACACAGUACAUAGUAUUUAAUAAUGCUAUUCGUUUGGUAUGUGCACAAGGGCACGCAUGAAAUGUCUGGCCCACGGUAAACAAGUACGGACGCUGCAAAUAAUCUACUCUGCUCGUCCAGUCCCUAGCCUAUAAAUAGAUGCCAUGCUAGCUCUUGUUGUGCUCACAAUUAAUCCUGACUACACACGAGCUUCUCUCCCUGGCCAAGACACAAUCAUAGUAUGAUGAAGAACAUGGCACUAGCCGGCAAUGGUAUGAAGAACUUAAUCCUCGCUGUUCUCUUACUGUGUCUAGUUAUAGGGCAGAUACAAGUGGAAGCUAAGAGCUGCUGCCCAUCCAUUACUGCAAGAAAUAUCUACAAUGCCUGCCGUAUCACGGGUACAUCCCGUCCAACGUGUGCAAAACUGUCAGGCUGCAAAAUUAUCAGCGGGGACAAAUGCAAGCCCCCUAACGACCACCUCACCCUUGACCCGGACACUGGUAAAUAAUAAAUUUAUCUCACUUGAUUUCUUCGUGUUUUGAGUCGUUAAUGUAUUUUCCAUCUGAUGAAACGUAUUGGUUUUGCAUUGAAGAGGAAGUUAAUGUGCUUAACUUCUGCAAGUUGGGGUGUGCGUCGUCUGUGUGCAACAACAUCAACGCUGGUAAGCACCUUUUGCUCAGACGGAGAAAACAAUAAUCAUUAAUUAGCGGCAGCUAGAAUCCUAUAAUCUAAUAUAUUUAUAUAUAUAUAUAAUUUUAUCAGCUCUGGGAAAUGAAGAGGCGAACGAUGCCGUUGAGAGUUGCGACCAAGCCUGCUCUAGCUUCUGCAACGUGCACGUUGGCGCUGCCACCGUGGUUGCUUAAGCAAAUGCAUCCAACUGGAUCGUCCUUGUGCUAAAUAAUUGGAUAUCGUAUCCACUUAAAGCUGCCUUGUGUAGUACGUUUUUGUUUGUGUCUCUCUUUAUAUUCCAAUAAGGUCGGUGAUCUUGAUGCCACACACUCAGACGUGUGUUCAUCUCCAGAUACUACUCCAUGCUACCUGCCCUUUGUGUUUUGUUCAAUAACUGGGUAUCAUAUCCCAGCCAGUGUGCCAUCUGUUUUGUGUUUAUUUCCUUCUAGUUUCAAAGGGGUUAUCAUGAUGUUACCUUCUUUCGAUAUGGUGCUUUGCAUGACUACUGUUGUAUGGUACCAUCUUGUUGGCCAAUAAAUACAUCUUAUCCUAUGACCCUUUGCUAUGACCCUUUGCAAAUAAGUACAAGAUUGUUAAAUACUCGGUAUAAAUUGACUACUGCUGUGAGUUCCCUUUCAGCUUAUCGUAGGCAUACAUUAUUGCUAGCACGGUGAAGACAACCAACACGAAUGGUCAAGUAAACGUACCGGUACUUUUGUAUACCAACACCCUUGCUUAAAUGUACCGGUGUUACUCCCCACUAGCACAUAUAUUCUUAUAUGCUAGCCGGCUUGAAAAUUAACCGAUUAAAAUAAUUAUUUCAAGACAGAAAUAACUUAUCGGCUUCUCGAAGCAUGUGUAAUGUGAAUUCAAGGACUUGAUGGAAGUUGAAUCGCUUAAUCUAGAUUGCUUUCAGGAUUUUGGGUAACUAAAUUUAACAUUUGCACAUACAAAUGUUAAUGUACAAAUAUUAAAUAUAGUUACCCAAGCAGAAUAUGAAGAUACUCUAUAGUAUAUAUAUACUAUAUAAAUCUAGUUAACAUUUAGUCUAAAUGUUAAAUCUAGUUACCUAAAAUCCUGAAAGCAAAAUGUAUAAAUAUAUAUCUUUUAAGGAAUCCCAAAGCAAGAGUUCAGUGGCAUUCUAUAGUCCCAUGCUGCUAGUUUGAGUUGGUCGAAGCCAACUUAAAUAGGAGAGCUCUCUCACUUCUCUAAAUACGUAACUGAAGGAGAGAAGGGGGCUUGGUUACACAACGCACGCACGCACGCAUAUUUGCGUUCUUUUCGCGUAACCAACCGCGUGACUUGAAACUUGCGACGUAGCGUGCUGCCAAGUCAAGUUGAUAUAACCUUUUUGCCGUAGGCGUGUAAUCUUUUGACAACGGUCAUUGGAGGUGAUAAGCACGCAGUCAAUACCUUAAUCCUGAG